rnacentral:lncRNA from 1 species
CCUGCAGUUGUGGUUCUUGGAUUGUUUUCUUUGUCAUGCAUUGAAGAUAAAACAGAACCAGUUUUCUGUUUUUGUAGAGGAGAUGGUGGAGGCAUGAAAUUGGUGAUUUUUCGCAACGGCAUCCUCAACUUUGAAGGACACAGAGGUGGCUUCUUAUCUACUUUUCUCUUCUCUACUACUUGUUUCGUAGACUGAGAAGCAGCAGCGGCAAAGGCUCGUGUUUCCUGCUUUAGUCUAGUUUUUCUUUCCUCACCUAACUGAUUCUCAAGCUCUCGAACCUAUUGUAAGAAGAGUUAUUUGUUAGUCUACAAAAUGACUUAAAAAUGCCAUUUAAGGGACAAUAAAAGCAAAAGAAAAACGAAAAAACAGCUCCAAUAAAUUUUCCACAUGUUUCAUAGUAAUAAUAAAUAAAUAAAAAACAUUAAAUGGAGCUCAAGCCAUCAUAAUUACCUUUUCUUGGAGAGUUCUGCAGAUAUGUUCUCUAGCAGCAAGCCUCAACUGCAAUGAUUGCAAGCUAUCCUGCAACUUCUUUGUUUCCUUCUCAUCAUGCUUUAACUUUUCUACCUGAUUAUUUGUAAUUAAAAAAGGAAAGAAAGAAGGAAAGAAAAUGUGAAUAUAUACCAUUUUUUGUAAAAGAAACUGAGACAAAAGAAAUUUCAUCAAAUAGAGCAGUAUAUAUAUACCAUUUGCUUGUAUUUGAGAAGUUCAGUGAGAUCAGCCUGUUUGCGGGCAGGACCACUUUCAAUUCCUCGCACUCGACUCGCAAAAUUUAGUGAACAAAGCGUCUCUCCAAGGUCAGUAGCACUUGGACUUAUUUGGACAAACAUCAAGGUCUUACAAUCUCCUCCUGCAUUCAUGUGUCACUUAGCAUCAUUUACUGACAAACAAGACAAUAAGAAUGACUGGUAACCAUAAAAAAUAGUAAACUUAAUACUCACCGAGAGAGCUCUGUAGCAUAUGGGUUAGCUUUGAGUUCCUGAUCGGAAGAAAAAAAAUAUCUUCAUUAAUAAGGUAAUUGGAUAGCAUUUUACAAGAGUGACUGUGUGAGAGAAAGACCUGUAAGGAAUGUGGCCAGUUUUAGAUGCGAGGGCAGAUAUAACAUCACCAAGUGCUGAAAGAGAUUUAUUAAUGAAUUGCGAUUCCUUCAAUCUUUCACCUUCAACAUCAAUCUUUCCCACACGUUCACUACCAGCCAAAUCCACCAUCCAUAGGUGACUUCUUGUCUUUUGUCCAUCUAUUAAAUUCUCUCCUUUCACUGUUACUCGCAACAAACUACGGACCAACAAUGUUGUGGUCAUUAGUACUACCACUUCAAUUAAUCAGUAUAUUUCUUGAAUAGUUAAUUCACAGAUCCAAAAAACUAGUUAGUUGCUAUUAUAUGUGAUCCAUAAAGUAUAUUCUUAGAAAGAAUAAACCAAGAAAAGAAAGCAGAGUUCAUUUUUACCAAUGAGAACGGCUGCUAAGCUCAUUAGCGCUGGUUGAUCCAACAGACCUGGCCCGACUUCCAGACUUGAGUAAAUCCCACACAUCCUCUGUGCCAGUCACCCGAGUUUCAACAAGUCCUGGGACUUCUUGUGUUCCUUCAGCUGUUUGUUUUAUCUCCAACCUUUAUGCAUGUAAGAAAAACUAAAAUUUCAUCAAACUUCAUUCAUGUAACUCAAUUUCUUAUCGUUAGACUUUAAAUCUUUCAUACCAAUGGGCUUCCAAAUAGGAGUCUUGUACAUAAUCUUUUAAACCCUAAACCCAAUUAGAUGUCAUGCUUAUCUACACUAGAGAGGAGCAAGGUAUUAUUAUCAUUUGCAGAUAGAGUGCUCAAAUGAAAAUUGGGCUAAUACAGAACUUCCAUGUUCCACUUUUCUUGUCAAAUAGCCACACGCAUGAUGUUUGUACUAACCAAUAGUUAAUUAUCAUCAAGUAGCAAAAUGAUAUAAAUCAGAGCUACAGAAAAUUAUUAAUAUAAAAUUUUUGCAACCAAAAAAUUCGACACAAAUGACUAUAUUUUGAUUAUCAGAUCAAUACAGUAGCAAUAAAAGAGGAAACUAACUUUUUAGGCGGUUGGUUGGAACUAUCAAUCAAGAGGUCCCUUAUCUUCUCAUUGUAAACCUCCAUCAUACUAACAAAAAGACCAUAUCUCAUAAUGCCACUUCUCUCUUGAGAAACUCGGAACAACUCAUCUAAUGUUCUGUAGUUCACUCCCCUAUUUUCUGGGCUGCCCUCCAUAGUAAACGUCUUUCCAGUUCCAGUUUGUCCAUAGGCGAAUAUGCAGACAUUGUAGCCAUCCAAAACUGAAGCGACUAUUGGUUUAGUUUGUGCAAAAACAGCCUCUGCAUAUCAUAGAGACAAAGGAUUAGAUGCUUCAAUUGCACAAAUAAUCUUUAACAGGAUGUCUGCAGUAGCAAUACAUAAAAUAAAACAUCAGAUCACCUUGAUUAUCCUCAGGCCCAAAAACAUGGUCGAACUUAAAUUGCUUUUUGGAAGAAUCAGAGGAAAUGAUCUGCAACUCAUUAUCUUGGGAAGAGUCAAAUUCAACUACAUAGUUCGAACCAUUUGUUAUUUCGACUUGAUUUAGUGGUCUGCAUCUACAGAAGACCCUAAUAUUCCCUUUAAGCUCAAUCACCUCAUUGUAAAGCCUCUUCCUCUCAGACAACUCUUGUAGAUACUUCUUUUUAAGAAGUUCAUAUUCAUUACCUGACCAAUAUUUCAACUAGUAAACUAUCAAAACCAAACCCCUCAAAAAAAAAAAAAAUGAAAAGAAGAAAUAAAUUAGUUUCACUAUUGGAUACUCACCGAGUUUUUGAAGGGUGUCUAAAAUAUUGGGGCCAAGAAAGGAAUCCUUGGCAGUCUUUACUUGAUUAGAGAGAUUUGAGUGUUCUUUCUUCAAAUUCUGAAACAACAACAAUUAAAUUCAAAGAAAGAAAACAAAUCAAUACCCCCAUCAACAUAAUAAUGCAAAAUCCUAAUUUACUAGCUAAAACAACGAAAUUUAAAAUUGCCUGAAUUCUACAACUAAAACCAAGUCUUUUCAAGUCAUCUAUACGAUACCCAACACCACCAAAGUUCAAAAUAAGUACCUGAAUUUUAUCACUUAAAUUGAUAAUUUUCUGCAAAAUGGGCGGUGUUGGCCCCUGAGAUGGGGAAACUUGUCGAAUUCUAUUUGAUACGCUCUCCUCCUCCGAAUUAAUAGUUUCUCCUGAAAAUUCAUUAAAAUCAAAAUAACCUUGUUCAGUCAAAACAAUUUCAAUAUAAAAUACAAAUGUCUACAGUUCUACAGCACCGAAUUUGACUCAAUUUAACUCUUUUUUUUUCUCUUGAUUAAAAACGACUUUAAAAAUUUUAGAAACCCUAGAAUUAAAAAAGAUAAAUGAAAAAUUAAAUUCAAUAACAAAUAAAAUUAAAUAAUUCAAAAUUACAAUUUCUAAGUCUAAGCAGAAGCAAAAAAUAUAAAAAAAUAAACUGAUAAUCAUUACUUAAACAAAUAAUUUCUAAUAUAUAUUUUUUAUAAAAACACGAACCUGUAUCGAAUUUCGUAUCUUCUACGGAUUCAACUGAAUUUUUUUAAAAAAAUCAAUUUCAGAGAAAUAUUAAUUAAACAAAGUAAGCUACUUCUUCUAACCUGUGGUCGAAGAGAGAAAAGGGCUGGAAUCUGAAAUUUGAACGGUCUUGAUACGAUCGCAGAUCUCUUCAAUCAUUUGGACCGUCAGAUCUGAGAGAAAUCAAACAAUUUCGAUCUAUAAAACAAGAACCAUAAAAAUAAAUAAAAUAAUUCAAGAAUUUAUGCGUAUCUAUCGAUACAGAGAAAGAGAUGGGAGUACCAUUCAUGUUUUAGGGCUUGAAAUUGAGAGAGGGAGAAAAUUAGAAAGGUGAAAGAUUUUUAGGGUUUAAAAUUGGGAAUUUGAAGCUUGAAAUGAGAGCCGUUGGUUUCUAACGGCUAUAUGAUGUUGUUUGUUUAGGUUUGGGAUUGGGAGGGACGGAGCGUUUUAAUUUGAAAUGGGAGAGUUGGGCCUUUGGCUUGGAUAGAUAGAAUGAAUUGGGCCUUUGGUUUUGGGUUAUGUACUGGUGUGGUCUGAUUGGUAACAGAUCGAAGCCCAUUUAGAUUUUUUUUGUUUUGUUUUUUUAUUGCUACUUUAAUUACUUAUAAAUUACUCCGAAGUCUUCUAAAUAUUAUUAGUUUGCUGGAGGUUGUAAAAUUUUUUUUAAUAUAAUAAAAAAUAUUCAAGUGUUGAGAACUACGUGAUAUUUUUAUUAAAUUCGGCCUAGUGAGUUAAUUUUGAAUUUUUUUAAUCCGACUUCUUACCUAACAUAAGUUUAAAAUUAAAGUCCAAAGGUAUCCUCGUUAUCCUGUAAAAAAAUAUAAGGAUGAAAUUAAAAAAAAUAAAAUUAAGAAAAAAAAACCUUCAAACCUAACUUCUUGUCUGACUUUGAUUUAAAAUUAAAUUGUGUAAAAGUUAUCUCAAUAAACCUAAUUUGAUUGAAAAUGAUAGUUUUGACCCCAAAACGGUCUAAAACUCAUUCUUAUCCUGAUCAACAUGCUUUGACCUAUAUUGACCCGGUGGACUUGGUUUUGACUAAAAAUGACGGUUUUGACCUGAGAUGGCUCGAAACUCAUUUUUUAUCCUAGUCGACAUGGUUUGACCUGUAUUGACCUGGUAAAUUUGGUUUUGAUUUGAAAAUGAAAGUUGAUUCGAGAAAAAUAUAUUCUUAAAUUUUGAAAAUUUUCUUUUUUUUAUGAAUAAAAAUAGAAAUAAAAUAACAUAUAAGAAAAUUAUAAGAAAAUUUUAGAGAAUUCAAAAUUGGGUUAUUGCAUAUCCUAACUUUCAUUCCAAAGUUUUUCAAGCUGGCUACAAGGCAUUUCAAAUUGAACAAGUUUCCGAGGGAAAAAAAUUGAUGGCAAGGAUUCCAAAUGGUAAUUAUACCAGUAGAGAAACCUUAGCUCCCUUCAAAGAAAAUGAAGCCCUUUUGGUUGGUGGAAGGUGGGUUUACUCGUCAAACUAGUGAUCUAGGUCAUGAUAUGAGAACAACCUAAUAGAAAACAAAUUUAAUUUUGAAAGACCUGUGACUUAGAUCAUGAAAUCAAAAUAAUCUUUUACAAAAAAAAUAAAAAAAUAAUUCGAUUUAACCAGUAUUAAAAUAUCAAAACUUGUGACCUUAAUCGUAAGACCAAGAUAUCCCCAUAUAAAACAAAUAAAAACAAAUUAUGAAGCUCAAUUUCUAACCGACUCAGUGAUGAAUGAUAAAAUAAAAAAAAUUAAUUAAAACAAGACAUAAAAAAACUAUCCGAGUCAACUUGGGUUAACUUGUAAAGUACUAUUCUCGAGUCAUGAAGCCGGAAUAACACAAUAGAAAAUAAACAAAGCAAAUCAUGAAGUUUAAUUUCCAGUCAACCCAGUUUUAAAGGAUGAAAUAAUUAUGGAGUUUAAUUUCCAAUCAAACCACUAUUAAAGGAUGAAAUAAUCAUGGACUUUAAUUUCCAAUCAACCCAAUAUUAAAGGAUGAAAUUGAAAAAAAAGAUUAAUAAAAAAAACCUAAGUCAACCAGGUUAAAUUGUCAAACUAGUUAUUUGUGUCAUGAGAGUGAGAUAACUUUAUAAAAAAAAUAAAUUUAAAAUUAAAGGAUAAAAUUAAAAAAAAAACAUUGAUUGAAAAAAAAACACAGAAAAAAAAGAGAAAAAAAAAAGCAAAUCAUUAGUCCAAUGAAUAGUGCUUUGUGAGGAGAGGUACAGUAAAAACCUCUCUUCUUUUAUUUUAUGGUUAAUACAAGAUAAUUUCCCGCGCUACAAUGCUGGUCAGAUCAAAAUAAGGAAACUGAAUUCACAAUCAGCCUAAUGUUGAAGAAUAAAAUUGUUAAAAAAAAACAAUUAACAAGAAACACGAAAAAACAACCCGAGUUAACCAACGAAACCCGUGACCCGAGUCAUGAUAUCGGGAUAUUUUCAUAGAAAGCAAACUAAAAUAAAUUAUGAAGCCUAAUUCUCAAUUAACCCAAUAUUAAUGGAUGAAAUUGAAAAACAUGUGCAUUUAAAAAGAACACAAAAAAACUUGAGGCAACCGAGCUAACCAUCGACCCGGGUCAUGAGAUCAUGAUAAUCCUAUAGAAAAAAAAUUUCAAAGCACAAUUUUUAAUCAACCAAAUGUUGAAGGAUUCAAUUGAAAAAAAUCAAUUAAAAAAAUAUCCCGAGUCAACCCAAGUUAACUUGCCAAACUCGGAUUAUGAGACCAAGAUAAAUAUAUAGAAUAAAAUAAAAUAAAAUAAAAUAUGAAGUUACAUUUUCAAUCAACCCAAUGUUGAAGGAUGAAAAUGAAAAAAAAAAUUCAAUUAAAAAAAACAAAAAAAACUCAAGCCAACCUUGCUAACCCGUAAAACUUGUGACCCGGGUCUUGAGACUACAAUAACCCAGUAGAAAGCUAAUAAAAAAAAUAUAAAGUUAAAUUCUUAAUCAACUCAAUAUUAAAAGAUGAAGUUAAGAAAAAAUCUAUUAAAAAAACAAAAAAUAACCCGAGUCAGUCGACUAAAUCUAUUUUUUUUUAUAAUUAUUAUUUUGUUUGUUCGGGACCUAGUUAAGAAUCAUGUUAAAGAAGGAGGAUAAAUAUAUCCUUUUCAUCUCUAAUUCAUAAGACUAUUUGGUUUCAUGUUUGAUUCAAUCCAAUUGAGUUGCUUCAUAUUUGUAUAGAAAAAGAAAAGGAGAAGAUGAGUUACCAGUGUCAACGAGCGAAACCAUGCAUCCAUAGCAUUACGUUGCCCUUUCAAAUAGAAGAUGAUUAAGAGUUUGUCAAGCAUUUUCCAUCUGUUUUAGGGUUUGGUUGCUCAGGCUCGUUGACCAACAGUGGAUGGACUCCACACCCAACCACCACAUCAGUAGCUCCCCAUGGUGAUUUGAAUUGAAACGAGGCCUCCUUGAAAAAGCACUUAGAGUGGACACUCCAAAUGAACACAUGCUCCCUUUCCCAUAAACUCCUCACCUUUUCUUCAUAUAUUUCGUAGAAGUAGGAAUUGAGAUCAAUCUGGGUUCCAUCUUUGCUUAUCAAAUGGCAUUCACAUUUAAUAUUAACGGGACGCCUUUCCCCGCUUUGGCCAAAUGAAACAACAGCGCAUAAAGUGAAACGACGAUGCCAAUGAGCUGGUUGCCGGAUUUUUACUGACGAUCCUUCUCUAUUUUUAUAACUGAACCAUUCCGGGACUUCCGACCCAGGAAUACACAACCGAACUCUAAUGGGCUUACCAUGAUAUUCCUGCACCGAAGAGAGUGAGAAUGUGAGAUACAUAUAAAAAAUUAUCGUGAUUUUUUUUAAAUAAAUCAAGAUCAAGGGAGGAAGAAUUCACCUGAUAAAAUAAUGAUGUUGCCAUGUGUUGAAUUCGUAAACGGGUAGCACCCAUAAUUCUAGUGCGUGAAUUCUGAUCCAGUUGGAGGCAUCCAGAGAAAUUGAAUUCCUGAGCUUCAUAUUCUCUAUCACCUUGCAUGAAUAUACUUGCUACAGAUUUUAGAGAGAUGCAACCUGAUGCGAUUAAAACUUGUAGAGUCGAUGGAAGCUCUGGUAAACAUUGAAGCCGCUUGCAAUCAUCUAAAUAGAGUUUACUUAGCUUAGUAAGGUGCUUGAUGCUUGCAGGUAUCCUCUCAAAAUCAAUCUCAGAUAAUCUCAAUUCUGUUAGCCACACCAAAGAGCCUAAUCUCUCUGGAGUUUUUAACACACGAGAAUUUCCCAAAUUUAAAAAUUCAUGGCAGCCCAAUUUAUAGGUGGAUGAUGCAAUUUCUUCUACUUUCUGGAAUCCACUCAGCAUAUAACAACGCUGUUUGUCAAGUCCUUUAAAUUCAAGAUCAAUGAUGUUGUUUGGAAGACUCGCUAGUUUUAAGCAACCACUGAGAUCAAGCGUAGUAAGACAUCUCAACUCGUCAAUGCUGUCUGGUAGACUUUCUAGUCCUGAGCAACCAGUAAGGUGAAGCGCAUAAAGACAUUUCAACAUGCCAAUGCUGUCGGGUAGACUUGUUAGUUUUAAGCAACCACUAAGAUUAAGCAUAGUAAGACAUCUCAACUCGCCAAUGCUGUCUGGUAGACUUUCUAGUCCUAAACAACCAUUAAGAUUAAGGGAUUUAAGAGAUUUCAACUCGACAAUUCUGUCUGGUAGACUUGUUAGUCCUGAGCAAUCAUGAAGAUUAAGCCAUUCAAGAGAUUUCAACUCCCCAAUUCUGUCUGGUAGACUUGCUAGUCCUGAGCAACCAUUAAGAUUAAGCGAUUUAAGAGAUUUCAACUCGUCAAUUCUAUCUGGUAGACUUGCUAGUCUUGAGCAACCACUAAGAUGAAGCAAUUUAAGAGAUUUCAACUCGCCAAUGCUGUUUGGUAGACUUGCUAGUCUUGAGAAACCACAAAGAUUAAGCACAAUAAGAUAGUUCAACCUGUUAAUGUUGUUUGGUAGACUUGCUAGUCCUGAGCAACCACUAAGAUGAAGUGUAUCAAGACUUUUCAACCUGUCAAUGCUGUCUGGUAGACUUGUUAGUCCUGAGCAACCAGUAAGGUGAAGCUUAGUAAGACAUUUCAACCCUCCAAUGCUGUCGGGUAGACUUUCUAGUCUUGAGCAACCACUAAGAUCAAGCUGGUAAAGAGAUUUCAAUGCGCCAAUGUUGUUGGGUAGACUUGCUAGUCUUGAGCAACCACUAAGAUGAAGCGUAUCAAGACAUUUCAAUUUGUCAAUGCUGUCUGGUAGACUUGCUAGUCCUGAGCAACCAGUAAGGUGAAGCUUAGCAAGACAUUUCAACACCCCAAUGCUGUCAGGUAGACUUGCUAGUCCUGAGCAACGACUAAGAUUAAGCGAUGUAAGAGAUUUCAACUCGCCAAUGUUGUCUGGUAAACUUGCUAGUCCUGAGCAACCAUGAAGUUUAAGCAAUUUAAGAGAUUUCAACUCACCAAUUUUAUCUGGUAAACUUGCUAGUCUUGAGCAACCACUAAGAUUAAGUGAUUUAAGAGAUUUGAACGCGCCAAUGCUCUCUAGUAGACUUACUAGUCUUGAGCAAUCACUAAGAUCAAAUUGGUCAAGAGAUUUCAACAUGCCAAUGCUAUUUGGUAGACUUGCUAGUCUUGAGAAACCACUAAGAUUAAGCGAUUUAAGAGAUUUCAACGCGCCAAUACUGUCUGGUAGACUUGCUAGUCUUGAGCAACCACUAAGAUCAAGCUGGUCAAGAGAUUUUAACACACCAAUGCUAUUUGGUAAACUUGCUAGUCUUGAGCAACCACUAAGAUUAAGCGAUUUUAGAGAUUUUAACGCGUCAAUGUUGUUCGGUAGACUUGUUAGACUUGAGCAACCACUAAGAUCAAGCUGGUCAAGAGAUUUCAACAUGCCAAUACUAUGUGGUAGACUUGCUAGUCCUGAGCAACCAUGAAGAUUAAGUGAUUUAAGAGAUUUCAACUUCUCAAGUGGCUGCAAAUAAAAAAAGAGGCAAUGUAAGAAAAGAUAAACGUUAUGAAUAAUUUCAAAAAUGUCCUAUAUUCGAAAAAGAAGGAUGAUAAAGCAUACCUGGCCUUCAUUCCAAAGUUGUUCAAGCUGGCACCAAGGCAUUUCAAGUUGACCAAGUUUCUCAGGGAAAAAAAUUGAUGGAAAGGAUUUCAAAGGGUAAUUAUACCAGUAGAGAACCCUUAGCUCACUUGAAAGAAAGUGAAGCCCUCGUGGAAGGUGGAUUCCGACCCUCUUUCGAUUCAUAAUUUGCUCCUUUGAGGGAUCCUUUAAGAAAGGUGGGUAGUAGAUUUUGAGCAAUCUUAAAUUAUACAUCCCUUCAAAUGCUGUAGGACUUAAUGUCAAUUCUUUAGUUGAAUCCAAGAUGAGGGAUAUGCUUUCCACUUUUGAUCCAGUCCCCUAUUUAACAAAUUAAAGCAAAGUGUAAAUCAGUAUAUAUAUAACAAAUAAAGAAGAAGAAGAAGAAGAAGAAGAAGCUGGCCUUGAUAUUUAUUCUUGUCCAAGGCUACAUCUCUCAGCUAUAAACAAGAAAGUCAAGAAACAAUCAAUUAAAUCACUUGGAAACGUUACCUGAGUUGUUAAUGCACGAUAGAUAUCAUCAGCCUCCCACAACCUGCUACGUUCUCUAGGGUCAACGUUUUCUUGGAGGACAAUUUUUUUCCCUAGUUUUAGGAGCACAUCAUGCAUCUUGAUCUUGUCUUGAACAAUUUUUAUGAGACACAUAUCAGCGAGACGAUCUAUCCCACUUCUUUCUUCAAGAUCUAGUGUUUGUUGGAGAAAAUCCUUCUUGCACCGUCCAAAGAAACAUGCUAUAUCAAGAAAUAUUUUCUUUUCUGUCUGAUCUAAUUCAUGAUAGCACAUUUCCAAAUGUUUCUUAAUGUCCUCGCCACCAUUUGUUCUUAGCUGUGCCACCUUACUUUCCCAGUAUUCAACACUCCUUUUAUUGCAUAGAUUGCCACCUAAAACCUCGAGAACUAAUGGAAUGCCCUUAACACAGCUUACCACAGUUUUUGAAAGCCCAGUAUAUCCUUCUAUGGGACGAUCUUGUUUAAAGGCAUGUAAGCUGAAGAGUCGAAGUGCAUCGUCUUCAUCUAAAAUUUUAACCUCGUAAAUUCUGUCUUCAUCACAUGCAUUUUCAAGAACUCGCCUAUCUCUACUUGUCACAAUGAUUCUACUUCCUUGGCCAAACAAACCAUCCUCUCCUAGUAAAUAUUUUAAAUGUUGUGGAUCAUUGACAUCAUCAAGAACUAUGAGGACUUUUUUUCUUUGAAGCAUUCGCUUAAUGGCCGAGGGUAGCACUUUUCCGUGUAUUUUGAGAUCAUUCUUCUCUAAUACCUUGCCAAGAAUUUCCUGUCGUACAUGAUCUACUCCAUGCUUCCGUGAUUCUUCCCUAACAUCUUGGAAACAGCAAUGGCCUUCAAAUUUACUACAGUUUCGAUGAUACACAGUUUCAGCCGUUGUGGACUUACCUAUACCACCCAUCCCCCAGAUUCCCACGAUGAGCACACCGGUUGAUCCAAAGGAUAGUAAUGAUUCGAUGUCUUCAACGCGUGAUUUCAUUCCAACAAGGCGUUUUGAAUCAAAUGAGGGUGACAGCUCAUGGUUCAAUUUCUUUUGAAUGUCAGUAACGAUUUCCUGAAUUAGCUUGGUCUCAUCCCUGCAGUGCAUAGUAAAUAAAGAACAAAGACAUGCUAGAACCUAAGAAAUUUUAUCAUAACAUCAACACAAUAUUGAUUCUCGAACAAAAUGGUUUAAAUAAGUUGGGGUUUAGUAUGCUGUAACUAAAUUAAUAACUUACUUAAUGACGUUUGAAUCCCAGCCCUUGAGAUUAGCUAUUUCUUUCGAAGCACGUCUCCAACUCUCUACUUCUUCAGAACUGCAAUCUCUUUCAUGCUUGCAAAGUGCAUCUCCAUAGCUCCCAGUCAGAUUUUGAACAUGGCUUGGAUCAAGUCGGUAAAAAACUGGUAAGACCAUCUGUUGUUUGGUCUCCAUGCACUCAAGAAUCUUGGAGAGUUCCCUCAAACAGAAAGUAGAAUCUGCAUAAUUUUCAGAGAAAAUGACUAGCGAAAUAAACGACUCCUCAAUCCUUUCCAAGAGGGCAGGCUCGAUCUUUUCUCCUCCAUCAAGUUUAUUAUCGAUGUAAGCAUCAAUUUGGUUUCGCUGCAAAGCAUCAUAAAGAUGACUGGUGAAACUAUUGCGGGUGUCUGUGCCUCUAAAACUGAGGAACACAUCAAGCUUCAAAUAUGGAGUAGUGGGAGAAGAAGUGGAAGCCAUAUUUUUAUAUGCUUGAUAUAUGUAGAAGUAAGCUUUCUACUUGUGAUAAUUUUUCCCUGUAACAAGCAAUAAGAAAACAAACGAUAUAAUUAGUCAAAGACUAGCUAGUUGAGAUCUUAAUUACACCUGAUAAAUAAAGAGAGAAGCUAGUUGGGAGAUUAUUUUAUAUCUCAUAAAUAAAGGCUAAAUAUGAUCAAACAAGAGUGUAUUAGAAUGAUCAGACAAUAAGAGAAGAUCAAAACAACUUAAACGAUGCUAUAGCAAAGAACGAACAGGAAGAAAUUCUACCAGUUAUUUAAGGGCUAGCCAACUCACAAUUAAGGGGGGGAGUUCACAUUGAUCCUCUCAUCAUCUUUAUUUCAAACACAGUAUUGGAGGGUUUCUUGGAAUCUAUAUAUCGGUAGGUACAAAUUCAGAAACAGUCCUUGACAACUCAAUAUCUCAUAAACCUUUCUUCAAAAAAGAUUUUCACAACCCAUUAAGUAAGCCACAAUUAGCCACGGAAAUUCCGGAAUCAUUUAAAGUUUGAUUUUUAAAGUGUUUAUUUAAAAAUAUAUUAAUAUAAUAUUUUUUUUAUUUUUUAAAAUUAUUUUGACAUAAUUCAAAAACACUAAACAAAUCUAAAUUUUAACAACACUAAACAAAUCCAAAUUUUAACAAAAAUUAACAAAAAUCAACCUCAAUUCCAAAAGAUUAGUCACCUAUCGUCUUUUCCUUUUUCUUUACUUAGCGGUGAGGAAAAGUUGAUAGUAGCAACUUUUCCUCACUAUCAACUUUUCCUCACCGCCAAGUAGCAAUCAUUUUUACAGGACGCUUGACUUGCUGUGUGCCCUUUUGAUUUUUGAACACAACCAAGCAGUAAUUUUCUGGUGGUGAUCUUCCGGAAUCUUUUUCCAAACAACCCUUUUUAGACCAUGAUUGAAGUUUCGACUGAAGAAUUUACUACUUUUCUCUUCACAUAUGAUUCACAGUUUUUAAUCCAGACUCGGUGUUCGAUCUGGAGCAAGGCCUGUGUGCCACCAAGGUUUAGUUUUUCACUGAAAAACUUGUUGAGAUGAUAGCUUCUAUUCUUUGCUCUUUCCUUUGUUAAAAUCAGUUUAUGGAACUGAUGCUUUGCAGGUGGCAGAGAGAGCAUUGUUCUUGUGGAACAGUGAUCCCAUUGAGAACUUGAUCACUCAAAAUCAGUUUUUAUUUCUUUUCUUUCACCUUUUCCAUUUUUCCUAAGCAGCAAGAAAGAGACCAAUUCCAAGUUAAAAUAGAUUUAAUGCUGCCACCUAACUGUUUAGAGGGAGAGAGAGGGAGAAGAACACAUUAUAAAAACAAAACCAUCAAACAUUUUUUUGGAAAACUUGCAAUAACUACUAAAAGUUUUGAUCAUACUAUUGCUAGAUCACAUUCCAUAGAGGACGGCAGGAUUACAGUUUGCAUGCAACUAUCUGUGUAUUCACCCAAUUCUGAAUUAAAAAAAGUAACAGUAAUAAAAAAUAAAGCAUUGAAUCAUGCAUGAUUGGACAAAUAUUUAAUUUAUAGUUGAUAGGUGGAUGGAUAAUCUGAGGUUUUGUUGAAGAAAUUUAGAAAGCAGAUUGAAAAUGUGAUCAAGGCUGAAUAAAUUAAAGAUUUGAGGACCAACAUGGACAAGGUUGUAAAGUUUAGCGGUCCAAUUUUGAUAGAUGCUUCAUUAAGAAGAAAGCUGAAGAUGGGGGCAAAUGGCUAAAAUCAAAGAAUCCAAGGACCUAAUUGUAUUUUGGAUGGGCUUAAUCAGGUGCUAAAAUGAAAGAGUAAUAAGGUUGGAAGUUAAUUUGGCUAAAAGUGGAAGAAUUAAUAAGUCUUAGGGACUUGUUUGAACAUUGGAUUAGUUUAAUUAAUACAAUGAGGGACUUAAUUAGAGUAAAAUAAAAGUUUGAGAGUCAAUUCGGUUAAUUGUGUUAAUCAAUUUACUUCUCAACUCGCCUUGUGCUGAUUAUAGAGAAAUAUCAAUUUUUUUUUAACCCCAUAAAUGUUUCCAGGUGGAGCUCUAAAUUCCUCAACUUCAGUUUCUAGACGAUGAAGCCGCAAAAGCAUAACAUAAAUAUUAUUUUUGUUAAAGCAAGCAAGGAAGAGGAAUAAACGAUGUAAACCUUGAUAGCUAUGCCUCAAACAUCUUAUAUGUGCAAGUGCAGGCUGAUUAUCUGAUAACAUCUCACCAAACUCAUUCAACAUUUAUCUGAUUAUCUGAUUAUCAGCAGCAUGAUACCGAAGCUGUAUACGUCUCCUCUAACUGAUACUUCAUUACUCUGUCCAUAUUCUGUUUACAAGCAACAAAGCACUGUUAGCAAAAUGAAAAAAAGAAAAUAAUCAUUUUGGUCAAAUGAUCUUAAUGCAGUGCAAGGUGAAUGAAACAUGCGAUCUUUCAUGCCGAAGAAUUUAGAGACUUGCUAGUCUUGAGCAACCACUAAGAUCAAGGUUUUCAAGAGAUUUCAACGCGCCAAUGUUGUCCGGUAGAUUUGCUAGUCCUGAGCAACCAUUAAGAUCAAGUAUUUUAGGGAUUUCAAUGCGCCAAUGUUGUCUGGUAGACUUGCUAGUCCUGAGCGACCACUAAGAUUAAGCGAUUUGAGAGAUUUCAACUCGUCAAUGCUGUCUGGUAGACUUGUUAGUCUUGAUAAAAGCGAUUUGAGAGAUUUCAACCCGCCAAUGCUGUUUGGUAGAUUUAUUAGUCCCGAGCAACCAUCAAGAUAAAGCCAUUGAAGAGAUUUCAACGCGCCAAUAUUGUCCGGUAGACUUGUUAGUCCAUAGCAACCAUUAAGAUAAAGCAUAGUAAAAGAUCUCAACCCGCCAAUGCUGUCCUGUAGACUUGCUAGUCCUGAGCAAGAAGAAAGACUAAGCUUUGCAAGAGAUCUUAACUCACCAAUGCUGUCCGGUAAACUUGCUAGUUUUGAGCAAGAAGAAAGACUAAGCUUUUCAAGAGAUCUCAACUCGUCAAUGCUGUCCAAUAGACUUGCUAGUUUUGAGCAAGAAGAAAUACCAAGCUCUGCAAGAGAUCUCAACUCUUCAAUGCUGUCCGGUAGACUUGCUAGUUUUGGAUAACGACCAAGAUUAAGCUUAGCAAGACAUUUCAACUUGCAAAUGCUAUUUGGAAGACUUGCUAGUUUUGAGCAAGAAUAAAGAUUAAGCUCUACAAGAGAUUUCAACUCAUCAAUGUUGUUGGUAGGCUAGCAAGACUUUCACAUGAAGAUAAGUUUAAUCUAACAAGUUGAGAGAGGUACCCAAUUGAUGAUGGAAAAGUACAGAAACUCUCGAAUCUGGGAAGCUCUAGUGGCUGUAAAUAAAAAAAAUUAAUGUAAGAAAAGAUAAAUGUUAUGAAUAAUUUCAAAAUUGUCCUAUAUUUGAAAAAGAAGGGUGAUAAAGCAUAUAUACCUUGCCUUCAUUCCAAAUUGUUCAAGCUGGCUACAAGGCAUUUCAAGUUGAAAAGGUUUCUCAGGGAAAAAUUUUGAUGGCAAGGAUUUCAAAGGGUAAUUAUACCAGUAGAGAAACCUUAGCUCACUUGAAAGAAAGUGAAGACCUCCUGGAAGGUGGAUUCCGACCCUCUUUCCAUUCAUAAUUUGCUCCUUCGAGGGAUUCUCUAAGAAAGAUGGGUAGUAGAUUUUGAGCAAUCUUAAAUUAUACAUCCCUUCAAAUGUUUCUUAAUGUCCAAAGAAACAUGCUAUAUCAAGAAAUAUUUUCUUUUUUUUCUGAUUUAAUUCAUGAUAACACAUUUCCAAAUGUUUCUUAAUGUCCUCGCUACCAUUUGUUCUUAGCUGUGCCACCUUACUUUCCCAGUAUUCAACACUCCUUUCAUUUGUAUAUCCUUCUAUGGGACGAUCUUUUUUAAAAGCAUGUAAGCUGAAGAGUCGAAGUGCAUCGUCUUCAUCUAAAAUUUUAACCUCGUAAAUUUUGUCUUCAUCACAUGCAUUUAUAAUUAAGCGCUUGCCUAUCUCUACUUGUCACCAUGAUUCUACUUCCUUGGCCAAACAAACCAUCCUCUCCUAGUAAAUAUUUUAAAUCUUGUGGAUCAUUGACAUCAUCAAGAACUAUGAGAACUUUUUUUCUUUGAAGCAUUCGCUUAAUGGCCGGGGGUAACACUUUUGUGCGUAUAGUCAUAUCUUUCUUCUCUAAUACUUCACCAAGAAUUUUCUGUCUUACAUGAUCUAUUCCAUGCUUCUGUGAUUCUUCCCUAACAUUUUGGAAAAAGCUUUGGCCUUCAAAUUUACUACAGUUUCGAUGAUACACAGCUUCAGCCGUUGUUGAUCCAAGGGAUAGUAAUGAUUCGAUGUCUUCAACGCGUGAUGCCAUUCCAACAAGGCGUUUUGAAUCAAAUGAGAAUGACAGCUCAUGGUUCAAUUUCUUUUGAAUGUCGGAAACGAUUUCUUUUGAAAUUUUAUCAUAACAUCAAACACAAUAUUGAUUCUCGAACAAAAUGGUUUAAAUAAGUUGGGGUUUAAUAUGCUGUAACUAAAUUAAUAACUUACUUAAUGACGUCUGAAUCCCAGCCCUUGAGAUUAGCUAUUUCUUUCAAAGCACGUCUCCAACUCUCUACUUCUUCAGAACUGCAAUCUCUUUCAUGCUUGCAAAGUGCAUCUCCAUAGCUCCCAGUCAGAUUUUGAACAUGGCUUGGAUCAAGUCGGUAAAAUACUGGUAAGACCAUCUGUUGUUUGGUCUCCAUGCACUCAAGAAUCUUGGAGAGUUCCCUCAAACAGAAGGUAGAAUCUGCAUAAUUUUCAGAGAAAAUGACUAGCGAAAUAAACGACUCUUCAAUCCUUUCCAAGAGGGCAGGCUCGAUCGUUUCUCCUCCAUCAAGUUUAUUAUCGAUGUAAGCAUCAAUUUGGUUUCGCUGCAAAGCAUCAUAAAGAUGACUGGUGAAACCAUUGCGGGUGUCUGUGCCUCUAAAACUGAGAAACACAUCGUGCUUCAAAUAUGGAGUUGUGGGAGAAGAAGAGGAAGCCAUAUUUGUAUAUGCUUGAUAUGUGUAGAAGUAAGCUCUACUUGUGAUAAUUAUUCCCUGUAAGAAAACAAACGAUAUAAUUAUAAUGAUCAGUAAUAUAACUAGUAAGAGCCAUGUCGAUGAAUAUUCGUUAAAACCAAAACCAUAUUAUUUAACACGAACUGGAAAAUUCAAAUGGAGAAGUGAGAUCAGAAGGCAGAUGGCAAAAAUUGAUUGACAAUCCAUAUUUUUAUUCUUUCAGAUUCACUAUUAGUCAAAGACUAGCUAGUUGAGAUCUUAAUUACACCUGAUAAAUAAAGAGAGAAGCUAGUUGGGAGAUUAUUUUAAAAAAGUUGUUGGGCAAGAUCAAAAUGUCAGAAAACUUUGACUAAAAACCAAUUGGGUUCUCAUUUAAUUAGUCGUUGUUGGUUCAGAGAUAAUGAGAUAGAAAGAACAGAUCAUUUUGAGCCCAGCAAAGAAGAGCAAUGAAAGUUAUAAAGAGAGGAGCCAGUGGGAAAUUAGCUGAGAUCUUAAUUACAGAGUCAUUUUGAGCUAAAAGGGAAAACUCAAUAACAUAUAUAAACAGCAUGAAUGAUGCUACAGCAAUUGCCAAACAAGUGGAAUCUAACCCAAAACAGAGAGAAAUUAAUGGACGAACAGGAAGAAAGUUUUACCAGUUAUUAAUCAAGGGCAGCUUGUUGAUCUUUAACCCUCUGUGUGCCACAACGAGGAUAUAUCGUCUUCUUUCUCUUGUUUCCUUAAUGUGCCAUGGAAGAGACGUUGAGGUCAGUUUCCUGGAAGGAAUGUGCAUAACAUCAAACUACUAUUGUUUACUAGCACACGCUGAGCAAGUGGUGAUUAUCUAACCAAUUAUAAGUUGGGAAUGAAAAUUAAUAAUUUAAUAGAGUACUCACCAGACAAAGACUCUAACAUUUUUUUGUAAUUAAUUAUUUUAAAAAGUUGAAUUAAUGGAGGAAUACAUAUAUGGUGCAUUAGAUUUUAUUAAUUCUCAUCUCCAACCAAACCCCACAAAUUGUAUAAAACAUUGAAGCGCUUACAGCCGGCAGCCGGUUUAUUAAUGUUAUAGUGUUUUAAAAUGUUUUUUAUUUGAAAAUAUAUUAAAUUAAUAUUUUUAUAUUUUUUAAAAUUUAUUUUUUACAUCAUUAUAUCAAAACAAUCUAAAAUUAUUAAAAUAAAUUAAUUUAAAAUAAAAAAGAAAUAAUUUUUUUUAAAAUACUUUUAAAAUACAAUAACAAACAAACUUUAAAUUAAAAAAAAAUGAUUGUGAAGAUGAUCAGUUAAAAUUCCUUGUUUCAUACCACGAAUUAGGAGAAAAAAAUUGUUUUCGUAACAUUAAACUCUACAAUAAUCCCUCUAUUUCACUUUCUAUUUCAUCUAGUUGAGCUAAGUUCACUUCCUUGUCUAAAAUCACAAACACCUGAUAAUGUUAAUAGAAAUUUAGAACAAAAAAUUGAGAGAAAAUAUGACUAUUUGUCAUAGUUUUCGGAUCCCAACCCGGAUCAAUAAUAAUCAUGUCAGCCAAAUGGUUCAUAACAUUCCGGAAUCAUUUAAAGUUUGAUUUUUAAUUAAAGUAUUUAUUCAAAAAUAUAUUAAAAUAAUAUUUUUUAUUUUUUAAAAAAUUAUUUUUAAUAUUCAUAAAUAAAAAUGAUAUAAAAAUACUAAAAAAAAUAAAUAAAUUUUAACGAAAAAAGAAAUUUCAACCUCAAUUCAAAACUGAAUUAGUCAUCAAUCUUCUUUUCCUUUUCUUUACUUUUGUCGGUGAGGAAAAGUUGAGGUCGGUUUCCAGGAAGGAAUGUUUAUGGUUUUAAAUAUCAAUCAUUAUUGAUGGAGAGCUCUAUCUUGUGUUUAACGCUAGCUGGGUGUCUAAACUAGUCAAAAAGGAGUUAAAGCGUCGUGUACGCGGAUGCUUGACUUGCUGUGUGCCCUUUUGAUUUUUGAACACAACCCUUGAUGCAUAGAUAGUGGAAUUACCGACUAAUGAUAUACCAACAAAAGCAUUCCAUCGGUGAAUUAGUUAGUAAAAUUUUCACUGACAGAGCAGUAUUAAAAUACCAAAACCUGCAACCUUGAUAUAUCUAUAGAAAGCAAAUAUUUUUUUAUAUAAAAAUCAAUUUUCAAUUGACUUAGUGUUGAAAGAUAAAAUUAAAAAAAAAUAAUUAAAAAAAACAUAAAAAACUAUUUGAGUCAACUCGGGUUAACUCGUUAAGCACGAUUCUCCGGCCAUGAGGCUAAAAUAACACAAUAGAAAGUUAACAAAACAAAUCAUAAUGUCUAAUUUCAGAUCAACCCAAUAUUAAAUGAUGAAAUUGAAGAAAAAAAUUGAGUCAACCGAGUUAACCGUUAUACCAGUAAUCUGUAUCGCAUGAAAGUGAAAUAAUUCAAUAAAAAAAAAUCUUAUAUUAAAUGAUGAAAUUAAAAAAAAACAUUGAUUGAAAAAAAAAACAUAGAAAAAAAGAAGCAAAUCAUUAUUUCAAUGAAUAGUGUUUAGUGACGUAGGGUACAGUAAAAACCUCUCCUCUUUUAAUUUAAAGCUAAUACUAGAUAAUUAUCUUAUAUUGAAAACUCAAUUCCUAGUCAACCUAAUAUUAAAAAAAAAAUAUAUAAAAAAAAAUUAAUUAACAAAAAACAUGAAAAAACCACUCGAGUCAACCUGAGUUAACCAACCAAACUUGUAAUUUGAGUCAUGAAGUCGGAACAUCUUCAUAGAAGACAAAUCAAAAUGAAUUAUAAAGUCUGAUUUUUAAUUAACCCAGUUUUAAUGGAUGUAAAUGAAAAACACAUGCAUUUAAAAAGAAUAAAUAAUAAUAAAAAAAAACUCACUAUAUACAUCCAUACAUAGCCGAUAAUGUUCAAAAUUCACAAUUAAUUUUCUAGUAAGGAGGAGCUAGUGUUUGAUAUAAAAGAUAGUAGUAAUUAAUGAGGGAGAAUAACCCUUUUCUCAAGACAUGUGAGAAGCACAAUACAAAAAAGGACAAUUUCUUCUGUAGGGAUUGCCCAGGAGAAGAAGAAACUGAAAUUUCCAGCUCAUCUAGUUUAUUUACAAAAAUACCAUUAAUAAGUUUACAUGUUAUUUUUUUGUCCGAAUGCUGCUGACAUUCUUGUACAAUUUUUCUGAACUUGAUCUAAAAUUUUAACUUAUAAUAAAAUAAUAUGUUAGAUGAUUUCAUAAAAUUUUAUUUUUAUAUUAAAAGUUAUGUUAAUUAAAAUAAAACUAAUUUAUAAAUGAUUUUAUAUUAAAAUCUGAGUUUUUGUUGUGUCAUCGCAUAGAUUGUAUUAUUCUACUAAAUUUUUAAGAUCAUUUUUUUAUUCCGAAAUAUAUCUAUUUUACCUCUUUAUUAUUUAGUUUAUAUAAAGAUUUAUUGUUGUUUCAUAUUAACGUUAUUAAUUUUUAAUUGAAGUUUACAUCAACAUUGUUUUAUAAUAAUAAAAAUUUCUUAUGAAUUCAUCACAUAUUUUAAAUUAUUUUAAAUUUUCAAAAUUUCCUCAUAAUUUAUCAUUUUUAAAUUAAAAACUACAUUAUUUAUGACUGAUUAGGCACGUCAAGGAGUAUGGUCAAACUCGUAUAAUUGUACGUGUCCUUUAAUAACAUUGACUCUCAAAAAGUAUAUCGUGAGCUUGAACAUGAGCUUUAAUUGUACGUGUCCUUUAAUAACAUUGACACUCUUUAAUCUCGUUACUAAUUAACAUGUCCUUUUUACGACUGAGUCUUAAAUCAUAUAAGAUGUUGCGUUUUGGUCUUAAAUCAUACAUCCACUCACGCUCUAGCCUUUGUUAUAUUAUUGUUUACGAACAGAUAAAAAAACAAUAAUUGUUGAUACUUAAAAACAAUAAUAUUAAUUAAAUUUAAAGUGUGUCUUAAAUAAUUAGGAGAACUCGAAAGCAGUUGAUUGGAUUACUGGGAAUUAACAUGACUUUUGCUUAAACUAUUUUUAGUUGAGACAGAGACUGGAGAGGAAGACUGUCGAUAAUAGCAAUCGUUUUCUUAUCUCCUCUAUCAUAUCUUGAAUAAUUGAUGAGAGAGUGGCAUGCCAAUUUCUUAUCAAUUGUUGAUGUAGAGCUCUAUCUUGUGUUAAACGCUAGCUGGGUGUAUAAAUCAGUCAAAAAGUAGGAUGUCCCACUGGCAAAGAUGAGUUAAAGCAUCGAAAAAAUCCCAGGCGUUAGGAUGAACUUGCCACCAGCCCGUCCGAAGCUGUUGUGGAUUGAAUCACACCAAAUUUAUUGUGGAAACAACUUCCACACAAGUGAAUGGUGUUUUAGUUUUUCACUGAAAAACUUGUUGAGACGAUGGCUUCUAUUCUUUGCUCUUUCCUUUGUUAAAAUCAGUAUAUGGAACUGAUGCUUUGCAGGUAGCAGAGAGAGCAUGUUGUUCUUGUGGAACAAUGAUCCCAUUGAGAACUUGAUCAUUCAAAAUCAGUUCUUAUUUCUUUUCCAUUUUUCCUAAGCAGCAAGAAAGAGACGAAUUCCUAGUUAAAAAAGAUUUAAUGCUGCCACCUAACUGUUUAGAGAGAGAGAGAGAAGAACACAUUAUAAAAACAAAACCAUCAAACAUUUUUUAGCAAAACUUGCAAGUUUUGAUCAUACUCCAUUAUGGAAGUUAUGACAAAUAAGAAAGUUUUUACACGCAACUAUCUAUGCCAUAACUCAAUUCUUAAUUUAAAAAAGUAGUGAUAAAAAAAAAUAAACUUUUGAAUAAUGAUAUGACAGACAUUUAAAUUAUAGCUGGUUAGAACGUACGGUAGACUGAACAAAUCGGAGGUUUGAGGAUCAACAUGGACAAUGUUGCCAAGUUUGGCGGUUCAAUUUUGAUAGAUAAAGGCUUCAUUAGGAAGAAAGCUGAAGAUAAAGGCUUCAUUAAGAAGAAAGCUGAAGAUAGGUAAAGGUAUCUCAGCUGUGAGAGGUUACCAAGUGAACAUCGGAUUGACCCGGUUAUGGAAUUAUUGGCAAGAUCAAGUAAGCCAAGGUUUUCCAUCUGCCCCAUUUCAUCUGGAAUGGAACCUUGCAGCUUGUUUCUCCCCAAAUAUAGUCUUUGCAACAGCUUCAGUAUAAGAAAACUGAGAGAAGAAUUGCUGACCAGGUUGUUGCUAUGGAGGUCAAGGAUCUCAAGGUUCUUCAACACAUACAUACAUUGAAAAUAUUACUUGGCUGUGAAGAGCAUUUAACAGAAAAAUUCAGUAAAUCAAAUUCUCUGGUCCAGCUUUGCUCUCUCUGUCACAAAUCUACUUUAAAUAAGAUCUCUUCAUCAAAAAAGCAAAACGUCACGCAGGGAUACAAAAAAACUCAUGUGUGUUUUUUUUCUGUGUUUCUCACUGUUGAAUGGAGCUGUUGACGCAUGUAGGAAAGCAAAUAACAUACAACGGCGAAUGAGUAGGCAAGUAGCAUACAAUUGCGAUUAAUAUCCAGAGGAGAAAUUAUAAAAUCCAUGUAAGAAAAAUGGGAAGAUGGGAAUCAAGAAAAAAAAAGUAUACUCCUACUAUUUAUCAUGACAAUGAAGACUAAGUUUUAUUGCACCUCAUUAGUUGAUGAUGAUCGAUAGGGCAACAAAGAUGGUCUCCUGUUUUGAAAGCUCCUUAACUUUAGCGGGCUCCACACCAGAGAUUUUCGUUGCAGUGCAACAACUGUUGGGUGCUUUGGCUUCCAAGAACCUGCUUGUGGUGGAGGACUCCCCAUGAAUUUACUACUGGUUCUCAUAACAGUAGGUGUGGUCUCCGAUGCAGUCCUGAACUCUGGCAAUGGAGAGAACAGCUUUGAAUUCCUUGGCUUUCUUGGGUCCCUGACAAAUGACUGCCUGCCAACUACAUUCCCAUUUUUAUAUCGCGAGGUUUGAAGUGGUGUCAUGUUUGAGGUUGGCUCUGAACGAUAGGUAGCAAUGGAUACCCGUCUCUUAGGCUGAAAAACCUGUGCUGACAUUGGAGGAGGAGGUCUGACUGCAACAGACAUACGUCUGGGUUUCAUAAGGCUUUUUGUAUUUGUUCCUGCAGUUGUGGUUCUUGGAUUGUUUUCUUUGUCAUGCAUCGAAGAUAAACCAGAACCGGUUUUCUGUUUUUGUAGAGGAGAUGGUGGAGGCAUGAAAUUGGUGAUUUUUCGCAACGGCAUCCUCAACUUUGAAGGGGACAGAGGUGGCUUCUUAUCUACUUUUCUCAUCUCUACUAGCAGCAACUGCAAAAGCUCGUGUUUCCUGCUUUAGAACCAACUGAUGAGAAAGUGGCACGCAAUUUCUUAUCAAUUAUUGAUGUUGAGCUCCUUUUUGUGUUAAACGUUGGGUGUAUAAAUUAGUCAAAAAGUAGGAUAUCCCACUAGCCAAAAGGAGUUAAAGCAUCGGAAAGUACGCGGAUGCUUGACUUGCUGUGUGCCCUUUUGAUUUUUGAACAGAACCAAGCAGUGAUUUCCUUAUGGAUACCCUUGUUAGACCCUUGUUAGACCAUGAUUCAAGUUCCCACUGAAGAAUUUACUACUUUUCUCUUAACAUAUGAUGAAGAGUUUUUCAUACAGGCUUGGGGUUCGACCUGAGCAAUUCUAGUGUCACGGGUUUUAACUGGCCACAAGGAUUUUUUUCCCCCUCCCUGUUUUUUUCUUAAACCCAAAAUAAAAGUGUGUUUUUUUCUUAAACCCAAAAUAAAAGUGUGUUCUAUUCUGCUUGAAUGAAAGAUCCUGAAUGGCCAAAUGUCCUUGAUGGUAAUCAUUCGGUUGGUUCUAAAUCUGAGUAUGGCAACCUGCAUUUUCAUGUAUGAUGACAUUCUGUUUCAAUUUGCUGCUGCAUUGUUGUUAAUUAUAUCAACAAGUAAUAUGUCAUGUUUAGUUCUUCAUUACUAGACAUGAAAUGUUGAAUUAAAACCAUGGCCUGAUCUUUUGAAAAAAAUCACCAAAUUUAUUGCGGAAACAUCUUCCAUACAAGUGAAUGGUGUUUUAGUUUUUCACUGAAAAACUUGUUGGGACGAUGGCUUCUAUUCUUUGCUCUUUCCUUUGUUAAAAUCAGUAUAUGGAACUGAUGCUUUGCACGUAGCAGAGAGAGCAUUGUUCUUGUGGAACAAUGAAUCCCAUUGAGAACUUGAUCAUUCAAAAUCAGUUCUUAUUUCUUUUCUUUCACCUUUUCCAUUUUUCCUAAGCAGCAAGAAAGAGACCAAUUCCUAGUUAACUGCCACAACUGUUUAGAGAGAGAAAGAGAGAGAGAGAGAGAAGAACACAUUAUAAAAACAAAACCAUCAAACAUUUUUUUAGCAAAACUUGCAAUAAAUACUAAAAGUUUUGAUCAUACUCCAUUAUGGACGUUACGACAAAAUUUGGAUUUUAGUCGCACUAUUGCCAGAUCACAUUCCAUAGAGGACGGCAAGAUUACAGUUUGCAUGUAACUAUUUGUGUCAUAAUACAAUUCUGGAUUAAACAAAAAUAACAAUAACAAAAAAUAAAACUUUGAAUUAUGAUCGGACAAAUAUUUAAUUCUUAGCUAGUCAGAACAGAAAGUGGAUAGAUAAUUCCAAGUCUUGUUAAAGAAAUUUAGAAAGCAGAUUGAAAAUAUGGUUAAGACCUAACAAAUUAGAGAUUUGAGAACCAACAUGAACAAGGUUGCAAAGUUUGGCGGUCCAAUUUUGAUAGAUGAAGGUUUAAUUAAGAAGAAAACUGAAGAUGGGGGCAAAAUGGCAAAAAACAAAGAAGCCAAGGACCUAAUUGUACUUUGGAUGGGCUUAAUCAGGUGCCCAAAUGAAAGAGUAAUAAGGUUUGGAAGUCAAUUUAAUUAAAAGCAGACGAAUUAAUAAAUCCAGGGACUUAUUUGAAUUUUAAAUUGGUUUAAUUAAUGUAAUAGGGAUUUAAUUAGAAACAUAUCAAAAAAAUUUCAACCCCAUAAAUGUUUCCAGGUGGAACUCUUAAUUCCUCAACUUCAGUUUCUAGACGAUGAAACCGCAAAAGCAUAACAUAGAUAUUAUUUUUGUUAAAGCAAGCCAGGGAGAGAAAUAAACGAUGUAAACCUUGAUAACUAUGCCUCAAACAUCUUAUAUGUGCAAUUGCAGGCUGAUUAUCUGAUAACAUCUCACCAAACUCAGUCAACAUCUUAUUUUUCACUGACAUAAUCAUCACCAUCUCACGAAACACUAACACAAACCAGUGAACAGAUGCAUACCUGAAGGAAUAUAGCCAACAGAUCCUCGCAGGCCACUUGCUGUAGAAGAAUAUUCAGUUGGUUUAGCAGCAAAAAAGACCUUUCCAAUUCCAAAGUCCGCAACACGGGCCACCAUGUAAUCAUCAAGAAGAACAUUUUGUGGUUUCAGAUCACAGUGCACAACACUUGAGUUGAGCAACCCGAUUGAAGAUACUCCCAAGGCAUUUGCAAUAUCUAUUUCUAUUCCUAAUCUCUCACUCAACGUCAAUCGACAGUUUCCUCCCUCGGACUCAGGAUAAAGAUGCUGUUCCAAGUUUCCAUUUCCUACAAACUCAAGGAUGAGAGCCUUGAACUGUGAAUUCCAGAUUGAUCCCAUCAUUUGAACCAGAUUCCAAUGCUUAAUUCCUGAAAGUAUUUGGCACUCCCUUUCUAGGCUUUGGUAACUCUGCCUACUGUCUUCAUUUAGAACCUUAACCGCGACAAAAGAUUUUCUAUCAUCAAUCCAAGCUUUAUAAACAGAUCCAAAGCUUCCUCUCCCCAAGAGAUUGGCAUCACUGAACCAGUUCGUUGCAAUUCCGAAGCGCUAUUCGUCUCCUCUAACUGAUACUUCAUCACUCUGUCCAUAUUCGGUUUACAAGCAACAAAGCACUGUUAGCAAAAUGAAAAAAGAAAAUAAUCAUUUUGGUCAAAUGAUAUUAAUGCACUGCAAGGUGAAUCAAACAUGCGAUCUUUCUUGCCGAAGAAUUUAGAGGAGGGCAAUUAAACAUUAACACAAACCAAACAGAUGCAUACCUGGAGGAAUAUAGCCAACAAUCCUCGCAGGCCACUUGCUGUAGAAGAAUAUUCAGUUUGUUUAUCAGCAAAAAAGACCUUUCCCAUUCCAAAAUCCGCAACAUGGGCCACCAUGUCAUCAUCAAGAAGAACAUUUUGUGGUUUCAGAUCACAGUCACAACUUGAGUUGAGCAACCCGAUUGAAGAUACUCCAAGGUAUUUGCAAUAUCUAUUGCUAUUCCUAAUCUCUCACUCAACAUCAAUCGACAGUUUCCUCCCUCGGACUCAGGAUAAAGAUGCUGUUCCAAGUUUCCAUUUCCUACAAACUCAAGGAUGAGAUCCUUGAACUGUGAAUUCCAGAUUGAUCCCAUCAUAUGAACCAGAUUCCGAUGCUUAAUUCCUGACAGUAUUUGGCACUCCCUUUUUAGGCUUUUGUAACUCUGCCUCCUGUCUUCAUUUAGAACCUUAACCGCGACAAAAGAUUUUCUAUCAUCAAUCCACGCUUUAUAAACAGAUCCAAAGCAAUUUUGAGCUCGCUAAGAGAUUGGCAUCACUGAACCCGUCCGUUGCAAUUUUGAGCUCGCUAAGAGUGAAAUUUCGUCCUCUGAAAGCCAUCAGAAUUGCCUCUUCAGAUUCUGCAUCACUUUUCCUUUUAAAGAAUUUUCUAAGACGGACCCCGACAUAUACCAAGAGCAGUAAAAAGCAGCUAAUAGUAAUUGCCAACAAGUAAUAGGUCCAUUUCCUUAACUUCCUCUUCUUUUGAACUGCACAUGGCUGGAGUCUCAUUAGCGCAGAACCACCACACAAGCCUGCAUUUCCUAUCAAUGUGCUUCCACUAAGAUUUUUAAACUUUCCCAUACUUGAAACUUCUCCAGUUAAUCUAUUAUAGGACAGGUCGAAAUUCUUCAUCACUGAGUCAUUGGCAAGCCAGAUUGGAACGCUGCCUGUUAAUUGAUUAAAAGCCACAUCCAGUACUUUUAAAUAUGCAAUUUGUUUCAAUGACUCUGGAAUUGUACCUUCAAUCAUGUUCUUGGAUAGGUUCAAGUACUCCAAAGCCGUACAACUUCCAACUGAACUUGGUAUAAUGCCAGAAAAUCUGUUCACCGAUAAGUCAAUAGCUUGUACAGAUACCAGAUUUCCAAUAGUUGCAGGUAUUUCCCCGUCUAGAUUGUUAUUUGAAAGGUUGAGGGAGAGCCCCAAGUUAGAAAAAACUCCAAUUUCUGGUGGAAGAGGCCCCUGCAAGCUGUUAAAAGAUAAAUCCAGCUGCAUCAUGAGAGAGCACUGGCUGAGUUUGAUGGGAAUAUUUCCUGAUAAGCUGUUAUUUUUAUUAGGACCUUAGAACCACCCCUUAAAAUGAUGUCAUUUAUAUCAUAAAUUUUAAUGGUGGGGUUAAUUGGUAAUAUGUGAUAGAUGGGAGCCAAUUUAUGAUUAUUUUUUUGGUUCGGGACUGGCUGAGUUAAGAAUCAUGUUAUAAUAGGAGGAUAAAUAUAUCCUUUUCAUCUCUAAUUCAUAAGACUAUUUGGUUUCAUGUUUGAUUCAAUCCAAUUGAGUUGCUUCAUAUUCGUAUAGAAAAAGAAGAGGAGAAGACGAGUUACCAGUGUCAAAAAGCGAAACCAUGCAUCCAUAGCAUUAAGUUACCAGUGUCAAGCAUUUUCCAUCAAUUUUAAAACUCGUUGACAAACAGUGGAUGGACUCCACACGCAACCAUCACAUCAGUAGCUCCCCACAGUGGUUUGAAAUGAAACGAGGCCUCCUUGAAAAAGCCCUUAGAGUGGACACUCCAAAUGAACACAUGCUGAUCCCUUUUCCAUAAACUCCUCACCUGUCUUUCAUAUUUAUCGUAGUAGUAGGAACUGAGAUCAAUCUGGGUUCCAUCUUUGAUUAUCAAAUGGCAUUCACAUUCAAUAUUAACCGGACGCCUUUCCCCGUUUUGGCCAAAUGAAACAACAGCGCAAAAAGUGAAACCACGAUAAGAAUGAGCUGGUUGCCGGAUUUUUACUGAAGAUCCUUCUCUAUUUUUAUAACUGAAACCCUCCGGGACUUCCGACCCAGGAAUACACAACCGAACUCUAAUGAACUGACCAUGAUAUUCCUGCACCGAAGAGAUUGAGAAUGUGAGAUACAUGUAAAAUAUUAUCGUGAUUUUUUUUCAAAAUAAAUCAAGAUCGAGGGAGGAAGAAUUCACCUGAUAAAACAAUGAUGUUGCCGUGCGUUGAAUUCGUAAACGGGCAUCACCCAUAAUUCUAGUGCGUUGAUUCUGAUCCAGUUGGAGGCAUCCAGAGAAAUUGAAUUCCUGAGAAGCAGCUUUAUAUUCUCUAUCACCUUGCAUGAACAUACUUGCUAUAGAUUUUAGAGAGAUGCAACCUGAUGCGAUUAAAACUUGUAGAGUCGAUGGAAGCUCUGGUAAACAUUGAAGCCGCUUGCAGUCAUCUAAAUAGAGUUCACUUAGCUUAGUAAGGUGCUUGAUGCUUGCAGGUAUCCUCUCAAAAUCAAUCUUAGAUAAUCUCAAUCGUGUUAGCGACAACAAAGAGCCUAAGCUCUCUGGAGCUUUUAACACACGAGAAUUUUCCAAAUUUAAAAGUUCAUGGCAGCCCAAUUGAUAGGUGGAUGCGGCAAUUUCUUCUACUUUCUGGAAUCCUCUCAGCAUAUAACAACGUUGUUUGUCAAGUCCACUAAAUUCAAGAUCAAUGAAGUUGUCUGGAAGACUCGCUAGUUUUAAGCAACCACUGAGAAUGAGCGUAGUAAGAUGUUUCAACUCCACAAUGUUGUCGGGUAGGCUUUUUAGUCCUGAGCAAUCAGAAAGAUUAAGCCACGUAAGAGAUUUCAACCCGCCAAUUAUGUCCGAUAAACUUGCUAGUCCUGAACAACCACAAAGACUAAGUGAUUCAAGAGAUUUCAACGCGCCAAUGCUGUCCGGUAAACUUGCUAGUCUUGAGAAACCACUAAGACAAAGCGAUUUGAGAGAUUUCAACCCGCCAAUUAUGUCUGGUAAACUUGCUAGUCCUGAGCAACCACAAAGACUAAGUGAUUCAAGAGAUUUCAACUCGACAAUGCUGUUCGGUAGACUUGCUAGUCUUGAGAAACCACUAAGACGAAGCGAUUUGAGAGAUUUCAACACGCCAAUGUUGUCCGGUAGACUUGCUAAUCCUGAACAACCAUAAAGACUAAGCGAUUCAAGAGAUUUCAACUCUCUAAUGUUGUCCGGUAGACUUGCUAGUCUUGAGAAACCACUAAGAUGAAGCGAUUUGAGAUAUUUCAACUCGCCAAUGUUGUCUGGUAGACUUGCUAGUCUUGAGCAACCACUAAGUAUAAGAGAUUCAAGAGAUUUCAACGCGCCAAUGUUGUCCCGUAGACUUGUUAGUCCUGAGCAACCACUAAGAUUAAGCGAUUUUAGAGAUUUUAACGCGCCAAUGUUGUUCGGUAGACUUGCUAGUCCGGAGCAAUCAUAAAGAUCAAGUCGUUCAAGAGAUUUCAACUCGCCAAUGCUGUCCGGUAGACUUUUUAGUCCUGAGCAACCAGAAAGAUUAAGCCACGUAAGAGAUUUCAACCUGCCAAUUCUGUCCGGUAAACUUGCUAGUCUUGAGCAACCACAAAGAUGAAGCGAUUUGAGGGAUUUCAACGCACCAAUGCUAUCCGGUAGAUUUGCUAGUCCUGAGCAACCACUAAGAUUAAUGUUGUUAAGAGAUUUCAAUACGCCAAUACUGUCUGGUAGACUUGCUAGUCCUGAGCAACCACUAAGAUCAAUGUUGUUAAGAGAUUUCAACGCCCCAAUCUUGUCUGAUAGACUUGUUAGUGCUGACCAACCAUUAAGAUUAAGCGAUUUGAGAGAUUUCAAUGAGCCAAUGUUGUCUGGUAGACUUGCUAGUCCUGAGCAACCACUAAGAUCAAGGUUUUCAAGAGAUUUCAACGCACCAAUAUUGUCUGGUAGACUUGUUAGUCCUGAGCGGCCACUAAGAUCAAGCAAUUUGAGAGAUUUCAACCCGUCAAUGGUGUCCGUUAGACUUGCUAGUCCUGAGCGACCACUAUGAUAAAACAAUUUGAGAGAUUUCAACUCGUUAAUGUUGUCCGGUAGACUUGUUAGUCUUGAUAAAAGCGAUUUGAGAGAUUCCAACCCGCCAAUGUUGUUUGGUAGACUUGCUAAUCCUGAGCAUCCAUUAAGAUAAAGCCAUUGAAGAGAUUUCAACGCACCAAUGUUGUCCGGUAGACUUGCUAGUCCAAAGCAACCAUUAAGAUCAAACCAUUGAAGAGAUUUCAAUCCGCCAAUGCUGUCUGGUAGACUUGCUAGUCCCGAGCAAGAAGAAAGACGAAGCUCUACAAGAGAUCUCAACUCACCAAUGCUGUCUGGGAGACUUGCUAGUUUUGAGCAAGAAGAAAGACGAAGCUCUACAAGAGAUUUCAACUGGCCAAUGCUAUCUGGGAGACUUGCUAGUUUUGAGCAAGAAGAAAGACUAAGCUCUACAAGAGAUCUUAACUCGCCAAUGCUGUCGGGUAGACUAACUAGUUUUGAGCAAGAAAAAAGACUAAGCUUUACAAGAGAUCUCAACUCCCCAAUGUUGUCUGGUAGACUUACUAGUUUUGGCUGAUGACCAAGAUUAAGCUUAGUAAGACAUUUCAACUUGCAAAUGCUAUUUGGAAGACUUGCUAGUUUUGAGCAAGAAUAAAGAUCAAGUUCUACAAGAGAUUUCAACUCAUCAAUGUUGUCCGGUAGACUAGCAAGACUUUCACAUAAAGAUAAGUUUAAUCUAACAAGUUGAGAGAGGCACCCAAUUGAUGAUGGCAAAGUACAGAAACUCUCGAAUCUAGGAAGCUCUAAUGUGGCAAGACUGGUGCUGUAUUUAAUCGAGGAAGGUAUACCAGCCAAGCUACUAUAAUGUCCCGGAUGUAGAACCUCAAGGUUUGGGAUUUUAGACAGGUCUGAAUCAAUUAAGCUCAGCUUUGAGGAAGGGGGGUUCAUUAAUUUUAAAUUCUCAAGUGGCUGUAAAUAAAAAAAAAAGUAAUGUAAGAAAAGAUAAAUGUUAUGAAUAAUUUCAAAAUUGUCCUAUAUUUGAAAAAGAAGGGGAUAAAGCAUAUAUACCUGGCCUUCAUUCCAAAGUUGUUCAAGCUGGCUACAGGGCAUUUCAAGUUGAAAAGGUUUCUCAGGGAAAAAAUUUGAUGGCAAGGAUUUCAAAGGGUAAUUAUACCAGUAGAGAAACCUUAGCUCACUUGAAAGAAAGUGAAGCCCUCCUGGAAGGUGGAUUCCGACCCUCUUUCGAUUCAUAAUUUGCUCCUUUGAGGGAUUCUUUAAGAAAGGUGGGUAGUAGAUUUUGAGCAAUCUUAAAUUAUACAUCCCUUCAAAUGCUGUAGGACUUAAUCUCAAUUGAUCUUUAGUUGCAUCCAAGAUGAGGGAUAUGCUUUCCACUUUUGAUCUAGUCCCCUAUUUAACAAAUUAAAGCAAAGUGUAAAUCAGUAUAUAUAUAUAACAAAUAAAGAAGAAGAAGAAGAAGAAGCUGGCCUUGAUAUUUAUUCUUGUCCAAGGCGACAUCUCUUAGCUAAACAAGAAAGUCAAGCAACAGUCAAUUAAAUCACUUGGAAACGUUACCUGAGUUGUUAAUACACGACAGACAUCCUCAUCCUCCCACAACCUGCUACGUUCUCUAGGGUCAUCAUUUUCUCGGAGGACAAUUUCUCGCCCUAGAAGUAGUAGCACAUCAUGCAUCCAGAUCUUGCCGUGAACAAUUUUUAUGAGACACAUAUCAGCGAGACGAUCGAUCCCACUUCUUUCUUUCAGAUCUAGUGUUUGUUGGAGGAUAUCCCUUUCGCACAGUUCAAAGAAACAUGCUAUAUCAAGAAAUAUUUUCUUUUCUGUCUGAUUUAAUUCAUGAUAACACAUUUCCAAAUGUUUCUUAAUGUCCUCGCUACCAUUUGUUCUUAGCUGUGCCACCUUACUUUCCCAGUAUUCAACACUCCUUUUAUUGUAUAGAUUGGCACCUAAAACCUUGAGAACUAAUGGAAUGCCCUUAACACAGCUUACCACAGUUUUUGAUAGCCCAGUAUAUCCUUCCAUGGGACGAUCUUGUUUAAAAGCAUGUAAGCUGAAGAGUCGUAGUGCAUCGUCUUCAUCUAAAAUUUCAACCUCGUAAAUUUUGUCUUCAUCACAUGCAUUUUCAAGAACUCGCCUAUCUCUACUUGUCACCAUGAUUCUACUUCCUUGGCCAAACAAACCAUCCUCUCCUAGUAAAUAUUUUAAAUCUUGUGGAUCAUUGACAUCAUCAAGAACUAUGAGGACUUUUUUCCUUUGAAGCAUUCGCUUAAUGUCCGGGGGUAACCCUAUUGGGCGUAUAGUCAUAUCUUUUUUCUCUAAUACUUCACCAAGAAUUUCCUGUCUUACAUGAUUCACUCCAUGCCUCUUUGAUUCUUCCCUCACAUUUUGGAAAAAGCAAUGGCCUUCAAAUUUACUACGGUUUCGAUGAUACACAACAUCAGCCGUCGUUGACUUGCCUAUACCACCUAUCCCCCAGAUUCCCACAAUGAGCACACCAGUUGAUCCAAAGGAUAGUAAUGAUUCGAUGUCUUUAACGCGUGAUUUCAUUCCAACAAGGCCUUCUGCAUCGAAUGAGAGUGACAGCUCAUGGCUAAAUUUCUUUUGAAUGUCGGAAACAAUUUCCUGAAUUAGCUUGGUCUCAUCCCUGCAGUGCAUAAUAAAUAAAGAACAAAGACAUGCUGUCAUAACCUAAGAAAUUUUAUCAUAACAUCAAACACAACAUUGAUUCUCGAACAAAAUGGUUUAAAUAAGUUGGGGUUUAAUAUGCUGUAACUAGAUUAAUAACUUACUUAAUGACGUUUGAAUCCCAGCCCUUGAGAUUAGCUAUUUCUUUCAAAGCACGUCUCCAACUCUUUACUUCUUCAGAACUGCAAUCUUUUUCAUGCUUGCAAAGUGCAUCUCCAUAGCUCCCAGUCAGAUUUUGAACAUGGCUUGGAUCAAGUCGGUAAAAUACUGGUAAGACCAUCUGUUGUUUGGUCUCCAUGCACUCAAGAAUCUUGGAGAGUUCCCUCAAACAGAAAGUAGAAUCUGCAUAAUUUUCAGAGAAAAUGACUAGCGAAAUAAACGACUCUUCAAUCCUUUUCAAGAGGGCAGGCUCGAUCUUUUCUCCUCCAUCAAGUUUAUUAUCGAUGUAAGCAUCAAUUUGGUUUCGCUGCAAAGCAUCAUAAAGAUGACUGGUGAAACUAUUGCGGGUGUCAAAGCCUCUAAAACUGAGGAACACUUCGUGCUUCAAAUAUGGAGUAGUGGGAGAAGAAGAGGAAGCCAUAUUUGUAUAUGCUUGAUAUAUGUAGAAGUAAGCUCUACUUGUGAUAAUUAUUCCCUGUAACAAGCAAUAAGAAAACAAACGAUAUAAUUAUAAUGAUCAGUAAUAUAACUAGUAAGAGCCAUGUCGAUGAAUAUUCGUUAAAACCAAAACCAUAUUAUUUAAUUAACACCAACUGGAAAAUUCAAAUGGAGAAGUGAGAUCAGAAGGCAGAUGGCAAAAAUUGAUUGACAAUCCAUAUUUUUAUUCUUUCAGAGUCACUAUUAGUGAAAGACUAGUUGAGAUCUUACACCUGAUAAAUAAAGAGAGAAGCUAGCGGAUGGAGGACAGAUGGGAGAUUAUUUGAGUUCUUAUAUCUAAUAAAUAAAGGCUAAAUAUGAUCAAACAAAGAUACAAGAAAAAUAGUGGUCUAUAGCUCAGACAAUAAUAGUGGUCUAUAGCUCAGAGGUUCUAGCCCAAAACAUGUGGAAAAUCAGAAAGAAGGAGAUAGAAGUGAAUAAUAACUGUCAGAAGAAUUCUUUAAAAAAGUUGUUGGACAGAGAUACAAGAAAAUUCAAGAAAUACAAGAAAAUGUCAGAGAUAAUGAGAUAGAAAGAAACAAUCAAAUUGUAAGAAAACAUGGUACAGUAAAAAUACAAGAAAAUUCAUAACUAAAAACCACUUGGGUUCUCAUUUAAUUAGUCGUUGUUGGUUCAGAGAUAAUGAGAUAGAAAGAACAGAGCAGGAAUAUUUAAGAAGAAAAAUAUGAGCCCAGCAAAAAAGAGCAAUGAAAGUGAUAAAGAGAGGAGCCAGUGGGAAAUUAGCUGAGAUCUUAAUUAAUUACAGAGUCAUUUUGAGCUAAAAGGGAAAACUCAAUAACAUAUAUAAACAGCAUGAAUGAUGCUACAGCAAUGGCCAAACAAGUGGAAUCUAACCCAAAACAGAGAGAAAUUAAUGGACGAAUAGGAAGAAAGUUGUACCAGUUAUUAAUCAAGGGCAGCUUGUUGAUCUUUAACCCUCUGUGUGCCACAACGAGGAUAUAUCGUCUUCUUUCUCUUGUUUCCUUAAUGUGCCAUGGAAGAGACGUUGAGGUCAGUUUCCUGGAAGGAAAGUGUAUAACAUCAAACUACUAUUGUUUACUAGCAUACGCUGAGCAAGUGGAGAUUGUCUAACCAAUUAUAAGUUGGGAAUGAAAAUUAAUAAUUUAAUAGAGUACGCGCAUGGGUAGACUCACCAAACAAAGACUCAACAUUUUUUUGUAAUUAAUUAUUUAAAAAAGUUGAAUUAAUGGAGAUUAUCCAGGUGUGGAUUAGAUUUUAUUAAUUAUUAUCUCCAACCAAACCCCACAAAUUGUAUAAAACAUUGAAGCCGGCAGCCGGUUUAUUAAUGUUAUAGUGUUUUAAAAUUUUUUUAUUUGAAAAUAUAUUAAAUUAAUAUUUUUAUAUUUUUUAAAUUUUAUUUUUUACAUCAUCAUAUUAAAACAAUAUAAAAUUAUUAAAAUAAAUUAAUUUAAAAUAAAAAAGAAAUAAGUUUUUUUAAAAUACUUUUAAAAUACAAUAACAAACAAACUUUAAAUUAAAAAAAAUUGAUUGUGAAGAUGAUCAGUUAAAAUUCCUUGCUUCAUACCACGAAUUAUGUGGAUGAGGGAUUGUUUAGGAGAAAAAGAUUGUUCACUCCCUUUUUGUAACAUUAAACUCUACAAUAAUCCCUCUAUUUCACUUUCUAUUUCAUCUAGUUGAGCUAAUUAGUUCACUUCCUUGUCUAAAAUCACAAACACCUGAUAAUGUUAAUAGAAAUUUAGAACAAAAAAUUGAGAGAAAAUAUGACUAUUUGUCAUAGUUUUAAUUUGGAUCCCAACCCGGAUCAUUAAUAAUCAUGUCAGCCAAAUGGUUUAUAACAUUCCGGAAUCAUUUAAAGUUUGAAUUAGUCAUCAAUCUUCUUUUCCUUUUCUUCACUUUUGUCGGUGAGGAAAAGUUGAGGUCGGUUUCCAGGAAGGAAUGUUUAUGGUUUUAAAUAUCAAUCCUUAUUGAUGGAGAGCUCUAUCUUGUGUUUAACGCUAGCUGGGUGUGUAAACUAGUCAAAAAGGAGUUAAAGCGUCGUGUACGCGGAUGCUUGACUUGCUGUGUGCCCUUUUGAUUUUUGAACACAGCCAAGCAGUGAUUUCCUGGUGAUUUCCUUGUGGAUACUGGUGGUCUUCCGGAAAUCUUUUUCCAGACAACCCUUGUUAGACCAUGAUUAAAGUUUCCACUGAAGAAUUUACUACUUUUCUCCUCACAUAUGAUGCAUAGUUUUUAGUCCGGGCUUAGGUUUCCACCUUAAUCAAGGUUUGAGUCAUGGAUUUUGAUUGGAUCACUAGGAUUAAAUUUUAGUUUUUUAUUAAAUCCAAAAUAGAAUUGUGUUCUUUUUCUGCUUGAAUGAAAGAUCCUAAAUGUCUGUAAAAUCAUUGUUUUUUAAAUUUUUUUCUCGAUUGAAUUAGCAACAAAUAGUGGAAUCACCGAGGAACGGUAUACCAAUAGAAGCAUUUUAUUGAUGAAUUAGUUGGUAAAAUUUCCACUGAUAGAGUAGUAAUCUUCCGGAAUCUUUUUCCAGACAACCCUUGCUAGACCAUGAUUAAAGUUUCCAUUUAAGAAUUUACUACUUUUCUCCUAACAUAUGAUGCAUAGUUUUUAGUCCGGGCUUAGGUUUCUACGUGGAGCAAGUUUCGAGUUACGGGUUUUAACUCGAUUAUCAAAACUUUUUUUUAAAAAACCCAAAAUAGAAGUGUGUUCUUUUUCUGCUUGAAUGAAAGAUCCUAAAUGUAUGUAAAAUCAUUGUUUUUUAAUUUUUUUUUCUCGAAAGAAUUAGUGAUAAAUAGUGGAAUUACCGACGCACGGUAUACCAACGAACGCAUUCCAUCAGUGAAUUAGUUGGUAAAUUUUCACUGAAAAAAUAGUGAUCUUACUCUGACGGAAAAAUUUUGUUAGUAAAACUACUAAAUGUUGUAGUGAAUUGAAAAAAACAAUCAAUUAUAAAAUAUCUAAUUAAAAACGCUACCCGAGUUAACCUGUCAAACUCGCGACCUGGAUCAUAAGAUUAAGAUAACCCCAUAAAAAACAAAUAGAAACAAAUUAUAAAUUUCAAUCUUCAAUAAGUUUAAUAUUAAAGAAUGAGAUUAAAAAACAACUCAUGCAGUGCAUGCGCCAAAAAUUACCUAUGUUAUUCUUUUUUCCAAGACAUAGGAAUAAUUAAACUAUGUAAUAAAGAUAUGAAAAUACAAAAUUAACCCUAAGUAUUUAUUUAAUUAUUUUGUUUUUUAAGGGAGAUAUCAGUCUACUAUAAAUUAUAAAUUAUACUGUGCGCAAUCCACAAUAAAAUAUUCAUAAUAAAAUAUUGAUGCCUUUUAAUUUUAUUUGUAAUUUUAAGAUAGACAUUAGUUAUUUACUAUGAAUUGUACUAUACACAAUCCAAUGCGUUUUAGUUUUAUUUAUAAUUAUAAUAUGCUUCGCCCAACAUAUCUGAUCAAUUAGUUUGGGAAGCGAAAAUUGUUAAUUUUAUAGAAUACUCGGAUGGGUUGACUCACGAAAAAAUAUAGUUUGAGGACCAAAUAAAAGGUAAAAAACAUAAUUGUUCAUUUAACAUGACUUUUGCUUAAACUAUUUUUAGUUGAGACAGAGACUGGAGAGGAAGACUGUCGAUAAUAGCAAUCAUUUACUUAUCUCUUCUGUCAUAUCUUAAAUAAUUGAUGAGAGAGUGGAAUGCCAAUUUCUUAUGAAUUAUUGAUGUAGAGCUCUAUCUUGUGUUAAACGCUAGCUGGGUGUGUAAAUUAGUCAAAAAGUAGGAUGCCCCCCUGGCCACGAUGAGUUAAAGCAUCGAAAAGGUCGUGUAAUUUCCUGGUGAUUUUCUUUUCUGCUUGAAAGAAAGAUCCUGAAUGGCCAAAUGUUCUUGAUGGUAAUCAUUCGGUUGGUUCUAAAUCUGAGUAUGGCAACCUGCAUUUUCAUGUAUGAUGACAUUCUGUUUCAAUUUGUUGCUGCAUUGUUGUUAAUUAUAUCAAAGUUGAGAAUAAUGGAAUGUGUUAGGUUGUGCCUUAGCCAACCUUCCUAUUUAUAUAGAGGUAGUAGAACACUGCAGUAACUGUAAUGAUUACAACAUCCUAUAUUAAUUUUCUAUUCUGAUAUAUACAUGAGUAACUGUAAUGAUUACAACAUCCUAUAUUAAUUUUCUAUUCUGAUAGAUACAUGAUAUACAUUCUAUAAUAAUCAACAGGUAAUAUGUCAUGUUUAGUUCUUCAUACUAGACGUGAAAUGUUGAAAUAAAACCAUGGCCUGAUCUUUUGAAAAAAAAAUCCCAGGCGUAAAGAUGAACUUGCCACCAGUCUGUUCGAAGCUGUUGUGGAUUGAAUCACAAAAUUUAUUGUGGAAAUUAACUUGUUGAGAUGAUGGCUUCUAUUCUUUGCUCAUUCCUUUGUUAAAAUCAGUAUACGGAACUGAUGCUUCGAAGGUUGCAGAGAGAGCAUAUUGUUCUUGUGGAACAAUGAUCCCAUUGAGAACUUGAUCAUUCAACAUUAGCACAUCAAAACAAUCCAAAACAUAUAAACUGUAUUAAAUUUUAGCAAAAAAAUAAAUUUUUUAAUAACAUGGUUUGCACCGUGUCUCCAAAUAGUUUCUUAGUCGGUGAGGAAAAGUUGAGGUCGGUUUCACGAAGGAAUGUUUAUGGUUUUAUAAUAUCAAUCAUAUUAUUGAUGUGGAGCUCUAUCUUGUGUUAAAGGCUGGCUGGGUAUAUAAAUUAGUCAAAAAGUAGGAUCUAUCCCACCGGCAAAAAGGAGUUAAAGCGUCGUGUACGCGGAUGCUUGACUUGCUGUGUGCCCUUUUGAUUUUUGAACACAGCCAAGCAGUGAUUUCCUGGUGAUUUCCUUGUGGAUACUGGUGGUCUUCCGGAAUCUUUUUCCAGACAACGACCCUUGCUAGACCAUGAUUAAAGUUUCCACUGAAGAAUUUACUACUUUUCUCCUAACAUAUGAUGCAUAGUUUUUAGUCCGAGCUUAGGUUUCGACCUGGAGCAAGUUAGUUACGGGUUUUAACUGGAUUAUUAAAUUAUUUUUUUUAAAAACACAAAAUAGAAGUGUGUUCUUUUUUUGCUUAAAUGAAAGAUCUUAAAUGUAUGUAAAACCAUUGUUUUUUUAAUAUUUUUUUCUUGAUAGAAUUAUCGACAGAUAGUGGAAUUACCGACAAAUGGUAUACCAACGGACGCAUUCCAAUGGUGAAUUAGUUGGUAAAAUUUUCACUGAUAGAUUAGUGAUCUUAUUUUGACGGAAAAAUUUUGUUGGUAGAACUACUAAAUAUUGUAGUGAAUUGAAAAAAACAAUCAAUGAAAAAAGAUCUAAAAGCGUUACCCGAAUUAACCUGUCAAACUCGCGACCUGGAUCAUAAAAUCAAGAUAAUAGCAAUCAUUUUCUUAUCUCCUCUAUCAUAUCUUAAAUAAUUGAUGAGAAAUUAAGUGGCAUGCCAAUUUCUUAUGAAUUAUUGAUGUAGAGCUCUAUCUUGUGUUAAACGCUAGCUGGGUGUAUAAAUUAGUCAAAAAGUAGGAUGUCCCACUGGCCACGAUGAGUUAAAGCAUCGAAAAGGUCGUGUAAUUUCCUGGUGAUUUUCUUUUCUGCUUGAAAGAAAGAUCCUGAAUGGCCAAAUGUUCUUGAUGGUAAUCAUUCGGUUGGUUCCAGUUCCAGUUUGUCCAUAGGCGAUUAUGCAGACAUUGUAGCCAUCCAAAACUGAAGCGACUAUUGGUUUAUAUCAACAGGUAAUGUGUCAUGUUUAGUUCUUCAUACUAGACGUGAAAUGUUGAAAUAAAACCAUGGCUUGAUCUUUUGAAAAAAAAUCCCCGGCCUUAAGAUGAACUUGCCAUCAGUCUGUUCGAAGCUGUUGUGGAUUGAAUCACAAAAUUUAUUUUUGGAAGGAUCAGAGGAAAUGAUCUGCAACUCAUUUAUCUUGGGAAGAGUCAAAUUCAACUACAUAGUUCGAACCAUUUGUUAUUUCGACUUGAUUUAGUGGUCUGCAUCUACAGAAGACCCUAAUAUUCCUUUUAAGCUCGAUCACCUCAUUGUAAAGCCUCUUCCUCUCAGACAACUCUUGUAGAUACUUCUUUUUAAGAAGUUCAUAUUCAUUACCUGACCAAUAUCUCAACAAGUAAACUAUCAACUACAUAGUUCAAAACAUGUGUUAUUUCAACUUGAUUUAGUGGUCUGCAUCUACAGAAGACCCUAAUAUUCCCUUUAAGCUCGAUCACCUCAUUGUAAAGCCUCUUCCUCUCAGACAACUCUUGUAGAUACUUCUUUUUAAGAAAGUCAUAUUCAUUAACUGACCAACAUGGACAAGGUUGUAAAGUUUAGCGGACCAUUUUGAUAGAUGAAGGCUUCAUUAAGAANNNNNNNNNNNNNNNNNNNNNNNNNNNNNNNNNNNNNNNNNNNNNNNNNNNNNNNNNNNNNNNNNNNNNNNNNNNNNNNNNNNNNNNNNNNNNNNNNNNNNNNNUGGAAGUUAAUUUGGGUAAAAGUGGAAGAAUUAAUAAGUCUUAGGGACUUGUUUGAACAUUGGAUUAGUUUAAUUAAUACAAGGAGGGACUUAAUUAGAGUAAAAUAAAAGUUUGAGAGUCAAUUCGGUUAAUUGUGUUAAUCAAUUUACUUCUCAACUCGCCUUGUGCUGAUUAUAGAAAAAUAGCAAUUUUUUUUUAACCCCAUAAAUGUUUCCAGGUGGAGCUCUAAAUUCCUCAACUUCAGUUUCUAGACGAUGAAGCCGCCAAAGCAUAACAUAAAUAUUAUUUUUGUUAACGCAAGCAAGGAAGAGAAAUAAACGAUGUAAACCUUGAUACCUAUGCCUCAAACAUCUUAUAUGUGCAAGUGCAGCCUGAAUAUCUGAUAACAUCUCACCAAACUCAUUCAACAUCUAAUUUUUCACUGACAUAAUCAUCACCGUUAUUUAUUUAGCUUCACCAUGCUUCAUUUCCCAAAUUCCAUCUGUUUCCAAAGGUUUUGGAGCUCUCUGGAGAUCAAAGAUAUGGAAGGACGGCUUUGUGGAUUCUCUUCUGUGCACAUCAUUCCUGCAUCGACCACAUGAACACAGCAUUGCUUUAGCUUCUCUAUAGCACCACUUGAAUGUGCCUCUCGCUUCAAUGACAUGUCUACCACAUCCAAAAUAUGAUGAGGGGUUGCCGCACCCACCCACUUCCUUAGAUCAAGCCCGUCUGUGAACAUUUCUCCUGUUGGUCUUUGCCUUGUUAUCAAUUCCAGCAGCAUGAUACCGAAGCUGUAUACGUCUCCUCUAACUGAUACUUCAUUACUCUGUCCAUAUUCUGUUUACAAGCAACAAAGCACUGUUAGCAAAAUGAAAAAAGAAAAUAAUCAUUUUGGUCAAAUGAUCUUAAUGCACUGCAAGGUGAAUGAAACAUGCGAUCUUUCAUGCCGAAGAAUUUAGAGGAGGGCAACGAAACACUAACACAAACCAACCAGAUGCAUACCUGGAGGAAUAUAGCCAACAGAUCCUCGCAGGCCACUUGCUGUAGAAGAAUAUUCAGUUGGUUUAUCAGCAAAAAAGACCUUUCCAAUUCCAAAGUCCGCAACAUGGGCCACCAUAUCAUCAUCAAGAAGAACAUUUUGUGGUUUCAGAUCACAGUGCACAACUUGAGUUGAGCAACCCAAUUGAAGAUACUCCAAGGCAUUCGCAAUAUCUAUUGCUAUUCCUAAUCUCUCACUCAACGUCAAUCGACAGUUUCCUCCCUCGGACUCAGGAUAAAGAUGCUGUUCCAAGUUUCCAUUACCUACAAACUCAAGGAUGAGAGCCUUGAACUGUGAAUUCCAGAUUGAUCCCAUCAUUUGAACCAGAUUCCGAUGCUUAAUUCCUGACAGUAUUUGGCACUCCCUUUUUAGGCUUUUGUAACACCGCCUGCUGUCUUCAUUUAGAACCUUAACCGCGACAAAAGAUAUUCUAUCAUCAAUCCAAGCUUUAUAAACAGAUCCAAAGCUUCCUCUCCCCAAGAGAUUGGCAUCACUGAACCCGUCGGUUGCAAUUUCGAGCUCUCUUUGAGUGAAAUUUCGUCCUCUGAAAGCCAUCAGAAUUGCUUCUUCAGAUUUUGCAUCAGUUUUCUUUUUAAAGAAUCGUCUAACACGGACCCCCACAUAUACCAAGAGCAGUAAAAAGCAGCUAACAGUAAUUGCCAACAAGUAAUAGGUCCAUUUCCAUAACUUCCUCCUUUUCUUAUGAACUGCACAUGGCUGGAGUCUCAUUAGCGCAGAACCACCACACAGGCCUGCAUUUCCUAUCAAUGUGCUUCCACUAAGAUUUUUAAACCUUCCCAUACUCGAAACUUCUCCAGUUAAUCUAUUAUACGACAGGUUGAAAUUCUUCAUCACUGAGUCAUUGGCAAGCCAGAUUGGAACGCUGCCUGUUAAUUGAUUAAAAGCCAGAUCCAGUGCUUUUAAGGAUGCAAUUUGUUUCAAUGACUCUAGAAUUGUACCUUGAAUCAUGUUCUUGGAUAGGUUCAAGUACUCCAAAGCCGUACAACUUCCAACUGAACUUGGUAUAAUGCCAGAAAAUCUGUUCACCGAUAAGUCAAUAGCUUGUACAGAUACCAGAUUUCCAAUAGUUGCAGGUAUUUCCCCGUCUAGAUUGUUAUUUGAAAGGUUGAGGGAGAGCCCCAAGUUAGAAAAAACUCCAAUUUCUGGUGGAAGAGGCCCCUGCAAGCUGUUAAAAGAUAAAUCCAGCUGCAUCAUGAGAGAGCACUGGCUGAGUUUGAUGGGAAUAUUUCCUGAUAAGCUGUUCUGAGAUAGGUAAAGGUAUCUCAACUGUGAGAGGUUACCAAGUGAACAAGGGAUUGACCCGGUUAUGGAAUUAUUGGCAAGAUCAAGUAAGCCAAGGUUUUCCGUCUGCCCCAUUUCAUCUGGAAUGGAACCUUGUAGCUUGUUUCUCCCCAAAUAUAGUCUUUGCAACAGCUUCAGCUUUCCAAAAGUUGCUGGAAUUGUCCCGUCCAAAUGAUUGUACCACAGUUGUAGGGUCACGAGGCCACUCAAGUUUCCAAUACUAUCUGGAAUCUCUCCUCUUAUACGGUUAUUCAAAAGAUUGAAAUAGUAGAGGUCUUUGGAAAGAUUUCCAAUGGAAGCAGGUAAACUCCCAGAAAAUAAACAUGAGCCCAAGUGCAGUUUCAUCAGAAAUGAACAGUUUGUGAGAGCAGUAAGAAAACUAAGAGAAGAAUUGCUAACCAGGUUGUUGCUAUGGAGGUAAAGGAUCUCAAGGUUCUUCAACUUCCCCAGUUCCUCGGGAACUUCACCCUCCAAGUAAUUGACACUCAAAUCAAGCAGAGUUAUCUGUGAAAGAUUUGAGAAUGUCACCGGAAUCCUACCAGAAAUAUUGUUGUUCAUAAAAUACAACUUCCGCAAGUUUUGGAGCUUGUUCCCCAUUUGUGAAGGGAUUUCCCCGGAUAAUCGAUUCUCAAUCAAUGAAAUUGCUUGCAAUGCAGUGCAAUUACUUAGUGAUGCAGGUAUUGUUCCCUCAAGAAAGUUCAGGUGCAAAUACAAAAUCUCAAGCCUGCUCAAAACUCCAAGCUCCACAGGGAUUUGCCCAGUAAAGUAGUUCACAGCCAGUUCUAGUUGUGUCAAUUCUGUCAGGUUUGACAAAAAGGCCGGAAUGACCCCAGUGAGGUUGUUUUCAGAGAGAGCUAAAAAACUCAGCUUCUUCAUCCAUCCUAGUUCUUCAGGAAUGACCCCAGAAAGGUUGUUAUCAGUCAAGUCUAGAAAUUUCAAGAUUUGACAGCCGUGUAGUGAAGCUGGCAAGGCACCAGAGAGCUUAUUUUCACUCAUAUUGAGAUAUUCUAACUGUGAGAGUGCUCCCAAGGUAGUUGGGAUUUCUCCAUGGAAAUUAUUACCCUGCAAGGAAAGCUUGGUGAGAAGAGAAAGAUUGGAUAGAAAUGGCGAUAUACUUCCUUCUAAGCGCAUGUCUGUAAUCUCAAGAUCUAUAACGCGGUUUUGGAGAGAUUGGUGGCAUGUAACUCCGGUCCAGUUACAGAAAGGAUUGGCUUCAUUCCAAUCCUUGACGUAUCCUUCCGGAUCACUUGUUAUGCCUGCCUUGAAUUUGAGAAGAGCUUCACAAUCAGUAAAAUUGCAAACAAAUGCCGAUGCUCCUGGCAUGAGAAAAAAGAUGAGACAGAACACUGGCACAGCCAUGUUGCAGUUUUGAUUGUGUGCCAUCCUCUCUAUUGUUCUUUCUUAGCAGAGAUUCUGGAACAAAACGUUUCUUGAUGUGAACAAAAAAGUGAUUCUGUUUGCACUUCUGCUGCAUUUUUUCCAAGACUGUAAGGUAAUCUUAACUUGAUAUGUGGCAAGAAGAAUUAGUGAUCAAACCACCUACCCUAGCAGAGCACAUUAAAUUCAUGCAAGUGGAUGCUUUUUUUCCUACCUUCUUGGCGAUGAUAAUUAGGUGAAGCUAUCAUACUUUGUCCAUUGCCAUUGACAACCACAUCAUUUUUCUUCCACAGUAAUCUAGAUAAGUAUUAUAUGGUCUUCACUCUAUGAAUUAUAUAUGUCAGAAACCUGAGCCGAGGACCACGUGUAGUAAUAAAUUAUCUGAAUACACUACUCCUCAAUCCUCUUUUCCCACCUGUUUAAUAUUGGUCUAUAUCAGUGGUCCACAAUUUAUUAUUUCCAUUUCAUAUUAGACUUUUGAUCUUAAGAGUAAAUAAUUUCCAGUGUAGAAAUGCAGAUGCACAAGAUACAUGACAGCCUUCUUCUGACAGAAGUUUCUUACCAUAGAUUUUGACAUAUUCAACUGCAAAGAUAGCAUAAAAAUCCUUCAUAUCACUCAAGGAAGUAGGGGACACAUCAUUCAGAGAACUUAAAGGAUACACUACUCCUCAAUCCUCUUUUCCCACCUGUUUGAUAUUGGUCUAUAUCAGUGGAAAUUAGACUUUAGAACUUAGAGUGAUAAUUUCCAGUGUAGAAAUGCAGAUGCAUAAGAUUUUAACUGUCUGAACCUCGACAGGUAAUUUGAAAUAUACAUGACAUGACACCUUCCUUUGGACAGAAGAUUCUUACCAUAAUCAUGAAAAUAGAGUUUUUAUACUGUACUUUGGUUUCAUUCACAAUGAACAUAAAGUUAAUAGAGGAGUACAAACCAUACAUCCCCAAAUUAAAGAACAAAAAGAUGGAACUUUGGCAUGCCUGAUCUGCAAAUAUACCAUACAAAUCCUUCAUAUUUAGUGUUGAGUUUUGAGUCCUGAGCAGAACACAAAAUCUGAAAGUGAAAAUGUCAAUACGAAUGUACUGGGUGUUUCAAUAUCAAAACCAAUCAACAUGUUUGCUUGAAAUCUUUGGCUGCUUCUUUGGCUUCUGGAAUCGAUUGUUCUAGAACCUAGCUUUAACGAUAAGGGAAUACAGCAAGUCUGCCUCAGCUGCACAAUCGUGAGGCACCUCCAAGACUGUGAAACCCCUGAAAAUUUAUAAUUUAAAUAUGUAGAUGUGUAAACCCUCAUGUAAACAUAAGACUGAAAAUGGUAAUAUUUCAAUGAGUGAUGAAAACCAAGAUUAGAAAUAAUAGAUAAAUAAUGAUAUAUAAUGGAAGAGAUGACCUUCAUAAAAUGAAUUUUGGUUUAAAAUUCAUAAGGACAGAGAAAAUGGUAACGUGUUUUGAUGGAUGAAAUAAUGAGAAAAAUGACAAAAUAUUUUUAGGAAAUAAGUGAGGUAAUAAAUAAUACAUUAUAAUAAAGGAUAGUACAAUGAAAAGGGUAGGACUGAAGGUGCAAGCACCGCUUAAAAAUCAGUGAUGUUAUUUUGAAAGGAUAAUAAGCCCGAUAAAUAAAUAAAGGUGAAAAUCCUAAAAUGAAUACAUUCCAAAAUAAUUAAACGACCUUAAAGGUUUAGAAUGAUAAUUGAUAUGAUUUUUUUUUUGUGAAGAUUGAACAAGAAAAAUCUAGAUUAUUUAUGAAAAGUUAUGAACUGACCAAUUUUACAUUAGGAAGCAGAGCUCUCAAUCCAAUCGUCGGAUCGGGAUGAAAUUUUAUAUAAAGUCUACUAAUAUGUUUUCCCACCUUGGUUAAAUAUCUCAUUCCAAUCGGAGUUUGACAAAGACUAGCAAUUUAAACAGAAAUAAACCAGAUAGUUUACAUGAAAAAUAAAAUAAAACACAUAAAAGCAUGAAAGAUGGAUAAAAUUGUAAUUAUGAAAAAAGGUGCCUAUAAAACUGCAAAGAGUCCACCAGUUUAAAAAAAAGAAAAGAAAAAAGAUAGAGAAAAGUGGAUAAGGGGAGAGAGCUGCAGAUUUUGGAGAAAACCAAUAAUGCUCCGGUGGCCAUAUCUCUUGAAUCCACCGUUGGAUCAUUCGGAUUUUUGGAUACGUUGUUCUCCCUACACUCCUCUACUAACUGACCGGAGCGAUUGUAAGGAACACAAUCCGUUUGACAUAAAUCAUCAUCUGGAAUUUCCUGGAAAACAAAAAGGAAAUGCACCUGUAGGGCAGUUUGGUCCCCGGCCGAUAUUUCUCUCUCGUCCACCGUUGGAUCAUGCUCAAUUUUGGAUAUGUGGUGAGCCUAGAUGUUAUCUUAAUUCUGGACGGUUGAGAUCGGAAACUAUAUCUCCGGCAAGGUUUCGUGCAUGUUGAACAGUAGCUCGUCCAUUUUCAGGUAAACUCGGUUUUCUUCAGAUCUAGGGAGAUUUAACCGUUGGAUCAUUAUACUUUUAAGAUAUAUUAUGCACAACUCUAUGAUAUGUAGUCUGACCGUUGGGUUUGAAACAAUAAUCAGAGGUUGAUGACUUAUUUCCUUUUGAAUCUAUUGCUAGUUUUGGCAAAAUGUAGUAAGCUUGAUUAAAUACAUGUUUUGAUGAAAUUAAAAUUGUGUGGGUGUAGGUUUUAUGGAAGAUGUAAUGGUAAAAUAUGUUCUUGUUUUUAGUAUUAUUAUAGAUUAAAUGUGUAUUUUUUUAUAUGAGGGGAAGGAUGAUUAUUGUGUAAGAAUAGUAAGGAACAUUGCUAUAUGAACAUGUUGAUUGAAUAAAACAUGUUGAUUGAAUAGAAAGCUAACUUGUUGUUUGUGUGGAUAUAAAUGGGGUGGAACCAUGAAGAAAUUGAAAUGAAAGAAAUUUGAAAAAUAAAACAUAUUUAAAGCUAGUCAUAAGUGUUUUUAGCAAAUAGUUAGUUAAUGAAGGUUGUCAUGGAUCCCAAUUAGUAGGGUGAAAUUAUUGUCGUGAUAAUGAUAUGAGAAUAUUAAUUGUUAAGGUUUGCCGCAUAUGUUUAAUCGCAUGAGGAGAAAGCAAAAGAAAAUGAAUAGUUCAUCAUUGUUGUAUUAAUAAUGAUAAUAGGAGAAAUCUCAAAAGGAAUGAGUUUCUUUAUUUUGGUCUAAUCUUGCUAUAUUGUAGAGGUAGGGAAAUUGUUUGAAUGUUUUGCUUUAGAAUUGGUUUGGAUUUGUGAUUUAAUGAUGCCAAAUGACCUUAGAUAUGUUGCUUUUGCAUGAAAAUAAGUUGGAAGUUGAAGAGGAUUUCCAAGGAAUAAAAAUCCUCGUUGUCCAAAAUUUUAGUUAUAAAGAAGGGGCUGUUGUGAUUGUUGAUUUUGAGUCUUAAAACAAAAUAAUUUGGAGUUGGUUUCUUCAUAAAAGUUGUAUCUCUAUGUUUAGCCUUCCAUAGAGAUAAAUCACGCCCAAAACUGAGUUUUACAACUUUAGUUAUGAUUAAGACACUAGAUAGUGUUCUGGGUUAGUUAAGCUUAAUUGAUCGGAAUUAGAUAAUUUUUAAUCGUUGCUUGGAAUUGCUGCUGAGUGAUGGUUUUGAUAACAAAAUUAUAAGAAUGAAUAUAAACAUUAAAAUGAGUAAAAGUAUGAGAUCUUAAAGAAAAUUCCUUGUGAUUAGUUUGAGAAUACUAGUUGAAUGAGAAUUAAAUGCAGAUGUGAUGUUGGUUGUAUUGUUGAUAAAAAAUUGAAUCCCUGGUGGUACAGGGAAAGCUGUGGGGACUGGACAAUUGCAUGGAGUGGCAGCAUGUGCACCUAUUCUAGGUAGGUGAUUCAUCACCUUAUUUUGUAAUUAUUAGUUUUUCUUAAAUAUUUGUGUUGUGUGUUUAAUUGAUGUUAAAAGAAUGAAGCAAAUAAAUAAGUUGAGUGAUUAUUACAAAUGAGAAUUAUUUGUAAUUUAAGAGAAAUUACCGAAAUUAUUUGGCUAACAAAAGAGGUUAGCCGGGUGCUGGGUAAUUCGUAUGGAAUUACCGGAUUGAUUGUGGCAACCAAGAUGGGUUAGCCAGAUUUCUUGGGUAAUUAAGAGAAUUACCGGGUUUAUUGGUUAACAAGGAAGUUAACUGGAUAUGGGGUUAUUCGUAUGGAAUUACCGGAUUGAUUGGCUAACAAAAGAGGUUAGCUGGAUGAUGGGUAAUUCGUAUGGAAUUACCGGAUUGAUGAUUGGCUAACAAAAGAGGUUAGUUGGAUGAUGGGCAAUCCGGAGGUUAGUUGGAUGAUGGGUAAUUCGUAUGGAAUUACCAGAUUGAUUGGCUAACAAAAGAGGUUAGCUAGAUGAUGGGUAAUACGUAUGGAAUUACCGGAUUGACUUUGGCAACCAAGAUGGGUUAGCCAGAUUUCUUGGACAAUUAAGAGAAUUACCGGGUUUAUUGGUUAACAAGAAAGUUAACUGGAUAUGGGGUAAUUCGUAUGGAAUUACAGGAUUGAUUGACUAACAAAAGAAGUUAGCUAGAGGCUGAAUAAUUCGUAUGGAAUUACCAGAUGUAUUGGUAACCGAGGAAGGUUAACCAAAAGUGUGGGUAAUUAUAUGAAAUUACCGGAAUUAUUGACAAUCGAGAUGAGUUAGCCGGAUAGUUAAGUUUUAAAAAGAUUAUGUGAAUUAAUUGAUUGAAGUUAGAAAUAGUAAAUUCUAAAUGUUAUGAGUAAAAUAAUUAAUAUAUGACGAAUAUAUUGAGUAAAUUAAUUAAUGUGGUUAUUGGGUAAACACAAUGACUUGGAGAUUGGAGAGGAAUUGAUAGAUAAUUGGUUAUCAUAGUGCUGGUGGCUAAGGAUACAUUACAAUGAUACUUAACACCAUAAUGAUGGUGGCUAAGGGCAUAAAUUGAUACUUGGCACUGUGAUGAGGGUGAUGAAGGUUAUGUGAAGGAUGCUUAGUGACCGUAGAGUCGAUAACUAAGAUUGUGUGCAAAUGAUACUUGGCAACCGUGGUUACAAUGUAUAUGAUGUUAAUAAGAAAAAUAAAAGGGGUUCGGUACGAAUGGAAGAAUCAAAUGGCAUUGAUUAGCCAUCCAGGUUUGGAUUGCUAAUGGUAUCGAUGAAGUUUCAUCGGUGCCGGUAUUUCUUAAAUUGAUUAGUCUAGCCCAAUAUUAGAAGACUAAUAAUACUAAUGAGAUUUAUUAGUUGCAGCGAUUACCUUUUAGCAACAGUUUCAGAAAAAGGAAAAUAUUGAUUAGUUAUUCCAAAAGAAUGAGAUAAGUUAAUAAUACCAAGAGAGGAAUAUCUUGGUAUCAAGUGAGAAUUGAUUUGUAAAGAGAUGGUGUUCGCAAACCGUUGAGUUGUGUUGAGAUUUCCAAGAUGGAAUUAUUCUUGGCAAAUGAGAUAGGAUAUUAGAUGGAUAUUGGUAAUAGAUCGAAAAUAUAUGUUGUAAAAGAGGUUUAUGCCUAAUUUUAUAUAUCAAAAGAAAUUCCAUAGAGAUUAUUGUCUGCCAUUGUUAUUGCUUGUUACUAUCUUUUAUAUUUAUGUGUACAUGUUAAUUUCUAUUUUCAGAUCCAUCAGGGUCGCGUCAAGGGUAAUGCUAGUUUAGAUAUCUUUUGCUUUGACUAUGUAAAUUAUAAAACUUGAGAUGUAAUAUUAAUCCGUAAAUUUGAAUGUAUGUCUUUACUCUAAUGGUUUAAACUCUUAGUACCUAUUUGACCAUGCAUAUUUAUGGUUGAAAUUGAAUCUUUCAUUUGAACUAUAUUAUAUGAUGUUAUUGAAUAAGAUGUGUUGUGUUGAUGAUAAUGAGUUGGGUUGAGACCCAGGAUGAUUGGGUCGUAAUUUUGAGUUAUGAGAUGUGAGAUAUUAGAAGUGUAAACAGGGUAUAUGUCGAUAACUUGGGACCUACCAGUAUAGGGGAGACUCUACCGAAAUUUUGGUAGAAAUUUUGGUGGAACCUGUAUAUCAAAAAAAAAAUAUUACUUGAAAAUUUCCAAUAUAUCGCGAAAAAGAAUGUAGAAAAAUCGGGGUUGUUACAAAGACACUGCAAAAUCAAUGCAAGAACAAGUUAAUGAUAAGACAUAAGAAGUAAACCACAACCGUGUAGAAAGGAAAUCAAAUUAAGUAAAUUAUUAAGUUGAACUCCUAAUUCACUCAAUGUUAAAGGAUGAAAUUGAAAAGAAAAAUCAAUUAAAAAAAGACUUUAAAACAAUAUUUGGGUUAACCUGUCAAAUUCACGACCCGGGUCAUAAGACCGAGAUAACACAAUGAAAAAUAAAUCUAAACAAAUUACAGAUUUCAAUCACCAAUCAACAUAAUGUUGAAUGAUGAGAUUAAAAAAACAAGAUAAAAAACAACCCGAGACAAUCAACAAAACCCUUGACCCGGGGUAUCAUAUCGAGAUAAUAUAAUAGAAAGAAUAUAAAAAAAAUAACCUGAUUUAAUUUAGAUUAACUUGCCAAAUCUAUGACUUUAAUCAUAAGACUUAGAUAACUGACACGACCAAAAGAUUGAUGUCUUCUCCCAAGUGCAGGAGUGUCGAAGUAAUAAAUAACCCGGCAAGACCGGGGUCGAACCACAGAGAGGUUAAUUAUAUAAAUUACAAAUAAAGACAGAUUUGAAGAGAAUAAUAACAGAAAAGGAGUUGAAGAGAGUUUUGGGAUGUGAUAUUGAUGUAAGGAUUAAACAAUGAUAAAACAAAUGUCAAGGUUAGAGGAUUCACUAAUGGUAUUUCAAAUAAAUAUAAUAUAAACCCUUUUUAUUACUCAACUAGAAACCACACACAAAGGAGGUUCUAAUCGGAUGAUUUAUCAUUAAUGGCUCAUUAUAAAGUAUUAACAUGAUCAUAUUAAUUAUCUUGUCUAAGUAACACCAUACUUAUAAAUAUCAUCAGGCAUUCAUGUUGCUGGCUUAUGUUAACAACAAAUCAAGUUCCUAUCAUAACAACGAUGUCGGCCGAAAACUAUGAAGGAUCAAGCAUUCGAUGUACCAAGUGUUAUACAACAUAAAUCUAGAUUAACCAUUUAACAAGCAAGGUAUUAAGAAUUAGUAAGAUAAAAAGAUAAGACAUGCUAAUAACAAUUUAUCUUGGAUAUAAACAUUAAAGUCCAUGUUGAGUUUAUAUUAUACCUAUUCUAACACCAUUAGUAAAACCUUUUCACCUUGACAUAAUUAACUUAGCUAAACAUAAUGAAGAAGAAAAACAUAAAUAAACAAUAUAAGAACAUGAUUAUGAUAUAAGUUAACUAAGUAUAUGAAAGGAAAUGAAAAAACAUAAACAAGAGAUUAAUAUAACAUGAAAGAAAACUUGAACAUUACAAAGAUAUAAAGAAAGAAAGCAAGAACAUGAUCUUGAUCAGAAAACCAAGAUGACUAAAUACAUGGCAAAUGUCUCCUUUUAUAGGCUAAGAUGUGGAACUAUUGCUUGGUGGACUAAGGAAAUAGUUGGUGGCCAACCAUUGAUUUGGUGGCUGGUUUUUGACAUUGUUGGCUGCUGGUUCUUGAAAUUGUUGGCAGAUUUUUGAUAUUGUUGGCUGGCCAAAACGUCAUUGCUAACAUCAGAAUUUGAGCCCUUUGUUCCAUGAAAGCUGUGGGCAAUUGUCUCAGCUUUCCAGCAAAAAAAACCAGAGCUCAUUUGAACUUCUAGAACUCAAGAUAUGAGCUGAAAACCGAACAGUGUUUGAGCUGCAGGACAGGUUCUGACUUCUCCGUUGUUUCUAAGAUUUGAACUUGAUAACGGCAGAAUUGAGUCUUGGACCCUUCAUGAAAGUUUUAGGUCUAUGUCUUAUCUUUCCAUCCAUAUAAAGUGGACCUAAAUCCGAGUUCUACAACUCUAGUUAUGAUCAAAUAACAGAAUGGUGUUCCAGUUUAGAAUUGAACCAGCAUCUCUUCUCUUAGCCUAGUUCUCUUUUUGUCUCUUCACUUUCAAUAGUUAAUCACAUUAAUCAAUCUUUUGAAUUGUGAGAUAUACCUGCAUUCAAAACAAGCAUUUACUAUAAAUUAAAGAUAUAUUAUAUUAUCAGACUUGUUAUUAUAAAACAUGCUUUCGUUAGGGAAUUUAACGAUACUUUAGUGUAAUACGAUGAUAUAAAGCCUUAAUGAGAAUGCACUUUUAAGUACUAAUCACACCCCCCAACCAGCUUAUUACUAGUCCCUAGUAAUCAAAGCGUUAAAAUACAAAAACAAUUUGCAAGUUCCACAAAGCAAGGUAUUCAUCAUUUAACUUCUAUUAAUCUAUCCAAAUAAGCAAACUCUCAUUAAAUUUAUAUAUCUGCUUCAUACUUCUUAAACAAGAUAUUAAUAAACCUUCCUUUUGUGCUCAAUAAAUCAAAACAUAGCUAUGGAGCUUUUCAUGGAAGAAAACAAAAUUUUGUUCCAAUGUUUAAGGUUAACUUCCUUGGGUUGGGAUUAUUAUCUUUUUUUUUUUUUGAAAGCAAGAAUUUAUAAUACAAUGUAUCUUGAACCCAUGUAACGAGCUUUUAGCUAAUGACUCCCAGACCAGUUGGUCUUAGGGCAUCAGGUGUUGAGACACCCCUACGAGCUUAGUAACUCGGGUUGCAGAUACUGACACGUAGAUAGUGCAAUGUUUGAUUCCCUUAAGCUUUUCUCCUUAACCCAUGUAACAAGCACUGGGCCAAUAGCUCCCAAGUCAGUUGACUUUAGGAUACUAGGUGUUAAAACACCCCUUCGGGCUUAAUUGCUUAAGUCAAGGAGGCUACGAAACCAAACUUAUCUACUUUUUAUUUAUUUGUUUGUUUUUUUUUUCGCGAGAUUUUUUUUGUUGUUUUAUAUAUAUAUAUACUAUCCCUUUCCCUUAGUUGUUACCAUUAACAAAAGAACAUAAAUAAUGUAAUAAUCCAAUAUGCAACCCUCAUAUGUUAAAGUGUGUGUGUGAAAAUGAAGGUUUAAGAAUACUUGUUAAAUGAGUAUAUGAGCAGAAUUAAGUGAUAACAAUGCGAGAGUUUGUAAAUCUGAAUAUUUCAAGAAGUAUUAUAAUAGACCUUGUUAAGAAUGUUUACUAAGAUGCGUCUCAAGAGUCAUUAAAGUUCAUCCUUUACUCUGCCAUCCAAGUAACAACAGGUUUGCAAAUGGUUGUAAUAAUAGAAAACACAGUUAGUUAAUUUUUUUUUUUAAAUAUCAACUAUUACCCUCUCCCCCCAACCAAAACGAGACAUUGUCCUCAAUGUUCUAAGGCAGAAAGAUAGAGUAUAGAAGACAUCACCUGAAACAGCAACUACUGACAAUCCUGAAACACACUUUAAACAAAUAUAAGAAAGCACAAAACACAAAUAUUAUGCUAUUAAUAAAACCAAAAGACACAAUAUGUCACAAACUAAGGCUCAAAUCCAAUCUAAGCUUUUUACGGCGUUCCGUGAUUGACCAAUUGAGUCGACUCAUAGAGGAAUCAACUACAGGGAUGAAAGAUUGAAGUUCAUCAAUCAAUUGUUCAGCAGUAGUAGCAGAGAUGAGGAUUUGUCGCGCUGAAAAUGUUAGAAAUUGUUGUUCCACAGCAUGAUCAAGAAAAGACAGUAAAGUAUUAGAAAAACCAUUAACAUUUAGCAAACCUAUAGGUUUCUGGUGAAUGUUCAGCUGAGCCCAAGAUGAAAUAUGAAAUAUCUCUUCUAAAAUUCCCAAACCACCUGGUAAAGCAAUAAAGGCGUCAUCAUGGUUAAACAUUAUAGAUAGUCGUUUAGACAUUGUGGAGACCUGUAGUUUCUCUCCAACUGUUUUUCCAAUGAUGUCCCCUUCGGCUAAAGCUUUGGGGACGACCCCCAAAACUUGACUGCCUCCUAAAAAUGCAGCUAUUGAAACACUCCCCAUUAACCCAAGGCUGCCUCCCCUAUACACUAAAUGAAUCUUUCUCUCAGCUAGUACCCGACCAAGAUGAUUUGCUGAUUCUAUAAACUCUUUUUCUUUCCCAGGAUUGGAUCCACAAAAAACACAAAUAUUUUUUUAUUUUAGGAACAGAGGAACUGGCCAUUUCUACACACUUCUAUAUCUAUUAAACGAAUGGGUAGAGUAGAAAUGAUGGGAAGGAAGAGAAGAUUUUAUAGAUGAGAAAUUGAAAAUGCAAUCAUACCACCUAUAUGUAGGCUAGCUGGAGUCUCACUUUCUCUCUCUCUCUCUCUUUAUUUUUUUUAUUUUUUUAUUUUUUUUAUUAAUUUUUUUUAAAGCAUGUGUAUGUACAAGUAGCUGUGAUUGUGGCUCACAUCUUCCCUUGGUUUUACGUCCAAGAAUGGCUUAAACGCCCUCUAUGGGUCGGGGAUAGGCUUCCCAUCCAGUUUUCUUAAAAACUGACAAACAGGGUCUUUUUUAGUCAGAUUCCCAAGACUAAGUCGAUCAUGUGCUUUAUGAAAAUGAGGCUAUAAAUCAUGAAUUGUACGAUGCAUAUCUCCACUAUGAUGAGACUUAAGAGUCAAUAGAAGAUUAACUAAAGACUCUCGAUGCUUUGAAAUAAAUCCCACCUUUUGACAUUUUUCACAGGUUUUGCAGAAUGCAUGUGAGUCUUUGAACAUGGUGGGCCAAUAAAAUCCACUUUGUAAGAUUUUUGCAGCUGUCUUCUUUGGUGAGAAAUGACCCCCAUAUGUUUCAGAAUGACAAAAUUUAAUGACACUACUUACCUCAUUGUCGGAAAUGCAUCUUCGAAAUAUUUUAUCGGGACAAUAUUUGAAUAAGUAAGGGUCAUCCUAAUAAAAUUUCUGCACGUUGCUAAAAAACUUUCCUUUGUCUUUGGUACUCCAGUGAGUUGGCAAAUCUCCUGUUGCAAGAAAAUUGAUAUGAUUAGCAAACCAAGGCAUUGGACUACGAGAAAGUAAGGAUUGACCAGGAUAGUAUUUCUCAAUUGGUGUGAUGUCAGAUGUCGAAUCUAUUGUCAAUUUUGACAAAUAAUCCACGACAACAUUUUCGGUGCCUUUUUCAUCCUCGAUUUCUUCUUGUUUGAAAGUUUCAAAAAUUUCAGAAUCGUGAUUGACUUCUUUUUGCUUGGUCAUGGCAUGAGGAAAUGGAAGUACUGGUGGGGAAUCAGUCUUUUCUUUGCAAUAUUCAGGUUUAACCCCUUCCUUACCCUCAGAGAUUGACUCAUCAUCUUUCUCACAAGGUUCAAGAAUUGGUUUUUCAAUAACCUUACCACCGUGGAGAGUAAUGACUGAUUUGACUUGAUCCAUGUGUUGGCUUCCAGAGCUACUUGCAUUUGAAUUGUAUUGCCCUUUGGGAUUUUGCUGUGGUUGAGAUGAGAACUUACCUUUCUCAUGAAAAUUGAGAGCAGAUGUGAAUUUUGCAAGAGUAUCUUUAAAAUCUUUCAUGCUUUGAGCAAGUUGAGUGUUGAUUGUCUCUUGCUUUUCAAUGAAUGCAUAUAAAGUGUCCUCAAGAUUUCUUUCAGGAGGGGGAACACAAGGAGAUGCAUACCCAUGAGAACUUUGAAAAUUAUGAUGUGCUUGAAAUGGUGGUUGUGAAGUUUGUGCAUUAUUGUUACCACUCUUCCAAUUGAAAUUUGGGUGUUCUCUCCAACCAGGGUUGUACGUUUGUGAGUAUGGAUCAUGAUUUUGCCAUUGAAAACUGUUUAAAGCAUUGGCAUGUUCAUGGAAACAUUCCUUAAAAGAAGGCAAAGUUGGACAAUCAUUGGUUGAGUGUUCAUUAGUUUCACAAAUUUGACACACAAUUUCUUGAACAAAUUUAUUUGACACUCUUUUUAAUUCUAGUGCCUCACUUUUCUAGCUAAGAUGCAAAUUUGGCUUGGAGGUCAUGAUCUUCCCUAAGGUUGUACAUGCCUCCAUUAGAUGUAUGAGGUUGAGUUUUACUUGGUACCUCACACGUACCUGUGGUGUCCUAAUUCUGAGCAUUUUCAGCUAGCAAGUCUAGGUACUCCAUUGCUUCAUCAGGGUCUUUAUCUUCAAAAGUUCCAUUGCACAUCAAUUCCACCAUUUGCCUAUCUUUAGGUGUUAACCCUUCAUAAAAUUGUGAAACCAAUCUCCAUGUUUCAAAACCAUGAUGAGGACAGGUAUUAAGCAAGUCUUUAUAUCUAUCCCAACACUUGUAAAAUGUUUCUCCUAGUUUUUGAGUGAAAGUGGUGAUUUGCCUUUUGAAAGAGUUUGUUCUGUGAGACGGAAAAAACUUCUUUAAAAAUUGUUGUUGCAUUUCAUCCCAAGCACGAAUGGAUGCUGACCUAAUAUUUUGUAGCCAUGUUUUAGCUUUAUCUUUUAAUGAAAAAGGAAAAAGCUUUAAUCUGAUGGUGUUCAUGCUACAAUUUAAGUCAUUAUAGGUGUUACAAACUUCUUCAAAUUCUCUUAAAUGCAAAUAUGGAUUUUCUAAUUCUAAGCCAUGAAAAGUGGGUAAAAGUUGAAUAAUACCUGGCUUAAAAUUAAAAUGAGAAGCAUCAGGAGGAAAAACAAUACAUGAUGGUGCACUUGUUCUUGUUGGAUUCAUGUGAUCUCUAAGUGUUCUCACAUGAUUAUUCUCAUUAUUCUCAUUAUGAAUUGACUGGUUAUCUUCUUCGGCCAUGUUUUCUAAAGAAAAUGAGGAUUUCCUAGAAAGUCUACCACUUAAUGUACGUGUCCAAACUCUCAUGCAAGUGCAAAAGAAAAGAAAAAGAAAAGGAAAAGGAAAAGGAACAAAAUUAGAAAAACAAAUAAAAGUAAAAAAAACAAAAGAAAAUAAAAGAAAUAUAAAAUUUAUACAAUACUUACCUCCCCGGCAACGGCGCCAAAAACUUGACACGACCAAAAGAUUGAUGUCUUCUCCCAAGUGCAGGAGUGUCGAAGUAAUAAAUAACCCGGCAAGACUGGGGUCGAACCACAGAGAAGUUAAUUAUAUAAAUUACAAAUAAAGACAGAUUUGAAGAGAAUAAUAACAGAAAAGGAGUUGAAGAGAGUUUUGGGAUGUGAUAUUGAUGUAAGGAUUAAACAAUGAUAAAACAAAUGUCAAGGUUAGAGGAUUCACUAAUGGUAUUUCAAAUAAAUAUAAUAUAAACCCUUUUUAUUACUCAACUAGAAACCACACACAAAGGAGGUUCUAAUCGGAUGAUUUAUCAUUAAUGGCUCAUUAUAAAGUAUUAACAUGAUCAUAUUAAUUAUCUUGUCUAAGUAACACCAUACUUAUAAAUAUCAUCAGGCAUUCAUGUUGCUGGCUUAUGUUAACAACAAAUCAAGUUCCUAUCAUAACAACGAUGUCGGCCGAAAACUAUGAAGGAUCAAGCAUUCGAUGUACCAAGUGUUAUACAAUAUAAAUCUAGAUUAACCAUUUAACAAGCAAGGUAUUAAGAAUUAGUAAGAUAAAAAGAUAAGACAUGCUAAUAACAAUUUAUCUUGGAUAUAAACAUUAAAGUUCAUGUUGAGUUUAUAUUAUACCUAUUCUAACUACAUUAGUAAAACCUUUUCACCUUGACAUAAUUAACUUAGCUAAACAUAAUGAAGAAGAAAAACAUAAAUAAACAAUAUAAGAACAUGAUUAUGAUAUAAGUUAACUAAGUAUAUGAAAGGAAAUGAAAAAAACAUAAACAAGAGAUUAAUAUAACAUGAAAGAAAACUUGAACAUUACAAAGAUAUAAAGAAAGAAAGCAAGAACAUGAUCUUGAUCAGAAAACCAAGAUGACUAAAUACAUGGCAAAUGUCUCCUUUUAUAGGCUAAGAUGUGGAACUAUUGCUUGGUGGACUAAGGAAAUAGUUGGUGGCCAACCAUUGAUUUGGUGGCUGGUUUUUGACAUUGUUGGCUGCUGGUUCUUGAAAUUGUUGGCAGAUUUUUGAUAUUGUUGGCUGGCCAAAAUGUCAUUGCUAACAUCAGAAUUUGAGCCCUUUGUUCCAUGAAAGCUGUGGGAAAUUGUCUCAGCUUUCCAGCAAAAAAAACCAGAGCUCAUUUGAACUUCUAGAACUCAAGAUAUGAGCUGAAAACCGAACAGUGUUUGAGCUGCAGGACAGGUUCUGACUUCUCCGUUGUUUCUAAGAUUUGAACUUGAUAACGGCAGAAUUGAGUCUUGGACCCUUCAUGAAAGUUUUAGGUCUAUGUCUUAUCUUUCCAUCCAUAUAAAGUGGACCUAAAUCCGAGUUCUACAACUCCAGUUAUGAUCAAAUAACCGAAUGGUGUUCCAGUUUAGAAUUGAACCAGCAUCUCUUCUCUUAGUCUAGUUCUCUUUUUGUCUCUUCACUUUCAAUAGUUAAUCACAUUAAUCAAUCUUUUGAAUUGUGAGAUAUACCUGCAUUCAAAACAAGCAUUUACCAUAAAUUAAAGAUAUAUUAUAUUAUCAGACUUGUUAUUAUAAAACAUGUUUUCGUUAGGGAAUUUAACGAUACUUUAGUGCAAUACGAUGAUAUAAAGCCUUAAUGAGAAUGCACUUUUAAGUACUAAUCAAUAACCUCAUAAAGAGCAAAUUAAAACAAGUUAUGAAGCUCAAUUAUCAAUCACUCCUGUCAGACUCAAUGUUGAAUGAUGAAGUUUAUAAAAAAUUUUAAUUAAAAAUGACAUAAAAAAUAAGCUAAAUCAACUUGGGUUAACUCGUUAAACACUAUUCCCGGGUCAUGAGAUUGAGAUAACUUAAUAAAAAAUAAACCAAAACAAAUCAUAAAACCUACCAAACAAACUAAGUCAAUUGGGUUAACCUGCCAAACUAACAACUCAAGUCAUGAGACGAGGACAAACCAAUAAAAAGCAAAUUCAAUAUUGAAGGAUCCGGGACCCGAGCUAUGAGACCAAGAUAACCUUCCAGAAAGAAAAUAAAAAUCACUCGAUUUCACCAAUGUUAAAAUAUCAAAACUUGCAACCUUGAUAUCUCUAUAGAAAACAAAUAAUUUUUUUAUAUAAAAAUCAAUUUCCAACCGACUUAAUGUUGAAGAUAAAAUUGAAAAAAAUAAUAAUUAAAAAAACAUAAAAAACUAUUCGAGUAAACUCGGGUUAACUCGUUAAGCAUGAUUCUCUGGCCAUGAGGCUAAAAUAACACAAUAGAAAGUUAACAAAACAAAUAAUAAUGUCUAAUUUCAGAUCAACCCAAUAUUAAAUGAUGAAAUUGAAAAAAACAAUUGAGUCAACCGGGUUAACCCAUUAGACCAGCAAUCUGUAGCAUAAAAGUGAAACAACUCAAUAAAAAAAUAAUCUAAUAUUAAAGGAUGAAAUUAAAAAAAAAAUUGAUUGAAAAAAAAAGCAUAGAAAAAAAGAAGCAAAUCAUUAUUCCAAUGAAUAGUGCUUAGUGACGAAGGGUAUAGUAAAAACCUCUUCUCUUUUAGUUUAAAGUUAAUACUAGAUAAUUGCCUAAUAUUGAAAACUCAAUUCUUAAUCAACCUAAUAUUAAAAAAAAAAUUGUAAAAAAAAAAAUUAACAAAAAACAUAAAAAAACCACUCGAGUCAACCUGAGUUAACCAACCAAACCCGUGACUCGAGUCAUGAGGUCGGGAUAUCUUCAUAGAAAACAAACCGAAAUGAAUUAUGAAGUUUAAUUCUCAAUUAACCCAAUAUUAAUGGAUGGAAAUGAAAAUUAGAAAUCUCAAUUCCUAAUCAACCUAAUAUUGAAAAAAAAAUUCUAAAAAAAAUUUAACAAAAAACCUGAAAAAACAACUCGAGUCAACCCGAGUUAACCGAUCAAAUCAUGACUCGAGUCAUGAGGUUAGGAUAUCUUUAUAGAAAACAAACUGAAAUGAAUUAUGAAGCCUAAUUCCUAAUUAACCCAAUAUUAAUGGAUGAAAUUGAAAAAUAAAUGCAUUUAAAAAGAACAUAAAAAAUCUUGAGGCAACCAAGCUAAUCGUCAACUCGGGACAUGAAACCAUGGUAACCCUAUAGAAAAAAAAUUACAAAGUAUAAUUUUCAAUCAACCUAACAUUGAAGGAUUCAAUUGAAAAAAAUAAAUUAAAAAAAUAUCCUAAGUCAACUCGGGUUAACUUGUCAAACUCGGAUUAUGAGACUGAAAUAAAUCUAUAGAAAAAAAUCAAAUAAAAAUAUAAAGUCAAAUUCUCAAUCAAUCCAAUGCUGAAGGAUAAAAAUGAAAAAAUACUCAAUUAAAAAAGGACCCAAAAAAACUUGAGCCAACCAGUUUGUUAACCCGCAAAACUUGUGACCUGGAUCUUGAGAUCACGAUAACCCCAUAGAAAACAAAUAAAAAAAUAUGAAGCUAAAUUCUCAAUCAAUAAAAUUGAGGGAAAAAAUCUAUUAAAAAAAUAAAAAAUUGUUGGUCAGAUCAAAAUUAUCAAACUCAAUUCUCAAUCAACCUAACGUUAAAAAAAAAUUUAAAAAAAAAACAAUUAACAAAAAACAUGAAAAAACCACUCGAGUCAACCUGAGUAAACCAACCAAACCCGUGACUCGAGCAUGAGGUCGGGAUAUCUUCAUAGAAAACAAACCAAAAUUAAUUAUGAAACCUAAUUUUCAAUUAACCUAAUAUUAAUAGAAGUAAAUGAAAAACAAAUGCAUCUAAAAAGAAAAAAAAACCUCAUUAUAUACAUCCAUACAUAGCCGAUAAUGUUCAAAAUUCACAAUUAAUUUUCUAGUAAGGAGGAGCUACUUCUUUGAGGGGGGGAUCAAGAAAAAGUGUUUGAUAUAAGAGAUUGUAGUAAUAAGUGAUGGAGAAUAACCCUUUUCUCAAGACAUGUGAGAAGCACAAUACAAAAAAGGACAACUUCUUCUGUAGGGAUUGCCCAGGAGAAGAAGAAACUGAAAUUUCCAGCUCAUCUAGUUUAUUUACAAAAAUACUAUUCAUAAGUUUAUAUGUUUUUUUUUUUUGUCCGAAUGCUGCUGACAUUCUUGUACAAUUUUUCUCAACUUAAUCUAAAAUUUUAAGUUAUAAUAAAAUAAUAUAGUAAAAGAUUUCUCAUAAAAUUUUAUCUUGAUCUAAUAAUUAGAUUGAAAGUUAUGUUCAAUAAAGUAAAACUAAUUUAUAAGUGAUUUUACAUCAAAAUCCGAGUUUUUCUUGUGUCAUUCUUGCAUAAAUCGUAUUAUUCUAUUAAAUUCUCAGGAUCAUUUUUUUAUUUGAAAAUAUAUUUAUUUUAUCUUUUUAUUAUUUAGUUCAUUUAAAGACUUAUUGUUGUUUCAUAUUAACAUUAUUGAUUUUUAAUCAAAGUUUACAUUAACACUGUGAUAUACCAUUCUCGUUUUUGUUUAAGAAUUGAUCACAUAUUUUAAAUUAUUUUAAAUUUUAUUUAUUUUUUAUUUUAUUUUCAAAUUUUCCUCAUAAUUUAUCAUUUUUAAAUUAAAAACUACAUUAUUUAUGACUGAUUAGGCUCGUCAAGGAGUAUGGCCAUCUGGUUGGUAGGUCAAACUCGUGGCUAGCUAACUCNNNNNNNNNNNNNNNNNNNNNNNNNNNNNNNNNNNNNNNNNNNNNNNNNNNNNNNNNNNNNNNNNNNNNNNNNNNNNNNNNNNNNNNNNNNNNNNNNNNNNNNNNNNNNNNNNNNNNNNNNNNNNNNNNNNNNNNNNNNNNNNNNNNNNNNNNNNNNNNNNNNNNNNNNNNNNNNNNNNNNNNNNNNNNNNNNNNNNNNNNNNNNNNNNNNNNNNNNNNNNNNNNNNNNNNNNNNNNNNNNNNNNNNNNNNNNNNNNNNNNNNNNNNNNNNNNNNNNNNNNNNNNNNNNNNNNNNNNNNNNNNNNNNNNNNNNNNNNNNNNNNNNNNNNNNNNNNNNNNNNNNNNNNNNNNNNNNNNNNNNNNNNNNNNNNNNNNNNNNNNNNNNNNNNNNNNNNNNNNNNNNNNNNNNNNNNNNNNNNNNNNNNNNNNNNNNNNNNNNNNNNNNNNNNNNNNNNNNNNNNNNNNNNNNNNNNNNNNNNNNNNNNNNNNNNNNNNNNNNNNNNNNNNNNNNNNNNNNNNNNNNNNNNNNNNNNNNNNNNNNNNNNNNNNNNNNNNNNNNNNNNNNNNNNNNNNNNNNNNNNNNNNNNNNNNNNNNNNNNNNNNNNNNNNNNNNNNNNNNNNNNNNNNNNNNNNNNNNNNNNNNNNNNNNNNNNNNNNNNNNNNNNNNNNNNNNNNNNNNNNNNNNNNNNNNNNNNNNNNNNNNNNNNNNNNNNNNNNNNNNNNNNNNNNNNNNNNNNNNNNNNNNNNNNNNNNNNNNNNNNNNNNNNNNNNNNNNNNNNNNNNNNNNNNNNNNNNNNNNNNNNNNNNNNNNNNNNNNNNNNNNNNNNNNNNNNNNNNNNNNNNNNNNNNNNNNNNNNNNNNNNNNNNNNNNNNNNNNNNNNNNNNNNNNNNNNNNNNNNNNNNNNNNNNNNNNNNNNNNNNNNNNNNNNNNNNNNNNNNNNNNNNNNNNNNNNNNNNNNNNNNNNNNNNNNNNNNNNNNNNNNNNNNNNNNNNNNNNNNNNNNNNNNNNNNNNNNNNNNNNNNNNNNNNNNNNNNNNNNNNNNNNNNNNNNNNNNNNNNNNNNNNNNNNNNNNNNNNNNNNNNNNNNNNNNNNNNNNNNNNNNNNNNNNNNNNNNNNNNNNNNNNNNNNNNNNNNNNNNNNNNNNNNNNNNNNNNNNNNNNNNNNNNNNNNNNNNNNNNNNNNNNNNNNNNNNNNNNNNNNNNNNNNNNNNNNNNNNNNNNNNNNNNNNNNNNNNNNNNNNNNNNNNNNNNNNNNNNNNNNNNNNNNNNNNNNNNNNNNNNNNNNNNNNNNNNNNNNNNNNNNNNNNNNNNNNNNNNNNNNNNNNNNNNNNNNNNNNNNNNNNNNNNNNNNNNNNNNNNNNNNNNNNNNNNNNNNNNNNNNNNNNNNNNNNNNNNNNNNNNNNNNNNNNNNNNNNNNNNNNNNNNNNNNNNNNNNNNNNNNNNNNNNNNNNNNNNNNNNNNNNNNNNNNNNNNNNNNNNNNNNNNNNNNNNNNNNNNNNNNNNNNNNNNNNNNNNNNNNNNNNNNNNNNNNNNNNNNNNNNNNNNNNNNNNNNNNNNNNNNNNNNNNNNNNNNNNNNNNNNNNNNNNNNNNNNNNNNNNNNNNNNNNNNNNNNNNNNNNNNNNNNNNNNNNNNNNNNNNNNNNNNNNNNNNNNNNNNNNNNNNNNNNNNNNNNNNNNNNNNNNNNNNNNNNNNNNNNNNNNNNNNNNNNNNNNNNNNNNNNNNNNNNNNNNNNNNNNNNNNNNNNNNNNNNNNNNNNNNNNNNNNNNNNNNNNNNNNNNNNNNNNNNNNNNNNNNNNNNNNNNNNNNNNNNNNNNNNNNNNNNNNNNNNNNNNNNNNNNNNNNNNNNNNNNNNNNNNNNNNNNNNNNNNNNNNNNNNNNNNNNNNNNNNNNNNNNNNNNNNNNNNNNNNNNNNNNNNNNNNNNNNNNNNNNNNNNNNNNNNNNNNNNNNNNNNNNNNNNNNNNNNNNNNNNNNNNNNNNNNNNNNNNNNNNNNNNNNNNNNNNNNNNNNNNNNNNNNNNNNNNNNNNNNNNNNNNNNNNNNNNNNNNNNNNNNNNNNNNNNNNNNNNNNNNNNNNNNNNNNNNNNNNNNNNNNNNNNNNNNNNNNNNNNNNNNNNNNNNNNNNNNNNNNNNNNNNNNNNNNNNNNNNNNNNNNNNNNNNNNNNNNNNNNNNNNNNNNNNNNNNNNNNNNNNNNNNNNNNNNNNNNNNNNNNNNNNNNNNNNNNNNNNNNNNNNNNNNNNNNNNNNNNNNNNNNNNNNNNNNNNNNNNNNNNNNNNNNNNNNNNNNNNNNNNNNNNNNNNNNNNNNNNNNNNNNNNNNNNNNNNNNNNNNNNNNNNNNNNNNNNNNNNNNNNNNNNNNNNNNNNNNNNNNNNNNNNNNNNNNNNNNNNNNNNNNNNNNNNNNNNNNNNNNNNNNNNNNNNNNNNNNNNNNNNNNNNNNNNNNNNNNNNNNNNNNNNNNNNNNNNNNNNNNNNNNNNNNNNNNNNNNNNNNNNNNNNNNNNNNNNNNNNNNNNNNNNNNNNNNNNNNNNNNNNNNNNNNNNNNNNNNNNNNNNNNNNNNNNNNNNNNNNNNNNNNNNNNNNNNNNNNNNNNNNNNNNNNNNNNNNNNNNNNNNNNNNNNNNNNNNNNNNNNNNNNNNNNNCUCUUUAUCUCGUUACUAUUACAUGUCCUUUUUCGACUGAGUCUUAAAUCAUAUAAGAUGUUGCGUUUUGGUUUAAAUUAAAAUUUUGUGGCUUGAAGUUAUUGACAGGUUGCGAUACAUCCACUCACACUCUAGCCUUUGUUAUAUUAUUGUUUAUGAACAGAUAAAAAACAAUAAUUGUUGAUACUUAAAACAAUAAUAUUAAUUAAAUUUAAAAUGAUAAGAAAUUGUCUUAAAUAAUUAGGAGAACUCGAAAGCAGUUGAUUGGAUUACUGGGAAUUAACAUGACUUUUGCUUAAACUAUUUUUAGUUGAGACAGAGACUGGAGAGGAAGACUGUCGAUAAUAGCAAUCGUUUUCUUAUCUCCUCUAUCAUAUCUUGAAUAAUUGAUGAGAGAGUGGCAUGCCAAUUUCUUAUCAAUUGUUGAUGUUAAACGCUAGCUGGGUGUAUAAAUUAGUCAAAAAGUAGGAUGUCCCACUGGCCACGAUGAGUUAAAGCAUCGAAAAAAUCCCAGGCGUUAAGAUGAACUUGCCACCAGCCCGUUCGAAGCUGUUGUGGAUUGAAUCACCAAAUUUAUUGUGGAAACAUCUUCCACACAAGUGAAUGGUGUUUUAGUUUUUCACUGAAAAACUUGUUGAGACGAUGGCUUCUAUUCUUUGCUCUUUCCUUUGUUAAAAUCAGAAUAUGGAACUGAUGCUUUGCAUGUAGCAGAGACAGCAUAUUGUUCUUGUGGAACAAUGAUCCCAUUGAGAACUUGAUCAUUCAAAAUCAGUUCUUAUUUCUUUUCCUUUUUUCCUAAGCAGCAAGAAAGAGACUAAUUCUUAAUUUAAAAAAGAUUUAAUGCUGCCACCUAACUGUUUAGAGAGAGAGAGAGCGAGAAGAACACAUUAUAAAAACAAAACCAUCAAACAUUUUUUAGCAAAACUUGCAAUAACUACUAAAAGUUUUGAUCAUACUCACGUGGCAAAUAAGAAAGUUUUUAAAAAAGUAACAAUAAAAAAAAUAAAGUUAAAAUAAUAUUUGAGUGUUCUUCCUCAAAAUAAACUUGCAACUAUCUAUGUCAUAACUCAAUUCUUAAUUUAAAAAAGUAUAAAUAAAAAAAAUAAAGUUUUGAAUAAUAUUUGAGUGUUCUUCCUCUCAGACAACUCUUGUAGAUAGUUCUUUUUAAGAAGUUCGUAUUCAUUACCUGACCAAUAUUUCAACAAGUAAACUAUCAACUACAUAGUUCCAACCAUGUGUUAUUUCGACUUGAUUUAGUGGUCUGCAUCUACAGAAGACCCUAAUAUUCCCUUUAAGCUCGAUCACCUCAUUGUAAAGCCUCUUCCUCUCAGACAACUCUUGUAGAUACUUCUUUUUAAGAAGUUCAUAUUCAUUACAUGACCAAUAUUUCAACAAGUAAACUAUCAACUACAUAGCUCGAACCAUUUGUUAUUUCGACUUGAUUUAGUGGUCUGCAUCUACAGAAGACCCUAAUAUUCCCUUUAAGCUCAAUCACCUCAUUGUAAAGCCUCUUCCUCUCAGACAACUCUUGUAGAUACUUCUUUUUAAGAAGUUCAUAUUCAUUACCUGACCAAUAUUUCAACUAGUAAACUAUCAAAACCAAACCCCUCUAAAAAAAUAAAAAAUGAAAAGAAGAAAUAAAUUAGUUUCACUAUUGGAUACUCACCGAGUUUUUGAAGGGUGUCUAAAAUAUUGGGGUCAAGAAAGGAAUCCUUGACAGUCUUUACUUGAUUAGAGAGAUUUGAGUGUUCUUUCUUCAAAUUAUAAAACAACAACAAUUAAAUUCAAAGAAAGAUAACAAAUCAAUACCCCCAUCAACACAAUAAUGCAAAAUCCUAAUUUACUAGCUAAAACAACGAAAUUUAAAAUUGCCUGAAUUCUACAACUAAAACCAAGUCUUUUCAAGUCAUCUAUACGAUACCCAACACCACCAAAGUUCAAAAUAAGUACCUGAAUUUUAUCACUUAAAUUGAUAAUUUUCUGCAAAAUGGGCGGUGUUGGCCCCUGAGAUGGGGAAACUUGUCGAAUUCUAUUUGAUACGCUCUCCUCCUCCGAAUUAAUAGUUUCUCCUGAAAAUUCAUUAAAAUCAAAAUAACCUUUUUCAGUCAAAACAAUUUCAAUAUAAAAUACAAAUGUCUACAGUUCUACAGCACCGAAUUUGACUCAAAAGUCUUCUAAAUAUUAUUAGUUUGCUGUAGGUUGUAUAAUUUUUUUUUAAUAUAAUAAAAAAUAUUCAGGUCCUAGAAAACUACUUGAUAUUUUUAUUAAACUUGAUCUAGCAAGUCAACUUUGAAUUUUCUUGAUCCGACUUCUUACCUAACUCAAGUUUAAAAUUAAAGUUCAAAGGCGUCCCGUUGUCAUGUAAACAAAUUCAAGGAUGAAAUUAAAAAAAAAAUUGAGAAAAAAACAAACCUUGAAAACUAACUUUUUGCCUGACUUUGAUUUAAAAUUAAAUUAUAUGAAAGUUAUCCUAAUGAGUCUGGUUUGAUUGAAAAUGAUAGUUUUGACCCAAAACGAUCUACAACUCAUUUUUACCCUGGUCAAUAUGGUUUGACCUAUAUUGACUCGGUGGGCUUGAGUUUGACUGAAAAUGACGGUUUUGACAUGAGACGGCCCAAAACUCCUUUUUUUUUUUUUUUAUCUUGGUUGACAUAGUUUGACCUGAUAAAUUUGGUUUUGAUUGGAAAAUGAAAGUUGAUUCGAGAAAAAUAUAUUCUUAAAUUUUAAAAUUUUUCUUAAUUUUUUUUAUGAAUAAAAAUAGAAAUAAAAUGACAUAUAAAAAAAUUAUAAGAAAAUUUUAGAAAAUCCAAAAUUGAGUUACCACAAAUCCUAAGUUGAUGCUAAAGCAUACUUGGCCUUCAUUCCAAAGUUGUUCAAGCGGGCUACAAAGACAUUUCAAGUAGAACAAGUUUCCAAGGGAAAACAUUUGAUUGCAAGGAUUUCAAAUGGUAAUUGUCGCACGGGUGCGGCGUCGCGGCGAAAACAUCCACCCUCAAAAUCUAAUCUUAUGUGACAAAUGUGUGGAGACAAGGAAUUCAUGUCUUUUAUUAGUGGAAAAAUGAAUUGGGAGUCACCAUCUAGUAUUUUGGUCACUAGGAACCCUAACUGGUCUCAGAGAUCGGGUACGGAGACUGGUUGCGUAAAGGGAAGGUAUUAGCACCCCAAAUAUGUCCUACCUAAGGUAAGCUGCAUUGUUUUAUUGUCUGAUAAAAUAUAAAGUCAUGUCGUGCUUUUUAUUUGUUGGUCCGUCUAUGGCUUAAGAAAAAGUUCUCUUCGGUAAAGAGAUCCUUAUCUUAUCGGGUAAAACCUAAUCGGUCUAAUGCCAACAAAGAAAAUUUUAAUAUCCGGAACACGUCUUACGUAUAAGAUCAUAACCCCCGAUAUUAAAAGUAAACAAAAUAAAAAUUUUUAGAAUUUUUGAAAUAUUGGCCUAGUUCUCGUGACUUUAAUAAACUGGUUAUUAAAGCCAAAAUGCAUGCUAUACAUAUUUUUUGAAAUUUUCUUUGUUGUAUGAAAAUACAAUAUGAUUUUUUUAUUUUUGAGAGACUUGGCCGUAUGCAUGAAAACAAAACAUUUUUUUUUAUGUCUGGACGAAAACGUGGUAUUUUAAUACCGGAUUUGUAUCUUUACAGUAUAAAAAUACAAACCGAUAUUGAUCAAAAUGCAGUAAAAACUUUACAAAAAAAUCACGGAUAUUUUUGAAAUACCUUUUGAAGAAUUUUUUUUUGGGGCUGGGCCCAGCCCGGCCCAUGUGGCUGGGCUGGACCCAGCAAGCCUGGUCGGGUCACUGGCCCAAGCCAGUGAUCCGACUGGCUUUUAAACGCAAGCGUGUGUGAACAAUUCACGCACGCCUGCUACAGCCACAAAGUAAUUAAAUUGCAACUGCACAAUAUUUGUGCAAUUAUAAAUGGAAGGAAAAGGAAUGAAAAGCUUACCUGGUUCACAGCUGCUGCUGGGAGAAAUCUCUCCUAAGCUUGUCGCUGGUAUUCUGGGAAGAAGCUAUGAUGCCACCCGCUGUCUUGCUCGGUCUGGUUCCUGGUUCUGGAGAAGCGGAAGUUGAUGGUGAUGUCGUCCUCGUCCACUGACUUCUUCUCUCCUCCUCUGUUCUCCCCGUUUUCUUUUUGCCUCUUCUCUCCCUUCCUCUUCUUCUUUCUGCUCUCUCGUUCUCCUCACUGUCUCCUUCUUUUUUUUAUGUCUUUUCUCCCUUCCUCCUCCCUUUUUCCUCUCGGCUCGGUCUAUCCUCUGGCUUUUAUAGCCAGAGGAUGCAUGCGUUAUUGCAUGAAAAUAGUAACGGCCGGCAUGCAUUAGCUGUGAAACGCUCCCCAUAACUGAAGCAAUCUGCGGCUUUUGUUGCUGAAUCAAUUCCUCUGUCUGUUGAAACGGCUCCUGAAGAAGAGAAUGAAUAGUGCCUCUGAAACGACACCGUUUUCUUAUUACAAAUGCAUAUUUUCGAUUUGGUCAUUGGAGUUUUGUAUUUUCAUUUUUUGUGGGGAACCUAAAAAUGGGUAACAUCACUAAUUAUACCAAUAGAGAAACCUUAGCUCACUUGAAAGAAAGUGAAGCCCUUAUGGAAGGUAAAAGGUGAGUUAACUCGUCAAAUUAGCGAUUUAGGUCAUGAGACGAGAAUAACCUAAUAAAAAGCAAAUCUAAUGUUGAAAGACUCGUGAUUUAGGUCAUCAAAUCAAGAUAAUCUCUUAGAAAGAAAAUAAAAAAAAUAACUCAAUUCAACCAGUGUUAAAAUACCAAAACCCGUGACCUUAAUUGUAAGACCAAGAUAUCCCCAUAUAAAAAAAUCAAAAUAAAUUACAAAACUUAAUUUCUAACCGACUCAAUGAUGAAUGAUAAAAUAAAAAAAAUAAUAAUUAAAACAAGAGAAAAAAAACUAUUUGAGUCAACUCGGAUUAACUCGUUAAAUACUAUUUUUGGGUUAUGAGGACGGAAUAACACAAUAGAAAGUAAACAAAGCAAAUCAUGAAGUUUAAUUUCCAAUCAACCUAGUAUUAAAGAAUGAAAUAAUCAUGAAGUCUAAUUUCCAAUCAAUCCAAUAUUAAAGGAUGAAAUCGAAAAAAAAUUAAUAAAAAAGCCUAAGUCAAUCGGGUUAAGCCGUCAAACUAACGAUAUGUGUCAUGAGAGUGAGAUAACUCAAUAAAAAAACAAAUUUAAUAUUAAAGGAUGAAAUUAAAAAAAAAAACAUUGAUUGAAAAAGAAGAAAAAAAAAGAAGCAAAUCAUUAUUCCAAUGAAUAGUGUUUUGUGAGGAGGGGUACAGUAAAAACAUCUUCUCCUUUAGUUUAUAGUUAAUACUAGAUAAUUUCCCACGCUACAAUGCUGGUUAGAUCAAAAUUAAAAAAUCAAAUUUUCAAUCAACCCAAUCUUGAAGAAGAAAAUUGUAAAAAAGAAAAAACAAUUAACAAAAAACACGAAAAAAACAACUCGAGUUAACCAACCAAACCUGUGGCUCGAGUCAUGAGGUUGAAAUAUCUUUAUAGAAAGCAAACCAAAAUGAAUCAUGAAGCCUAAUUUCCAAUUAACCCAAUAUUAUUGGAUGAAAUUGAAAAAAAAUGCAUUUAAAAAGAACAAAAAAAAAAACUCGAGACAACCAAGCUAACCAUCAACUUGGGUCAUGAGACCUUGGUAACCCUAUAGAAAAAAAAUUACAAAACACAAUUCUCAAUCAACCUAAUGUUGAAGAAUUAAAUUGAAAAAAAUAUCCCGAGUCAACCCAAGUUAACUUGCCAAACUCAGAUUAUGAGACCAAGAUAAAUAUAUAUAUAUAAAUAAAAUAAAAAUAUGAAGUCAAAUUCUCAAUUAACCCAAAUAUUGAAUAAUGAAAAUGAAAAAAAUUCAAUUAAAAAAGAACAAAAAAAAACUUGAGCCAACCUUACUAACCCGCAAAACUUGUGACUUGAAUCUUGAGACCACAAUAACCCAUAGAAAAUAAAUAAAUAAAUAUAAAGCCAAAUUCUCAAUCAAUCAAGUGUUGAAAGAUGAAAUUGAAAAUUAAAAAAAAAUAAAAAAUAAUCCGAGUUAACCUACCAAACCCAUUUGUCUUUUAUGAGGACCUUAGAACCCCCCUUAAUUAAUGAUGUCAUUUAUACCAAUUGAUAAUAAUAAUUAUUUUGUUCGGGACCUAGUUAAGAAUCAUGUUAAAGUAGGAGGAUAAAUAUAUCCAAUUGAUAAUUAUUAUUAUUAUUUUGUUCUAUUUCAUAUUGGUGAACUUUUAUCGGGGAAAUCGUCGGUGGAUGCGCCUUUUCCGCUUGAUGGGCUGCAGACUUUUCAUGUGCAGAAUACUAUCUUCAUCUUUGAAGCUAUAAAAAGUUUGCUGAGCUGUAAGGAGUCGUGCUGAUGCUCAGUGGAACCUCAGAUACAGAAGCUACUCUCGCUGUCCCUCAACAUAUGCUCAUGGCAGCACUCAGCAAGUUUGUCUCUAAAUUAUUACUCUUAUUUUUGUUUUUUUUUUAAUCAAAUAUUCAUUAAUAUUUUACAAGCUUUCGUUGCAUGUCAAGCAAUGAACAAUGUAUACUGUACAAAUAAAUUUUACCCUUUUAAAUUCGUAUGGUGAAAACAUAAAUUAUGGUAUUAAACUUGAAAUGGGGUGGAUCAGGAUGAGACCGGAUCAUGACCAUCCAGUUGACUAAGGAUGAACAAACAAACUGAUUGCUUGCAGCCAAGAACAUUCACCUCUGUGAUGUCCAUUAGACUUGCUCUUUGGGUCUCCUUUUGCUGGCUAGCUAUUCAAUGUUUUAUGAUCGUCUCUCAUGAUCUCUUCAAUAUUGCCACCUGUGGGCCGUGACUUUCCUGCAGAAGCCGAGCUCUUGGCACUUCCGUUCCCGAUGCCUUCUAGCGCUGUGAGUUGUGAUUCAGAAAGUUAGAUUGGACGUGGCUUUUCUUGCCGACUUUCCUUUGAAAUAAAAUUAAGACAUUAUAUAUAUAUAAAAAAAUAAAUUGGAAACCAGCACAGGUAUAAAAAGAAAUAGCACAGUUGGCUAAAAAUGUUAGUUUUCAAGUGCCGUACUUUAAAAUUAGGAGAUGAAAAAAAAAUCAGAAUUUCAUCAAAACUAUAUGAUAAUGACAAUUUUAAUAUAACUAGAAAAAUAAAUUCAUAAUCAUCGAGACAGGUUAUUAAUGGUGGAUGAUGUAAACCACAUGGGUUGUUCAAAAAUGACAGGUGGAUUUGUUUCAUGGUAGUACGCAGUUUUUUUUAAUAUUUUUUAUUUAAAAAUAUAUUAAGAUAAUAUUUUUUAUUUUUUAAAAAAUUAUUCUUAAUAUUAACAUAUAAAAAACGAUCUAAAAUAUAUAAAAAAAUAAUUUUAAAUAAAAAACUAAUUUUUUAAAAAAUAUUAUUUGUAACGUACUCUCAAAGCUUUUUAAUAUACUAUUUAAUUGACAAAGUAAAACUGGUGUGAUUUUUUAGUCUCCAUGCAGAUAUUUUAUUUUUUAUCAAAUAGAAAAAAUAUCUUUGCAGGUAAAAGUUGUUAUAAUAAAAUAAAAUAAAAUAAUUACAUAUGAGAUAGGUAAUAUACUAAUCCAGUUUAUUUUAUUAAGAAAUAAAAUUUUACUUGCGAAGAAAUGGAUUGAAUGUUCAUCACACGAUAAUAUCUGAUAAUUCUUUUUUUAAAAAAUUUAUAUUCCGACAAGUAUUUCAAGACAAUAACUUAUUUAUCCUAUAAAAGCCCAGAAAACUUGGUAAAUAGAAAACUUUUCAUCUCUAAUUCAUAAGACUAUUUGGUUUCAUGUUUGAUGCAAUCCAAUUGAUCAGUUGUUUCAUAUUUGUAUGGAAAAAGAAGAGGAGAAGACGAGCUACCAGUGCCAACGAGCGAAACCAUAGCAUUAAGUUGCCCUUUCAAAUACAAGAUGAUGAAGAGUUCGUCAAGCAUUUUCCAUCAAUUUUAGGGUAUGGUUGCUCAAGCUCGUUGACAAACAGUGGAUGGACUCCACACCCAACCACCACAUCAGUAGUUCCCCACGGUGAUUUGAAUUGAAAUGAGGCCUCCUUGAAAGCACUUAGAGUGGACACUCCAAAUGAACACAUGCUCCCUUUCCCAUAAACUCCUCACCUUUUUUUCAUAUAUUUCGUAGUAGUAGGAACUGAGAUCAAUCUGGGUUCCAUCUUUGCUUAUCAAAUGGCAUUCAUAUUUAAUAUUAACAGGACGCCUUUCCCCGCUUUGGCCAAAUGAAACAACAGCGCAUAAAGUGAAGCGACGAUGCCAAUGAGCUGGUUGCUGGAUUUUUACUGACGAUCCUUCUCUAUUUUUAUAACUGAACCACUCCGGGACUUCCGACCCACGAAUACACAACCGGACUUCUUUUAAUGGCUUAACAUGAUAUUCCUGCACCGAAGAGAGUGAGAAUGUGAGAUGCAUAUAAAAAAUUAUCGUGAUUUUUUUCUUUAAAGAAAUCAAGAUCGAGGGAGGAAGAAUUCACCUGAUAAAACAAUGAUGUUGCCAUGCGUCGAAUUCGUAAAUGGGCAGCACCCACAAUUCUAGUGUGUGAAUUCUGAUCCAGUUGGAGGCAUUCAGAGAAAUUGAAUUCCUGAGAAACAGCUUUAUAUUCUCUAUCACCUUGCAUGAAUGUACUUGCUAUAGAUUUUAGAGAGAUGCAACCUGAUGCGAUUAAAACUUGUAGAGUUGAUGGAAGCUCUGGUAAACAUUGAAGCCGCUUGCAAUCAUCUAAAUAGAGUUUACUUAGCUUAGUAAGUUGCUUGAUGCUUGCAGGUAUCCUCUCGAAAUCAAUCUGAGAUAAUCUUAAUUGUGUUAGCGACACCAAAGAGCCUAAUCUCUCUGGAGUUUUUAACACACGAGAAUUUCCCAAAUUUAAAAAUUCAUGGCAGCCCAAUUUAUAGGUGGAUGAUGCAAUUUCUUCUACUUUCUGGAAUCCACUCAGCAUAUAACAAUGCUGUUUGUCAAGUCCUUUAAAUUCAAGAUCAAUGAUGUUGUUUGGAAGACUUGCUAGUUUUAAGCAACCACUGAGAUCGAGCGUAGUAAGACGGUUCAACUCGCCAAUGCUGUCUGGUAGACUUUUUAGUCCUAAGCAACCAGUAAGGUGAAGCGCAUAAAGCCAUUUCAACGCGCCAAUGCUGUCAGGUAGACUUGCUAGUUUUAAGCAACCACUAAGAUUAAGCAUAGUAAGACAUCUCAACCCGCCAAUGCUGUCUGGUAAACUUUCUAGUCCCGAGCAACCAUUAAGAUUAAGGGAUUUAAGAGAUUUCAACUCGACAAUUCUGUCUGGUAGACUUGCUAGUCCUGAGCAACCAUGAAGAUUAAGCCAUUCAAGAGAUUGCAACUCGCCAAUUCUGUCUGGUAGACUUACUAGUCCUCAGCAACCAUUAAAAUUAAGCGAUUUAAGAGAUUUCAACUCGUCAAUUCUAUCUGGUAGACUUGCUAGUCUUGAGCAACCACUAAGAUGAAGCAAUUUAAGAGAUUUCAACUCGCCAAUGUUGUUUGGUAGACUUGCUAGUCUUGAGAAACCACAAAGAUUAAGCACAAUAAGAUAAUUCUACCUGUCAAUGCUGUUUGGUAGACUUGCUAGUCCUGAGCAACCACUAAGAUGAAGUGUAUCAAGACAUUUCAACUUGUCAAUGCUAUCUGGUAGACUUGCUAAUCCUGAGCAACCAGUAAGGUGAAGCUUAGCAAGGCAUUUCAACCCUCCAAUACUGUCGGGUAGAGUUGCUAGUCUUGAGCAACCACUAAGAUGAAGCGUAUCAAGACAUUUCAACCUAUCAAUGCUGUCUGGUAGACUUGCUAGUGCUGAGCAACCAGUAAGGUGAAGCUUAGCAAGGCAUUUUAUGUAAACCCCCGUAAAUAAAAAUAAAUAAUAAUAAUAAUAAUAAUAAUAAUAAUAAUAAUAAGAAAAAAAACAACACAUAGGAUCGAAGUAAUGACGUUUCGAUGAGUAAUGGAUAUUCGGUAUGAAAGAAAUGAAUAAAUAGAAGGAAUGACAAUAAAUGUGUCAUGUGAGAGAGAGAAUGAUCUCCAUAAACAAAUUUAAAAAUAUUGUUGAAGUUGAAAAGAGAGUCAUGAUUUUUAGUUUAAAACUUGUAACGUUAGCGAAACCAGUGACGAGUUUCAAUGGAUAAAAGAAUAAUAAUAAAAAAAACAACUAGAAGAUAUGUAAACCCCGGUCAAAACUCGUAUUUUGACAAAUUAAUGAUAAAUGUGGUAAUAUUGAAUUUAUUGAGUAUAAAUUAAAGGGAAAUGUCACGAGGAUCUAAGUAAAUAAAUUAAUGCAUGAAAUUCAGAUUUUAGCGUAAAAGACAUUGAUUGUCUAGUUUUACGGUAUCGAUGAUAUAUCUCAAUCCGACCGUUGGAUUGUGCUGAAAUUUUAUAAGGAAUCUCUAGACAUAUUAUUUUAUAUUAGGUUCAAAUUUCGUGUCAAUCUGAGUAUGGAAAGGAUUUACGAGAGCACUGAAAAUCGGGUAAAUUGAAGAAGGUGACACAAGGGGCAUUAAUAAGGGUAUUUUUGUAAUUUUAUCAAAACAAAUACUCUCCUCUCCUCUCUUUAAAAACAGAGCACGUCCUCUGCAAAUGGAAAAACAGGAGGGAGACCAUAUGUUUUGUCUCAUUUUCUUCAUUUUCUCUUCAUUUCUUCAAGCUAAAUCAAAAGGGAGUGUGCUUAGGAGGAUUAUAUCCAAGAAAACAAAUUAAAUGACAACUUAGAGAGUUAUAGAGCUUGAGAGAAACAAAGUGAAGAAGCUGGAAAUUGGAAGAGGAGGACAUGAUUUUUGUAAAUUUUUGCAAGAAUUCAUUGAAAUAAGUUAAAGUAGCAAAGGUAAGCAACAUACCCUUUAGUAAUUUUGUUUUUCUCUCUUGUUCUUGCAUGAGGAGAAGAAAACCUCCAAGUUUAAAAUUCUAGGGUUCAUGUAAAUAUUUUGGGGGAGUAAUUGUUCAUGUGAAUUUCAAGAUUAAUUGCAUGAUAAUGGCUUGAUUUGCUGAAAAAUAGAAGGAAUAAAUUGAUUUGAAACUAUGGGUUUUGGGAUUGCAACAGGGCAGGAACUUUGGCAGCCAUAUUUUGACUUUGCACCGUUGGAUUAGAUUGAUUUUUGGAUAUGUUAUUAUACUCAAUGUCACCUACAUUCUGACCGGAGGGAUUGCAAAUAUCAGACUUCGUUUGAGGGCUGUCACCGGAGGAACAUUUCUGGAAAAUCACCCUUCAAGACAGCUUUGUUCGUCGGCAGUUAUAUCAUCGUUUCACCGUUGAAUUGGUCUGGAUUUUAGAUAUGUUGUUCAUCUAGAUGCUAUAUAAAUUCUGAACGGUUUGGAUUGGAAAAGAACACUCCUACCAGAAAUUGUACUUCCCGAACAGCAGGUCUCCAAAUUUCAGGUCAGUCCAGUAUUGUUCUGAUAUCGGGAGGUUUAACCGUUGGAUGUAUGUUAAUUUUGGAUAUGUUAUUCUAAUGAUGAUGAUGUAUAAUUCCACCGUUUGGAUUUAUUGAAUUCUAAAUUUACAGAAUGAUGUUUUAAGUUUGGUUUGAGAAAUAUUGAAUGAGAAUAUGAGGUUUAGCAUAAAAAGUAUGUUUUGGGACUAAGGAUAAUGGCAAUGGGUUUAAUGAUGAUGGUUGUGUUUGUGUUAUGUUUGAGUCAUGUUUGAUGUGUUGAUGAGUGAUGAUAUAGUUAAAUUCUAUAAAGAGUAGUGAUUGACUAAUACUUUGGUUGUGUUAGAAUGGGAAAUCAUGUUGUAAGUUGAAUUAUGAUACAAGGAAUCAUUUUGAGUGUGCUUUUGAAAAAAUUUGGCAUGUGUAGUCAUUGAUGAAAUUUAAGUUAAAUUACAUUGUUCGGUGAUAGAUUAAAUGUCUUGGGACAAAAGAAAAUCGGUGACGAAAAGUCAUGCCCUUUGGACAUUGAAGAUCAUUGAUGAAAAAUUGAAUUAAAUGGGCGUUUAAUGUUAGUGUAAAUAAAUUCUAAUGUAAAUGAAUUUAAAUGACAAGUAAGAAAAUAAAAUACAUUCAUGGAAAUUGUUUACGGAAGUAUUCGAUUUUGUGAAUUUAUGAAUAUUAUGAAUAAAUCGGGAAGAUUCAAUAAUGAUUCAGGAUGUUAUAUUAAAAAUGUAGGAGAAGCAUUCACUCGACUUCUCAGGAGCUCGUAUAGUAGGAGCUUAAGGAGGGACUGCAAGAGGGGCACAACAACAACAAGGAAGAGCGAGUUGAGCUUCUGCAGCUGGUAGGUGUUCUAUACCUACACUUUUUACGUAGCGUUAAUUUACUAACUUAUUAAAUUCUUGGUCUUUGCGUCUAUGGGUGAAACCACAAAGAGAGAGGAUAAAGUGAAAUAAACGAGAAAUUAAAAAUGGAUUUGAGUACUUGACUGGGUUAAGAAUAUGAAUUACACUAAUAGACUUCGUUGAUGAUCAUUCCUCGAACUUGAUUAGCCGGUCCCGAAUGCGGAGGCUAAUGAUGUUAGUAAGGUUUACUAACAUCGGCAUAAUCAUCCCUGAAAACGAGGGAUACUGAACUUGAUUAACUAUUCGGGUAAGAAUAGUUAAUGAUAUUGACCGGUGCUGUCAAUAUCGGCAAUCACACGAAACUUGAUUAGCCGGUCCCGAAUGCGGAGGCUAAUGAUGUUAGUAAGGUUUACUAACAUCGGCAUAAUCAUCCCUGAAAAUGAGGGAUGCUGAACUUGAUUAACUAUUCGGGUGAGAAUAGUUAAUGAUAUUGACUGGUGCUGUCAAUAUCGGCAAUCACACGAAACUUGAUUAGCCGGUCCCGAAUGCGGAGGCUAAUGAUGUUAGUAAGGUUUACUAACAUCGGCAUAAUCAUCCCUGAAAAUGAGAGAUGCUGGAUUUGAUUAACUAUUCGGGUGAGCAUAGUUAGUGAUAUCGACCGGUGUUGUUGAUAUCGGCAAUCACAUGAAACUUGACUAGCUAUUCCUGAAGUGAAAGCUAAUGAUGUCAAGAAUCUUGACAUCAACAUUUCCGGAAAUAUUCCAAGAUAUUAUGGAAAGAAAAAUCUGAUUGGCUAUUUCAUGUUAGAAAUAGUCGAUAACAUCAAUUAGUGGUAUUAAUUUUGAUGUUUACAAUGAACUUGAUUAGCCGAUCCUGAUAUGGGAGACUAAUAACACUAAUGAAAAUUUAUUAGUGUCAGCAUUCCCUUCCAAGUUUUAGGGGAGAGGUAUUAUAAUGAUAUUUCCAACAGGGAAUAAUUAAAAAUAUUAAUGAAAUGGGGAUUGACAUCUUGAUAGGAUUAUUCGUUCGGCCUUGAAGAGGCGGAUAUUGAUUGGAAAUUAUGGAAUAAGAUGGGCGGAGGAACUAGUUACCCGGUGAUGGGCUAGUGGCAUUAGUUUUGUUUUCUAAUGAUCGGAAUAUACAACUUGAGUUAAACUUGUGUGGUGUUAAUAUUGUCAGGAUGACUGACUUGUCAGAUUAUAAAUGGAAUGUUGGAUGAUACCUAAUUGUUAAACAAAAAUGGUAAUUUGUGUUUAUGUUAUGGAUUAUUGAAGAAAAAAAAAGAGAAACUGAUGAAGAUUUAAUUCUUGUGAAGGAUGGAGGCAAAUAUCGUAUCGCUUGGGACAUGAGAAUAGAAGUUCAUUAACCAUGGUAGGUGUUAUACACUUAAGGAAUGCAAUGCUAUAUAUAUAUGAUGUAUUUUGAAUUAAUUAAUGAAUUGUAAUUGAUAUAAUUUGAGAAUCAUGUCCUGCGCACAUGGAGGAUGUCAAAGAAAUUAUGACUAAUAAUGUAAAUAUGUUGUAUUAAGGUUUCGUGUUGUUGCUGGCAUGAUAAGAAUUUGGUGAUAAUUAUAAUAGUGUAAUAAAAUGCCAAUAAUAGUGAUAGAUAAUGAAAUUUGGCCUUAAUUAUAGUGGUCAAAUGAGAUUAGGUUGAUGAAUUAAAUAGAAUGAUGUAUGCAUGGUAUUCACAUUAUUUGAAGAUGGAUCGGAUGUGAAUAUUGUGAAAAUGAUGGCAGGUUCCAUGAUAAUGAGAGAUUUUACUAAAAAUCUAAAGAAACAUUGGAAUGUGUCGAAAUGGGCACAAGAAAUUUGUAAGUUGAAUAUAUUUAUAAACUAAAAUUGGACCGAAAUCAUGACGAGUUUGACAACUUAUAUGGAAAAGCCAUAAUGGGUAUAAUAGAUGUUGGGAUUGAAAAUGAUAUAAAGAGAUAGAGUAGGAGGGAGAGAAAUCACAUGGUAGAUAUUAUAAUGAAUUAAAUGCGCUCGUGAGGUGAAACAAGACACAAAAUGAAAAUGUUGAAUGAUUCUAGGAAGGAUGAAUAGAGACGUAAUAAUGGAAGGGUAAAUGAGAAUUUCAAGGAACCAUGAUUGCAUAUCGUUGAAUAUAUGUUUAAUUACUUAUGCAUGUAUUGUGUGAUUUUUCUUUUAUGCUAUAUUUAUUAUAUACAUUAUGAAAUUGCAGGUCCUUCAGAUUCACGCCAGGAGUAGCGUUUUAGGUCCUCUAGUCUCCUUUUGUAUGAUUGAAUAAGAAGAUGAACAUUAAUGUAUUUUGUCUUUAAGGAACUAAAUGACUUAAUAUGUAAUAGUACUCAUUUUACAUUAAGUGUCAGACAUAAAAAUGUAUUAUUUUGUAUUUGUAAUCUUAGUUUGUUUACUUGCAAUUAUUAUGAAUUAUGUGUGUUAAUGGGAAAGAAAUGAGCAUGCGAAAUGUGAGGCAUGUACCAUGAAUGAUGUGUUGUUAAGGUUCUACAUGAUUAUGAUAUGAUUGAGAAAUGAGUAUAACUAUACAGGAUGAUUGUCGGUAACUUGGGACCUCCAGGUAUAAAGGAAACUCUGCCGAAAUUUCCACUGAAAUUUCGGCAAGUCUCGGAUAAGUUCGGUGGAUGAAAAAAAAAUACCCAUUUUUUUUAAAAGUUAAAGCUCAAAGUUCUUUUAUGGAUGUACUAAAUUACAGAGUGUUACAUUUUAACUCUCCAAUACUGUCGGUAGACUUGCUAGUCCUGAGCAACCACUAAGAUUAAGCGAUGUAAGAGAUUUUAACUCGCCAAUGUUGUUUGGUAAACUUGCUAGUCCUGAGCAACCAUGAAGUUUAAGCAAUUUAAGAGAUUUUAACUCGCCACAUUUGUCUGGUAGACUUGUUAGUCCUGAGCAACCACUAAGAUUAAGCGAUUUAAGAAAUUUGAACGCGCCAAUACUCUCUAGUAGACUUGCUAGUCUUGAGCAAUCACUAAGAUCAAGCUGAUCAAGAGAUUUCAACAUGCCAAUGCUAUUUGGUAGACUUCUAGUCUUGAGAAACCAUUAAGAUUAAGCGAUUUAAGAGAUUUCAACGCGCCAAUACUGUCUGGUAGAUUUGCUAGUCUUGAACAACCACUAAGAUCAAGCUGGUCAAGAGAUUUUAACACACCAAUGUUAUUUGAUAAACUUGCUAGUCUUGAGCAACCACUAAGAUUAAGUGAUUUUAGAGAUUUUAACGUGUAAAUGUUGUUCGGUAGACUUGUUAGUCUUGAGCAACCACUAAGAUCAAGCUUAGCAAGACAUUUCAAUUGCUCAAGUGGCUGUAUAUAAAAAAAGAGGCAAUGUAAGAAGAGAUAAAUGUUAUGAAUAAUUUCAAAAAUGUCCUAUAUUUGAUAAAGAAGGAUGAUAAAGCAUACCUGGCCUUCAUUCCAAAGUUGUUCAAGCUGGCUACAAGGCAUUUCAAGUUGAACAAGUUUCUCAGGGAAAAAAAUUGAUGGAAAGGAUUUCAAAGGGUAAUUAUACCAGUAGAGAAACCUUAGCUCACUUGAAAGAAAGUGAAGCCCUCUUGGAAGGUGGAUUCCGACCCUCUUUCGAUUCAUAAUUUGCUCCUUUGAGGGAUCCUUUAAGAAAGGUGGGUAGAAGAUUUUGAGCAAUCUUAAAUUAUACAUCCCUUCAAAUGCUGUAGGAUUUAAUGUCAAUUCUUUAGUUGCAUCCAAGAUGAGGGAUAUGCUUUCCACUUUUGAUCCAGUCCCCUAUUUAACAAAAGCAAAGUGUAAAUCAGUAUAUAUAUAACAAAUAAAGAAGAAGAAGAAGAAGAAACUGGCCUUGAUAUUUAUUCUUGUCCAAGGCUACAUCUCUUAAUUAGCUAUAAACAAGAAAGUCAAGAAACAGUCAAUUAAAUCACUUGGAAACGUUACCUGAGUUGUUAAUACACGAUAGAUAUCAUCAGCCUCCCACAACCUGCUACGUUCUCUAGGGUCAACGUUUUCUUGGAGGACAAUUUUUUUCCCUAGUUUUAGGAGCACAUCAUGCAUCUUGAUCUUGUCUUGAACAAUUUUUAUGAGACACAUAUCAGCGAGACGAUCUAUCCCACUUCUUUCUUCAAGAUCUAGUGUUUGUUGGAGAAAAUCCUUCUUGCACCGUCCAAAGAAACAUGCUAUAUCAAGAAAUAUUUUCUUUUCUGUCUGAUCUAAUUCAUGAUAGCACAUUUCCAAAUGUUUCUUAAUGUCCUCGCCACCAUUUGUUCUUAGCUGUGCCACCUUACUUUCCCAGUAUUCAACACUCCUUUUAUUGUAUAGAUUGCCACCUAAAACCUCGAGAACUAAUGGAAUGCCCUUAACACAGCUUACCACAGUUUUUGAAAGCCCAGUAUAUCCUUCUAUGGGACGAUCUUGUUUAAAAGCAUGAAAGCUGAAGAGUCGAAGUGCAUCGUCUUCAUCUAAAAUUUUAACCUCGUAAAUUUUGUCUUCAGCACAUGCAUUUUCAAGAACUCGCCUAUCUCUACUUGUCACAAUGAUUCUACUUCCUUGGCCAAACAAACCAUCCUCUCCUACUAAAUAUUUUAAAUGUUGUGGAUCAUUGACAUCAUCAAGAACUAUGAGGACUUUUUUUCUUUGAAGCAUUCGCUUAAUGGCCGAGGGUAGCACUUUUCCGUGUAUUUUGAGAUCAUUCUUCUCUAAUACCAUGCCAAGAAUUUCCUGUCGUACAUGAUCUACUCCAUGCUUCCGUGAUUCUUCCCUAACAUCUUGGAAACAGCAAUGGCCUUCAAAUUUACUACAGUUUCGACGAUACACAGUUUCAACCGUUGUGGACUUACCUAUACCACCCAUCCCCCAGAUUCCCACAAUGAGCACACCGGUUGAUCCAAAGGAUAGUAAUGAUUCGAUGUCUUCAACGCGUGAUUUCAUUCCAACAAGGCGUUUUGAAUCAAAUGAGGAUGACAGCUCACGGUUCAAUUUCUUUUGAAUGUCAGUAACGAUUUCCUGAAUUAGCUUGGUCUCAUCCCAGCAGUGCAUAAUAAAUAAAGAACAAAGACAUGCUGUCAUAACCUAAGAAAGUUUAUCAUAACAUCAAACACAACAUUGAUUCUCGAACAAAAUGGUUAAAUAAGUUGGGGUUUAAUAUGCUGUAACUAGAUUAAUAACUUACUUAAUGACGUUUGAAUCCCAGCCCUUGAGAUUAGCUAUUUCUUUCAAAGCAUGUCUCCAACUCUGUACUUCUUCAGAACUGCAAUCUCUUUCAUGCUUGCAAAGUGCAUCUCCAUAGCUCCCAGUCAGAUUUUGAACAUGGCUUGGAUCAAGUCGGUAAAAAACUGGUAAAACCAUCUGUUGUUUGGUCUCCAUACACUCAAGAAUCUUGGAGAGUUCCCUCAAACAGAAAGUAGAAUCUGCAUAAUUUUCAGAGAAAAUGACUAGCGAAAUACAUGACUCUUCAAUCCUUUCCAAGAGGGCAGGCUCGAUCUUUUCUCCUCCAUCAAGUUUAUUAUUGAUGUAAGCAUCAAUUUGGUUUCGCUGCAAAGCAUGAUAAAGAUGACUGGUGAAACUAUUGCGGGUGUCUUUGCCUCUAAAACUGAGGAACACAUCGAACUUCAAGUAUGGAGCAGUGGGAGAAGAAGAGGAAGCCAUAUUUUUAUAUGCUUGAUAUAUGUAGAAGUAAGCUUUAUACUUGUGAUAAUUAUUCCCUGUAACAAGCAAUAAGAAAACAAACGAUUAUAAGCUUUAUACUUGUGACAUUUGUUACUUCAACAGCAAUAGAAAAAUUAAUGGACGUCCAGGAAGAAAGUCUACCAGUUAUAUUUAAGGGCUAGCCAACUCACAAUUAAGGGGGGGAGUUCACAUUGAUCCUCUCAUCAUCUUUAUUUCAAGCGCAGUAUUGGAGGGUUUCUUGGAAUCUAUCGAGAGAUUUAUCUGUAGGUACAAAUUCAGAAACAGUCCUUACAUCUCAAUAUCUCAUUUAGUAAGCCACAAUAAGCCACGGAAAUUCUGGAAUCAUUUAAAGUUUGAUUUUUAAAGUGUUUAUUUGAAAAUAUAUUAAAAUAAUAUAUUUUUUUAUUUUUUUUAAAAUUAUUUUGACAUAAUUCUAAAACACCGAACAAAUCUAAAUUUUAACAACACUAAACAAAUCCAAAUUUUAAGAAAAAUUAACAAAAAUCAACCUCAAUUCCAAAAGAUUAGUCAUCUAUCUUCUUUUCCUUUUUCUUGACUUAGCGCAGAGGAAAAGUUGAUAGUAGCAACUUUUCCUCACCGCUAAGUAGCAAUCAUUUUUACGUUGGGUGUAUAAAUUAGUUAAAAAGUAGCAAAUCCCACUGGCCAAAAAGAGUUAAAGCAUUACAGGACGCUUGACUUGCUGUGUGCCCUUUUGAUUUUUGAACACAACCAAGCAGUAAUUUCCUGGUGGUCUUCCGGAAUCUUUUUCCAAACAACCCUUUUUAGACCAUGAUUGAAGUUUCGACUGAAGAAUUUACUACUUUUCUCUUCACAUAUGAUUCAGAGUUUUUAAUCCAGACUCGGUGUUCGAUCUGGAGCAAGGCCUGUGUGUCACCAGGGUUUAGUUUUUCACUGAAAAACUUGUUGAGAUGAUAGCUUCUAUUCUUUGCUCUUUCCUUUGUUAAAAUCAGUUUAUGGAACUGAUGCUUUGCAGGUGGCAGAGAGAGCACUGUUCUUGUGGAACAGUGAUCCCAUUGAGAACUUGAUCACUCAAAAUCAGUUUUUGUUUCUUUUCCUUCACCUUUUCCAUUUUUCCUAAGCAGCAAGAAAGAGACCAAUUCCAUAGAGAGAGAGAGAGAGAAGAACACAUUAUAAAAACAAAACCAUCAAACAUUUUUUAGGAAAACUUGCAAUAACUACUAAAAGUUUUGAUCAUACUCACGUUAUGGCAAAUUUUGGAUUUUAGUCACACUAUUGCUAGAUCACAUUCCAUAGAGGACGGCAGGAUUACAGUUUGCAUGCAACCAUCUGUGUCUUCACCCAAUUCUGAAUUAAAAAAAGGAACAAUAAAAAAAAUAAAAUAAAGCUUUGAAUCAUGAUUGGACAAAUAUUUAAUUUAUAGUUGAUAGGUGGAUCGAUAAUUUGAGGUCUUCUUGAAGAAAUUUAGAAAACAGACUGAAAAUGUGAUCAAGGCCGAAUAAAUUAAAAGUUUGAGGACCAACAUGAAUAAGGUUGUAAAGUUUAGCGGUCCAAUUUUGAUAGAUAAAGGCUUCAUUAAGAAGAAAGCUGAAGAUGGGGCCCAAUAGCAAAAAUCAAAGAAUCCAAGGACCUAAUUGUACUUUGGAUGGGCUUAAUCAGGUGCUAAAAUGAAAGAGUAAUAAGGUUGGAAGUUAAUUUGGCUAAAAGUGGAAGAAUUAAUAAGUCUUAGGGACUUGUUUGAACAUUGGAUUAGUUUAAUUAAUACAAUGAGGGACUUAAUUAGAGUAAAAUAAAAGUUUGAGAGUCAAUUCGGUUAAUUGUAUUAAUCAAUUUACUUCUCAACUCGCCUUGUGCUGAUUAUAGAGAAAUAUCAAUUUUUUUAAAACCCCAUAAAUGUUUCCAGGUGGAGCUCUAAAUUCCUCAACUUCAGUUUCUCGACGAUGAAGCCGCAAAAGCAUAACAUAAAUAUUAUUUUUGUUAAAGCAAGCAAGGAAGAGAAAUAAACGAUGUAAACCUUGAUAGCUAUGCCUCAAACAUCUUAUAUGUGCAAGUGCAGGCUGAUUAUCUGAUAACAUCUCACCAAACUCAUUCAACAUCUAAUUUUUCACUGACAUAAUCAUCACCGUUAUUUAUUUAGCUACACCAUGCUUCAUUUCCCAAAUUCCAUCUGUUUCCAAAGGUUUUGGAGCUCUCUGGAGAUCAAAGAUAUGGAAGGACGGCUUUGUGGAUUCUCUUCUGUGCACAUCAUUCCUGCAUCGACCACAUGAACACAGCAUUGCUUUAGCUUCUCUAUUGCACCACUUGAAUGUGCCUCUCGCUUCAAUGACAUGUCUACCACAUCCAAAAUAUGAUGAGGGGUUGCGGCACCCACCCACUUCCUUAGAUCAAGCCCGUCUGUGAACAUUUCUCCUGUUGGUCUUUGCCUUGUUAUCAAUUCCAGCAGCAUGAUACCGAAGCUGUAUACGUCUCCUCUAACUGAUACUUCAUUACUCUGUCCAUAUUCUGUUUACAAGCAACAAAGCACUGUUAGCAAAAUGAAAAAAGAAAAUAAUCAUUUUGGUCAAAUGAUCUUAAUGCACUGCAAGGUGAAUGGAACAUGCGAUCUUUCAUGCCGAAGAAUUUAGAGGAGGGCAGCGAAACACUAACACAAACCAACCAUAUGCAUACCUGGAGGGAUAUAGCCAACAGAUCCUCGCAGGCCACUUGCUGUAGAAGAAUAUUCAGCUGGUUUAUCAGCAAAAAAGACCUUUCCAAUUCCAAAGUCCGCAACACGGGCCACCAUAUCAUCAUCAAUAAGAACAUUUUGUGGUUUCAGAUCACAGUGCACAACUUGAGUUGAGCAACCCAAUUGAAGAUACUCCAAGGCAUUUGCAAUAUCUAUUGCUAUUCCUAAUCUUUCACUCAACGUCAAUCGACAGUUUCCUCCCUCGGACUCAGGAUAAAGAUGCUGUUCCAAGUUUCCAUUACCUACAAACUCAAGGAUGAGAGCCUUGAACUGUGAAUUCCAGAUUGAUCCCAUCAUAUGAACCAGAUUCCGAUGCUUAAUUCCUGACAGUAUUUGGCACUCCCUUUUUAGGCUUUUGUAACACCGCCUGCUGUCUUCAUUUAGAACCUUAACCGCGACAAAAGAUAUUCUAUCAUCAAUCCAAGCUUUAUAAACUGACCCAAAGCUUCCUCUCCCCAAGAGUUUGGCAUCACUGAACCCGUCCGUUGCAAUUUCGAGCUCUCUUUGAGUGAAAUUUCGUCCUCUGAAAGCCAUCAGAAUUGCCUCUUCAGAUUCUGCAUCAGUUUUCUUUUUAAAGAAUCGUCUAACACGGACCACGACAUAUACCAAGAGCAGUAAAAAGCAGCUAAUAGUAAUUGCGAACAAGUAAUAGGUCCAUUUCCAUAACUUCCUCCUUUUCUUUUGAACUGCACAUGGCUGGAGUCCCGUUAGCGCAGAACCACCACACAGGCCUGCAUUUCCUAUCAAUGUGCUUCCACUAAGAUUUUUAAACUUUCCCAUACUUGAAACUUCUCCAGUUAAUCUAUUAUACGACAGGUUGAAAUUCUUCAUCACUGAGUCAUUGGCUAGCCAGAUUGGAACGCUGCCUGUUAAUUGAUUAAAAGCCAAAUCCAGUACUUUUAAAUAUGCAAUUUGUUUCAAUGACUCUGGAAUUGUACCUUGAAUCAUGUUCUUGGAUAGGUUCAAGUACUCCAAAGCCGUACAACUUCCAACUGAACUUGGUAUAAUGCCAGAAAAUCUGUUCACCGAUAAGUCAAUAGCUUGUACAGAUACCAGAUUUCCAAUAGUUGCUGGAAUUUCCCCGUCUAGAUUGUUAUUUGAAAGGUUGAGGGACAGCCCCAAGUUAGCAAAAACUCCAAUUUCUGGUGGAAGAGGCCCCUGCAAGCUGUUAAAAGAUAAAUCCAGCUGCAUCAUGAGAGAGCACUGGCUGAGUUUGAUGGGAAUAUUUCCUGAUAAGCUGUUCUGAGAUAGGUAAAGGUAUCUCAACUGUGAGAGGUUACCAAGUGAACUAGGGAUUGACCCGGUUAUGGAAUUAUUGGCAAGAUCAAGUAAGCCAAGGUUUUCCAUCUGCCCCAUUUCAUCUGGAAUGGAACCUUGUAGCUUGUUUCUCCCCAAAUAUAGUCUUUGCAACAGCUUCAGCUUUCCAAAAGUUGCUGGAAUUGUCCCGUCCAGGUGAUUGUACCACAGUUGUAGGGUCACGAGGCCACUCAAGUUUCCAAUACUAUCUGGAAUCUCUCCUCUUAUACGGUUAUUCAAAAGAUUGAAAUAGUAGAGGUCUUUGGAAAGAUUUCCAAUGGAAGCAGGUAAACUCCCCGAAAAUAAACAGGAGCCCAAGUGCAGUUUCUUCAUAAAUGAACAGUUUGUGAGAGCAGUAAGAAAACUGAGAGAAGAAUUGCUAACCAGGUUGUUGCUAUGGAGGUAAAGAAUCUCAAGGUUCUUCAACUUCCCCAGUUCCUCGGGAACUUCACCCUCCAAGUAAUUGAUACUCAAAUCAAGCAGUGUUAUCUGUGAAAGAUUUGAGAAUGUCACUGGAAUCCUACCAGAAAUAUUGUUGCCAUAAAAAUUCAACAUCCGCAAGUUUUGGAGCUUGUUCCCCAUUUCUGAAGGGAUUUCCCCGGAUAAUCGAUUCCCAAUCAAUGAAAUUGCUCGCAAUGCAGUGCAAUUACUUAGUGAUUCAGGUAUUGUUCCCUCAAGAAAGUUCGUGUGCAAAUACAAAAUCUCAAGCCUGCUCAAAACUCCAAGCUCCACAGGGAUUUGCCCAGUAAAGUAGUUCACAGCCAGUUGUAGCUGUGUCAAUUCUGUCAGGUUUGACAAAAAGGCCGGAAUGACCCCAGUGAGGUUGUUUACAGAGAGAGCUAAAAAACUCAGCUUCUUCAUCCAUCCUAGUUCUUCAGGAAUGACCCCAGAUAGGUUGUUAACAGACAAGUCUAGAAAUUUCAAGCUUUGACAGCCAUGUAGUGAAGCUGGAAAGGCACCAGAGAGCUGAUUUUCAUUCAUAUUCAGAUAUUCUAACCGUGAGAGAGCUCCCAAGGUAGUUGGGAUUUCUUCACGGAAAUUAUUACCCUGCAAGGAAAGCUUGGUGAGAAGAGAAAGAUUGGAUAGAAAUGGCGAUAUACUUCCUUCUAAGCGCAUGUCUAUGAUCUCAAGAUCUAUAACCCGGUUUUGGAGAGAUUGGUGGCAUGUAACUCCGGUCCAGUUACAGAAAGGAUUGGCUUCAUUCCAAUCCUUGACGUAUCCUUCCGGAUCACUUGUUAUGCCUGCCUUGAAUUUGAGAAGAGCUUCACAAUCAGUAAAAUUGCAAACAAAUGCCGAUGCUCCUGGCAUGAGAAAAAAGAUGAGACAGAACACUGGCACAGCCAUGUUGCAGUUUUGAUUGUGUGCCAUCCUCUCUAUUGUUCUUUCUUAGCAGAGAUUCUGGAACAAAACGUUUCUUGAUGUGAACAAAAAAGUGAUUCUGUUUGCACUUCUGCUGCAUUUUUUCCAAGACUGUAAGGUAAUCUUAACUUGAUAUGUGGCAAGAAGAAUUAGUCAAACCACCUACCCUAGCAGAGCACAUUAAAUUCUUGAAGUGGAUGCUUUUUUCCUACUUUCUUGGCGAUGAUAAUUACGUGAAGCUAUCAUACUUUGUCCAUUGUCAUUGACAACCACAUCACUUUACUUCCACAGUAAUCUAGAUAAGUAUUCUAUGGUCUUCACUCCCCAAUCCUCUUUUCCCACCAGUGGUCCACAAUUUAUUAUUUCCAUUUCAUAUUAGACUUUUGAUCUUAAGAGUAAAUAAUUUCCAGUGUAGAAAUGCAGAUGCACAAGAUACAUGACAGACUUCUUCUGACAGAAGUUUCUCACCAUAGUUUUUGACAUAUUCAACUGCAAAGAUAGCAUACAAAUCCUUCAUGUCACUCAAGGAAGCAGGGGACACAUCAUUCAGAGAACUUAAAGGAUACACUACUCCUUAAUCCUCUUUUCCCACCUGUUUGAUAUCGGUCUAUAUCAGUGGAAAUUAGACUUUAGAACUUAGAGUGAUAAUUUCCAGUGUAGAAAUGCAGAUGCAUAAGAUUUUAACUGUCUGAACCUCGACAGGUAAUUUGAAAUAUACAUGACAUGACACCUUCCUUUGGACAGAAGAUACUUACCAUAGUCAUGAAAAUAGAGUUUUUAUACUGUACUUUGGUUUCAUUCACAAUGAACAUAAAGUUAAUAGAGGAGUACAAACCAUACAUCCCCAAAUUAAAGAACAAAAAGAUGGAACUUUGGCAUGCCUGAUCUGCAAAUAUACCAUACAAAUCCUUCAUAUUUAGUGUUGAGUUUUGAGUCCUGAGCAGAACACAAAAUCUGAAAGUGAAAAUGUCAAUACGAAUGUACUGGGUGUUUCAAUAUCAAAACCAAUCAACAUGUUUGCUUGAAAUCUUUGGCUGCUUCUUUGGCUUCUGGAAUCGAUUGUUCUAGAACCUAGCUUUAACGAUAAGGGAAUACAGCAAGUCUGCCUCAGCUGCACAAUCGUAAGGCACCUCCAAGACACUGCAGAAUCAAUGCAAGAACAAGUUAAUGAUAAGACAUAAGAAGUAAACCACAACCGUGUAGAAAGCAAAUCAAAGUAAAUUAUGAGGUUUAACUCCUAAUUCAUUCAAUAUUAAAGGAUGAAGUUGAAAAAAAAAUCAAUUAAAAAAAGAUCUAAAAACAAUAUCCGAGUUAACCUGUCAAACUCGCGAUCCGGGUCAUAAGACCGAGAUAACGCAAUGGAAAAUAAAUCUAAACAAAUUACAAAUUUCAAUCACCAAUCAACAUAAUGUUGAAGGAUGAGAUUAAAAAAACAAGAUAAAAAACGACCCGAGACAAUCAACAAAACCCAUGACCCGGGGCAUCAGAUUGAGAUAACAUAAUAGAAAGAACUUAAAAAAAUAACCUGAUUUAAUUUAGAUUAACCUGCCAAAUCCAUGACUUUAAUCAUAAGACUUAGAUAACAUCAUAAAGAGCAAAUCAAAACAAAUUAUGAAGCUUAAUUAUCAAUCACUCCUGUCGAACUCAAUGUUGAAUGAUUAAGUUUAUAAAAAAAAUUAAUUAAAAAAUGACAUAAAAAAUAAGCCAAGUCAACUUGGGUUAACUCGUUAAACACUAUUUUCGGAUCAUGAGAUUGAGAUAACCUAAUAAAAAGCAAACCAAAAUAAAUCAUAAAGCCUGCCAAACAAACUAAGUCAAUUAGGUUAACCUAUCAAACCAUUAACUCAAGUCAUAUGCGAGGACAAACCAAUAAAAAGCAAAUUCAAUAUUGAAGGAUCCGUAACCCGAGCCAUGAGACCAAGAUAACCCUCUAGAAAGAAAAUAAAAAUGACUCGAUUUCACCAGUGUUAAAAUACCAAAACCUGCAACCUUGAUGUCUCUAUAAAAAGCAAAUAAUUUUUUUAUAUAUAAAAAUCAAUUUCCAACCAACUUAGUAUUGAAAGAUAAAAUUGAAAAAAACAAUAAUUAAAAAAAACAUAAAAAACUAUUCGAGUCAACUCGGGUUAACUCGUUAAGCACGAUUCUCCGGCCAUGAGGCUAAAGUAACACAAUAGAAAGUUAACAAAACAAAUCAUGUCUAAUUUCAGAUCAACCCAAUAUUAAAGGAUGAAAUUGAAGAAAAAAAUUGAGUCAACCGGGUUAUAACCCGUUAGACCAGUAAUCUGUAUCAUGAAAGUGAAAUAACUCAAUUAAAAAAUAAUCUAAUAUUAAAGGAUGAAAUUAAAAAAAAAGCAUUGAUUGAAAAAAAAACAUAGAAAAAAAGAAGCAAAUCAUUAUUCCAAUGAAUAGUACUUAGUGAUGAAGGGUACAGUAAAAACCUCUCCUCUUUUAGUUUAAAGUUAAUACUAGAUAAUUGCCCGUGCUGCACUACUGGUUAGAUCAAAAUUAGAAAACUCAAUUCCUAAUAAAUCUAAUAUUGAAAAAAAAAUUGUAAAAAAAAACAAUUAACAAAAAAUCUGAAAAAACAACUCUAGUAAACCCGAGUUAACCGACCAAACCUGUGACUCGAGUCAUGAGGUUAGGAUAUCUUUAUAGAAAACAAACUGAAAUUAAUUAUGAAACCUAAUUCCCAAUUAACCCAAUAUUAAUGGAUGGAAUUGAAAAACAAAUGCAUUUAAAAAGAAAAUAAAAAAUCUCGAGGCAACCGAGCUAAUCGUCGACUCGGGUCAUGAAACCAUGGUAACCCUAUAAAAAAAAAAUUACAAAGUAUAAUUUUCAAUCAACCUAAUAUUGAAGGAUUCAAUUGAAAAAAAUCAAUUAAAAAAUAUCCUAAGUCAACCCGAGUUAACUUGUCAAACUCGGAUUAUGAGACCGGAAUAAAUCUAUAGAAAAAAAUAAAAUAAAAAUAUGAAGUCAAAUUCUCAAUCAACCUAAUGUUGAAGGAUAAAAAAAAAAACAAAAUCAAUUAAAAAAGGACCCAAAAAAACUUGAGCCAACCAAUUUGUUAACCAACAAAACUUGUGACCUGGAUCUUAAGACCAUGAUAAUCCCAUAGAAAACAAAUAAAAAAAUAUGAAGCCAAAUUCUCAAUCAAUAAAAUUGAGAAAAAAAAUCUAUUAAAAAAAGAAUAAAAAACUGCUGGUUAGAUCAAAAUUAGAAAACUCAAUUCCCAAUCAACUCAAUGUUAAAAAUUUAAAUUGUAAAAAAAAAACAAUUAACAAAAAACAUGAAAAAACAACUCGAGUCAACUUGAGUUAACCAACCAAACCUGUGACUCGAGUCAUGAGAUCAGGAUAUCUUCAUAGAAAACAAACCGAAAUGAAUUAUGAAAUCUAAUUCUCAAUGAAUCCAAUAUUAAUUAAUGAAAAUGAAAAAUAAAUGCAUUUAAAAAAAAAACUCUACUAAAUUUUUAGAAUUAUUUUUUUAUUCCAAAAUAUAUUUACUUUAUCUCUUUAUUAUUUAGUUCAUUUAAAGACUUAUUGUUGUUUCAUAUAUAUUAAAAUUUAUUGAUUUUUAAUUGAAGUUUACAACAACACUGUUUUAUACCAUUCUUUUUUUUUUCUUAUGAAUUGAUCACAUAUUUUAAAUUAUUUUAAAUUUUUAUUUACCUUUUAUUUUAUUUUCAAAAUUUCCUCAUAAUUUAUCAUUUUAAAUUAAAAACUACAUUAUUUAUGACUGAUUAGGCACGUCAAGGAGUAUGGCCAUCUGGUUGGUAGGUCAAACUCGUGGGUAGCUACCUCUCAAAAAGUAUAUCGUGAGCUUGAAAAUGAGCUUUAAUUGUACGUGUCCUUUAACAACAUUGACACUCUUUAAUCUCGUUACUAAUUAACAUGUCCUUUUACGAUUGAGUCUUAAAUAAUAUAAGAUGUUGCGUUUUGGUUUAAAUUAAGAUUUUGUGGCUUGAAGUUAUUGACAGGUUGCGAUACAUCCACUCACACUCUAGCCUUUGCUAUAUUAUUGUUUACGAACAGAUAAAAAACAAUAAUUGUUGAUACUUAAAAACAAUAAUAUUAAUUAAAUUUAAAGUGUGUCUUCAAUAAUUAGGAGAACUCGAAAGAAGUUGAUUGGAUUACUGGGAAUUAACAUGACUUUUGCUUCAACUAUUUUUAGUUGAGACAGAGACUGGAGAGGAAGAUUGUCCAUAAUAGCAAUCAUUUUCUUAUCUCCUCUAUCAUGUCUUGUGUUAAACGCUAGCUGGGUGUAUAAAUUAGUCAAAAAGUAGGAUGUCCCACUGGCCAAGAUGAGUUAAAGCAUCGAAAAACUGCAAAUAUACCAUACAAAUCCUUAAUGUCACUCAAGGAAGUAGGGGACACAUCAUUCAGAGAACUUAAAGGAUACAUAAUUCAAGGAGUUGAGAUGUACAAUUGAACGAUAUCAGAAAAUCUCACAUGUUUAGUGUUGAGUUUUGAGUCCUGAGCAGAACACAAAAUCUGAAAGUGAAAAUGUCAAUACGAAUGUACUGGGUGUUUCAAUAUCAAAACCAAUCAACAUGUUUGCUUGAAGUCUCUGGUUGCUUCCUUGGCUUCUGGAAUCGAUUGUUCUCGAACCUAGCUUUAACGACAAGUGAAUACAGCAAGUCUGCCUCGGCUGAAGACACUGCAGAAUCAAUGCAAGAACAGAUUAAUCAUGAUAAGACAUAAGAAGUAAACCACAACUGUGGCUUUAUUUGCUUGUUAAAUCAAUUCAAAGAGCCUGUAAUGCAUCAGUAAAAUUUUAUGCAUCAUCUAUUUGCCUUGCUGCUUUUUUAUAAGAGCUAGCUCACAGUGACCAAAGCCACUAAAAAAUCUGAUCACUGGAUAGUAGACAAACCUUGAGACGUCGCCUGUACAGUUCCAGCCGAAGAAGCAUAAAUUAAGGCAGGGGCUCUUUGAACACAUGAACAUGGACACCAUGCAAAUUCUUUGAAUGGCACAGGUGAAAAACUCAAGAAGGCUAAGACCCAAUUAUGGUCCUAGGAAGAGAAAUAACAGAGGAUUCAUCAGCAGUCUUGGACAAACAGUAGAUGGACUCCACACUGAACCACCACAUCAGCAGUUCCCCACAGUGGUAUAUUGAUCAUAAUGCAUUUGUUUUCAAACAUUUUCGCAGAUCGUUACUCCACCAUCUCUUAGGUAAUGCGUUUUCUAACCUCACCUCCUGUCGAGUACGCCUUCGAGCCCUCGUUAUUUUUUGGAUAGGUCACUCAUUACAAUGAAACCACUCUUUUUUUUUCUUUUGGGUAGGUCACGCAUUACAAUGCGAUCAAUUCUUCAUGUUUUCUUAUCUGGGUAGGUCACCCAUUACAAUGAGACCACUCUUUCUUUUUCUUUUGAGUAGGUCACCUAUUACAAUGCGACCAAUUCUCCAUAUUUUCUUAUCUGGGUAGGUCACCCAUUACAAUGAGAUCAUUCCUUUUUUUGAGUAGGUCACCCGUUACAAUGCAACCACACUAGAUUUUGGUUCUGGUUAAAGGGGAUCAGCAAAAGGGAUCUCAGUUUAACCCAACCACACUGGAUUUUGGUUCUGGUUAAAGGGGAUCAGCGAACGGGAUCUCAGUUUAGCCUAACCACGUUAGAUUUUGGUUCUGGUUAAAAAGGAUCAGCGAAAGGGAUAUCAGUUUAGCCCUACCACGUUGGAUUCAUAACCAAGUUGCUUAUUGUUUGGAAUGUUAGUUUCGGGUUGAAGGGAUUGCUGUAAAGACAGAGUGUGAAGCCCGAGAAUAAAGUAUACAAAAUGAGGGAGGUUUAUAAUAAUUUUAAAUUUUAUUAUAAUACAAAAUAAUAAUAAAAAAAUUAAAUUAAUAAUGAUGAUGAUAAAAAAAAAACUUAUUAGUUUUGAAAAAAAAGGGUUAAAAAAAAAAAAGGAAAGAUGUGGCCAAAAUAGAAUUAAGAAGAAAUGAAACUAUAAAUAUCCAUUCCUUCUCUCAUCUAUGGCCGGCAGGUAACAAGAAAAAAAGGGAGGGGAAAUUUUCAAAUUUUCCAUCAUCAAGCCUAAAUAAAAACACCUAAAUUUCUAUACCUACAUAAACCUUAGAAUUAUUGAUGCAGAGCUCUAUCUUGUGUUAAACGCUAGCUGGGUGUAUAAAUUAGUCAAAAAGUAGGAUGUCCCACCGGCCAAAAGGAGUUAAAGCGUCGUGUACGCGGAUGCUUGACGCGCUGAGUGCCCUUUUGAUUUUUGAACACAGCCAAGCAGUGAUUUCCUUGUGGAUACUGGUGGUCUUCCGGAAUCUUUUUCCAGACAACCUUGCUAGACCAUGAUUAAAGUUUCCACUGAAGAAUUUAGUACUUUUCUCCUAACAUAUGAUGCAUAGUUUUUAGUCCGGGUUGGGUUUCAACCUGGAGCAAGAUUCGAGUCACGAGUUUUAACUGGAUCGCCAGAAUUUUUUUUUGUUUUUUUCUUAAACCCAAAAUAGAAGUGUGUUCUUUUUCUGCUUGAAUGAAAGAUCCUAUAUGUAUGUAAAACCAUUGUUUUUUUAAAAAAAAUUUACUACUUUUCUCUUACUGGUGGCUUGGGUUUUGACGUGGAGCAAGUUUUGAGUCAUGGGUUUUAACAUAUAUUUCUUAUCAUAUCUUAAAUAAUUGAUGAGAGAGUGGCAUGCCAAAUAUUUCUUAUCAAAAAACUAAUAAUAAAAAAAAUAAAGUUUUGAAUAAUGAUAUGACAGAUAUUUAAAUUAUAGCUGGUUAGAACGUGCGGUAGAUAUUUAAUAACAUGGACAAUUACAGGUCUUGUUCGAAGAAAAUUAGAAAGCAGAUUAAAAAUGUCAAAUUGAGGCUCAAAAGCUUAAUUCUUCAUUGAAAUUUUGUAGAAUAUAUACAAGAAAAUUAUAUCUCAGCAUUUAGUGUGUGAGAUAUUAUAGGCUAUUGUUUAGGAAUUAAUACAGCUUAAAUAUUCUAAAUAUGGUAUUUGCUAAUUUACAGCUUUUGUUAACACUCCCCCUCAAGUUGGUGAGUAGAUAUCAUCAACUCCCAACUUGUCAAGUGAAUUGUGGAAUGUCCUGCUUGACACUGCCUUUGUCAAAAUAUCUGCUAGUUGGUCUUCGGUCUUCACAAAUGGAAUCUGAAUUAUUUUGGCCUCUAGUUUUUCCUUGAUGAAGUGACGAUCUACUUCCACAUGUUUUGUUCGAUCAUGUUGUACUGGGUUGUGUGCUAGUGCUAUCGCCGCUUUGUUGUCACAGAAGAGUCUUAUUGCGUCAAUUGGAGGAUAGCCAACUUCAAUGAGCAAUUCUCGUAGCCAUAGCAUUUCACAUAUUCCUUUGGUCAUGCCUCGAAAUUCAGCCUCUGCACUGGAUAAUGCUACCACCUUCUGUUUUUUGCUUCUCCAUGAAACCAGAUUUCCUCCAACAAAUGUAAAGUAGCCCGAAGUAGAUCGUCUGUCAGUAAUGUUUCCUGCCCAAUCAGCAUCCGUAUACCCUUCAAUGUUCAGAUGUUGAUUUUUUGACAACAUAAGGCCUUUUCCUGGAGAUGAUUUCAGAUACCUAAGGAUUCGGAUUACUGCAUUCAUAUGAUCUUCACUCGGAUUAUGCAUAAACUGACUUACCACACUUACUGCUUAAGUUAUAUCUGGUCGUGUAUGGGACAAGUAUAUUAGUUUCCCAACUAAUCGUUGAUAUCUCUCCUUGUUGGUAGGUGUUUGAUCUGCACAGUCUUUUAAGCCAUGAUUCUGCACUAUUGGAGUGUCAACUGGUUUACAAUCUAACAUACCAGUUUCUGAUAACAGGUCUAAUACGUAUUUCCUUUGUGAAAGGAAAAUGUUUCUUGUUGACCUUGCCACCUCAACUCCCAGAAAAUAUUUCAGCCCCCCAAGAUCCUUCAUUUCAAAUUCAGAUGCCAAAUUCUUCUAGAGCCGAGAAAUCUCUUUUGUAUCAUCUCCUGUAAUUAUCAUAUCAUCCACAUAAAUUAUUAGUGCAGUUACAUACCCUUGUCUAUGUUUCAGGAAUAAGGUAUGAUCCGAGUUGCACUGUUUGAAUCCAUAUUUCUUCAUUGCUGAAGUAAAUCGCCCAAACCAUGCUCUUGGUGACUGUUUUAGUCCAUAUAAUGCCUUUUGUAGCUUGCACACUGUCUUUUCUGCAGAGUUAGUGUUGUAUCUGGGUGGAAUGUCCAUGUAAACUUCUUCCUCGAGAUCUCCAUAAAGAAAUGCAUUCUUCACAUCAAGUUGGUGUAGCGGCCAAUCUUGAUUAACUGCUAGGGAUAGUAGAACUCGAACCGUGGUCAAUUUGGCUACUGGAGAGAAAGUCUCUUGGUAGUCUAUACUAUAUGUUUGGGUAAAUCCUUUCGCCACCAAUCGUGCCUUGUAUCUUUCAAUAGUUCCAUCUGCUUUAUGUUUAAUAGAGAACACCCAUCUGCAUCCCACAGUUCGUUUUCCUUUCGGCAAAGGAACCAAACUCCAUGUGUGAUUUUUGUUUAAUGCCUCCAUUUCUGUCAUUAUCGCUUGAGACCAUUCUGGUGAGGAUAGUGCUUCCCGUAUAUCUCCAGGAAUAUGUGUUGAAGAGAGUUGGUGGGCAAAAGCUUGCAAAGGUUGCGAUAACCUGUGGGAUGAAACAUGAUUAGCAAUAGGGUAUCUUUGAUUUUCUGCCGCAUACUCUGGGGAGUACCGUUUUGGAGGUUUCCCUCGAUUAAGCCUAAAAGGGAGUUUAUAUCCAACAGAAGUAUUUAUUUCAUUAGAAGAUAGGAUUGGUUGUAUUACCUCAGAUAUAUUCUCUGAAGGAGUUUGGUCUUCAGGUACUGUCAAAGAGGGAGGGUCUUGAGUGUGUAUUGUUGACUGAACUGGCAGCUCCGUUGACUGAACUGGUGACUCCACAGAUGCUUUUGUCGUUUCAAAUUCCAGAUUUAUCCAUUUCUCACUUUCUAAAGAUGGCUCCCCCUGAGAGGGAGAAGUGGAUAAUUGUUCGGAAAAAUAGUACUCCAACUCUAAAAAAGUGACAUCCAUGGUAAUAUACAUGCGCCGAGUGGGUGGAUGAUAACACAGAUAACCUUUUUGAUGUGUUCCAUAUCCCAAGAACACACAUCGGAUGGCACAUGGGUCUAGCUUGGUGCGCUGAUUUUUAUGAAUAUGGACAAAUGCAACACUCCCAAAUACCCGUGGGGCGAGCAUCAAUAUAGAUGGAAGGGGUCGGUAUGUGGACAAAGCUUGUAGUGGUGUUCGGAAGUUUAGUACUCUUGAAGGCAUUAUGUUCAUAAGAUAUACUGCAGUAACAACAGCUUCAUUCCAAAGGUAACGUGGCAUAUUUGCACCAAUAAGAAGUGUCUGAGCAGUUUCCAGAAUGUGCCGAUUUUUUCAUUCGGCAAUGCCAUUUUGUUGAGGUGUUUGGACACAAGAGGUUUCAUGAAGUAGGCCAUGUAAUUGCAAGUACUGGUGGAAGAGAUGAUUAUCAUAUUCCCUACCAUUAUCUGUGCGGAGAAUCUGAAUCUUACAUGCAAAUUGAGUUUGAACCAUGGCAUGAAACACCUUAAAUAUAUUGAAUACCUCAUUUUUAUUUUUCAGCAAAUAAAGCCAAGUCAUGCGAGUACAAUCAUCAAUGAACGUGACAAACCAACGAAUCCCAUAUGGGGUAGAAAUUGGUGAGGGUCCCCAAACAUCAGAAUGUAUAAUAGUAAAUGGUGUAGUACUCCGAGGAGAACUAAAGGGAUAUGGAACACGAUGGUGUUUAGCAAAAAUGCAUGUAGCACACUUAAAAUCCAAAUAAUCCACAUCUUGAAAUAAAUUCAGAAAUAAAUACUUUAGAUAACUGAAUGACAGAUGCCCUAACCGAACAUGCCAUAGCCAAAUCUAUUGCUGUCGGGUAUCUGACGCUCCUUGCAUACUGUUCGCUUUACCGAUGCUCGUAUCCUCAACAUAGUAGAGCCCCCCUCUUUUAGUACCACGACCAAUUAUCUCCUUGGUGAGAAUAUCCUGAAAAAUACAAAAAGUUGGAUACAUUAGUACACAACAAUUUAACUCCUCAGUGACUUGUCCAACUGACAGUAGUUUAUUGGACAAUGAUGGGACAAGUAAUGUGUUGGAUAACGAAAUAGAUGGAGAGAUAUCAACAGUCCCUACUCCAGUAACUGGAUAUGUCACCCCAUUAGCAUUAGCAAUACAGGAACGUUUAGGUAUGGAAGUGAUAAUUAGGUCUGUCUCUUCAUAAGUCAUAUGAUCAGUAGCGCCGGAGUCAAUGAUCCAAUCAUUGCAAUCAUUGUGAUCUGUACUUAGAAGAGCUAUAGCACAGUUACCUGAAUCACUGAGAGUAGAGGGUCCCUCAAAUAGAAGGUUCGGAGAAUCUACCAUUGGUUGAGUAAGUGUAGGUUCAGUGUUCACCAAGGCUGCUCGACCUGUUUUGUUACUUCUGUCAUUCUGUUUUUUUGUUUUAAAAUUCUCCCACCAAUCCGGAUAUCCAUGUAAUUUAAAGCAUGUAUCACGAGUAUGCUUAGAAUUAUUACAGUGAGUGCAUCCGAUUUGGGUCUUGGAUUGACUGUAAUCCCGUGGAAGAAUUUUUUUACUUGGGCCAGAUUGGUCCAGCCGCAGCCCAUCCAGCCGCAGCCCAUCUCUAUUCCCCUUAUAUUGGCCCGGUCCCAUUACCAGCCCAUAUGCAUUCUCAGCCCCCGGCCCACUUCUAUUCAGCCCAUCAUCUCCCGUCAGCCCUUCCCCAAAACAUUCAGCCUGUCUUCGUCAGUUGCUGCCUUCGUCCCGGCGCCCUCCUCCUCGUCGUGCGAUGAGACCCAUUCCAGCGUGGCCAAGCAUCACAGACUGCCUGGAGUCUUCCUUCCGGACAAGAGCAUAUGCUUGCUCCACCAUGGGUAGGGACGGUAACUGGAGGACGUCGGCUCUCACAUUGUCCAGCCGAUCAUCCAACCCGUCUAAAAAGGUAUAGACUCUGUCUUCUUGUUGUAUUCGGUUGAAUUGUGCUAUGUCUUGUGCACAUUUCAUUGGGUUGGGUCUCCGAAAAUCGAUCUCUCUCCACAAUCCUUGGAGAUUGUUAUAGUAGUUUUCUAGGGUUCCUCCAUGUUGAGUCAAUUGGGUGAUUUUCUUUUUCAAUUCAUAGAUUUGAGAAGUGUCAGACCCAUCAAAAUAGGUAGUAGCAAUGGAUUCCCACACUAAUUGGGCGGUAGGGAAUCUGAUGAAGUUGCCAAUCAAAUGGGGUUCCAUGGAAUUGAUUAACCAACCUUUGACAAUGGAGUUUUCGGUUCUCCAUUGUCUGAACAUUGGGUCUGUGGGUGUGGGUUGGGAUAAAUCCCCAUUGAUAUACCCCAAUUUAUCUCUCCCGGAGAUAUACAUCUCCAUGAUUUGAGACCAUAUAGCAUAAUUGGUACCAUUCAAUUUGAUACCUAUCUGAGCAGCUGGGUGUUUGGUUUGAGGUGGAUUCUGGGGUGGAAUUAGUGGAAUCUGGGGACUUUGAGGAAGAAUUGAUGAUAUCGGGUCUGUUAUCUCCAUUGUACAGGAGAAGAGAAAAAAUAUAUAUAUAGGGUUUACAGCAGGAUCUUCUGCUCUGAUACUAUGUCAAAUUGAGGCUCAAAAGCUUAAUUCUUCAUUGAAACUUUGUAGAAUAUAUACAAGAAAAUCAUAUCUCAACAUUUAGUGUGUGAGAUAUUAUAGGCUAUUGUUUAGGAAUUAAUACAGCUUAAAUAUUCUAAAUAUGGUAUUUGCUAAUUUACAGCUUUUGUUAAGACUGAACAAAUCGGAGGUUUGAGGAUCAACAUGGACAAUGUUGCAAAGUUUGGCGGUUCAAUUUUGAUAGAUAAAGGCUUCAUUAGGAAGAAAGCUGAAGAUAAAGGCUUCAUUAAAGAAGAAAGCUGAAGAUAGGGGUAAAGGUAUCUCAGCUGUGAUAAAGGCUUCAUUAAAGAAGAAAGCUGAAGAUAAGGUUAAAGGUAUCUCAGCUGUGAGAGGUUACCAAGUGAAGGAUUGACCCGGUUAUGGAAUUAUUGGCAAGAUCAAGUAAGCCAAGGUUUUCCAUCUGCCCCAUUUCAUCUGGAAUGGAACCUUGGAGCUUGUUUCUCCCCAAAUAUAGUCUUUGCAACAGCUUCAGCUUUCCAAAAGUUGCUGGAAUUGUCCCGUCCAAGUGAUUGUACGGCAGUUGUAGGGUCGCGAGGCCAACACUCAAGUUUCCAAUACUAUCUGGAAUCUCUCCUCUUAUACGGUUGUUCAAAAGAUUGAAAUAGUAGAGGUCUUUCGAAAGAUUUCCAAAGGAAGCAGGUAAACUCCCAGAAAAUAAGCAUGAGCCCAAGUGCAGUUUUAGAUGCGAGGGCAGAUAUAACAUCACCAAGUGCUGAAAGAGAUUUAUUAAUGAAUUGCGAUUCCUUCAAUCUUUCACCUUCAACAUCAAUCUUUCCCACACGUUCGCUACCAGCCAAAUCGACCAUCCAUAGGUGACUUCUUGUCUUUUGUCCAUCUAUUAAAUUCACUCCUUUCACUGUUACUCGCAACAAACUACAGAACAAGAAUGUUGUGGUCAUUAGUACUACCACUUCAAUUAAUUCAACAAACUACAGAACAACAAUGGUGUGGUCAUUAGUACUACCACUUCAAUUAAUCAGUAUAUUUUCUUGAAUAGUUUGGAUUCACAGAUCCAAAAAACUAUUUACUUGCUAUUAUAUGUGAUAUAACAUAAAGUAUAUUCUUAGAAAGAAUAAACCAAGAAAAGAAAGCAGAGUUCAUUUUUACCGAUGAGAACGGCUGCUAAGCUCAUUAGCGCUGGUUGAUCCAAGAGACCUGGCCCGACUUCCAGACUUGAGUAAAUCCCACACAUCCUCUGUGCCAGUCACCCGAGUUUCAACAAGUCCUGGGACUUCUUGUGUUCCUUCAGCUGUUUGUUUUAUCUCCAACCUUCAUGCAUGUAAGAAAACUAAAAUUUCAUCAAACUUCAUUCAUGUAACUCAAUUUCUUAACGUUAGACUAUAAAUCUUUCAUACCAGUGGGCUUCCAAAUAGGAGUCUUUACAUAAUCUUUUAAACCCUAAACCCAAUUAGAUGUCAUGCUUAUCUACACUAGAGAGGAGCAAGGUAUUUAUUAUCAUUUGCUAUCGAGUGCUCAAAUGAAAAUUGGGCUGAUACAGAACUUCCGUGAUCCACUUUUCUUGUCAAAUAGCCACACGCAUGAUGUUUGUAUUAACCAAUAGUUAAUUUCCCUUAUCUUCUCAUUGUAAACCUCCAUCAUACUAACAAAAAGGACCAUAUCUCAUAAUGCCACUUCUCUCUUGAGAACAACUCAUCCAAUGUUCUGUAGUUCACUCCCCUAUUUUCUGGGCUGCCCUCCAUAGCAAACGUCUUUCCAGUUCCAGUUUGUCCAUAUUCGAAUAUGCAGACAUUGUAGCCAUCCAAAACUGAAGCGACUAUUGGUUUAGUUUGUGCAAAAACAGCCUCUGCAUAUCAUAGAGACAAAGGAUUAGAUGCUUCAAUUGCACAAAUAAUCUUUAACAUGAUGUCUGCAGUAGCAAUACAUAAAAUAAAACAUCAGAUCACCUUGAUUAUCCUCAGGCCCAAAAACAUGGUCGAACUUAAAUUGCUUUUUGGAAGAAUCAGAGGAAAUGAUCUGCAACUCAUUAUCUUGGGAAGAGUCAAAUUCAACUACAUAGUUCGAACCAUUUGUUAUUUCGACUUGAUUUAGUGGUCUGCAUCUACAGAAGACCCUAAUAUUCCCUUUAAGCUCAAUCACCUCAUUGUAAAGCCUCUUCCUCUCAGACAACUCUUGUAGAUACUUCUUUUUAAGAAGUUCAUAUUCAUUACCUGACCAAUAUUUCAACUAGUAAACUAUCAAAACCAAACCCCUCAAAAAAUAAAAAAUAAAAUGAAAAGAAGAAAUAAAUUAGUUUCACUAUUGGAUACUCACCGAGUUUUUGAAGGGUGUCUAAAAUAUUGGGGCCAAGAAAGGAAUCCUUGGCAGUCUUUACUUGAUUAGAGAGAUUUGAGUGUUCUUUCUUCAAAUUCUGAAACAACAACAAUUAAAUUCAAAGAAAGAAAACAAAUCAAUACCCCCAUCAACAUAAUAAUGCAAAAUCCUAAUUUACUAGCUAAAACAACGAAAUUUAAAAUUGCCUGAAUUCUACAACUAAAACCAAGUCUUUUCAAGUCAUCUAUACGAUACCCAACACCACCAAAGUUCAAAAUAAGUACCUGAAUUUUAUCACUUAAAUUGAUAAUUUUCUGCAAAAUGGGCAGUCUUGGACCCUGAGAUGGGGAAACUUGUCGAAUUCUAUUAGAUACGCUCUCCUCCUCCGAAUUAAUAGUUUCUCCUGACAAUUCAUUAAAAUCAAAAUAACCUUUUUGAGUCAAAACAAUUUCAAUAUAAAAUACAAAUGUCUACAGUUCUACAGCACCGAAUUUGACUCAAUUUCAAUAUAAAAUACAAUUUCAAUAAAAAAAGCCUUGAGGCAAUCGAGCUAACCAUCGACCUGAGUAAUGAGAUCUUAGUAAUUCUAUAAAAAACAAAUUACAAAUUACAAAUCUCAAUCAACCUAAUGUUGAAAGAUUCAAUUGAAAAAAAUCAAUUAAAAAAAUAUCUCAAUUCAACCCGGGUUAACUUGUUAAACUUGGAUUAUGAGAUCGGGAAUCUAUAGAAAUAAAUAAAAUAAAAAUAUGAAUUCAAAUUCUCAAUCAACUCAAUGUUAAAUGAUGAAAAUAAAAAAAUCAAUUAAAAAAUGACCAAAAAAACUUGAGCCAUCUUUGGUAACCCACAAAACUUGUGACCUGGAUCUUGAGAUCUUAAUAACCCCAUAGAAAAAAAAUAAACAAAUAUGAAGCCAAAUUCUCAAUCAAUCUAGUGUUGAAGGAUGAAAUUGAGAAAAAAAAUCUGUUAAAAAUAAUAAAAAUUAACUUGAGUUAACUUACCAAACCUGAAUUUUAUUUAUUUAUUUUUAUUACGAAUUUAGAACCACCCCUUAAAAUGAUGUGAUUUAUAUCAUAAAUUUUAAUGGUGGGUUUAAUUGGUAUAAUAUGUGAUAGAUGGGAUCCAAUUGAUAAAUAUAUCCUUUUCAUCUCUAAUUCAUAAGACUAUUUGGUUUCAUUUUAAUUGAGUUGUUUCAUAAAUAUUUGUAUAGAAAAAGAAGAGGAGAAGAUGAGUUACCAGUGUCAACGAGCGAAACCAUGCAUCCAUAGCAUUAAGUUGCCCUUUCAAAUACAAGAUGAUGAAGAGUUUGUCAAGCAUUUUCCAUCAAUUUUAGGGUAUGGUUGCUCAGGCUCGUUGACAAACAGUGGAUGGACUCCACACCCAACCACCACAUCAGUAGCUCCCCACGGUGAUUUGAAUUGAAACGAGGCCUCCUUGAAAAAGCACUUAGAGUGGACACUCCAAAUGAACACAUGCUCCCUUCCCCAUAAACUCCUCACCUUUUCUUCAUAUAUUUCGUAGUAGUAGGAACUGAGAUCAAUCUGGGUUCCAUCUUUGCUUAUCAAAUGGCAUUCACAUUUAAUAUUAACGGGACGCCUUUCCCCGCUUUGGCCAAAUGAAACAACAGCGCAUAAAGUGAAACCACGAUGCCAAUGAGCUGGUUGCCGGAUUUUUACUGACGAUCCUUCUCUAUUUUUAUAACUGAACCGCUCCAGGACUUCCGACCCAGGAAUACACAACCGGACUUCUUUUAAUGGAUUACCAGCAUAUUCCUACACCGAAGAGAAUGACAAUGUGAGAUACAUAUAAAAAAUUAUCGUGAUUUUUUUCUUUAAAUAGAUCAAGAUCGAGGGAGGAAGAAUUCACCUGAUAAAACAAUGAUGUUGCCAUGCGUCGAAUUCGUAAAUGGGCAGCACCCAUAAUUCUAAAGUGUGAAUUCUGAUCCAGUUGGAGACAUUCAGAGAAAUUGAAUUCCUGAGAAACAGCUUUAUAUUCUCUAUCACCUUGCAUGAAUAUACUUGCUACAGAUUUUAGAGAGAUGCAACCUGAUGCGAUUAAAACUUGUAGAGUUGAUGGAAGCUCUGGUAAACAUUGAAGCUGCUUGCAAUCAUCUAAAUAGAGUUUACUUAGCUUAGUAAGUUGCUUGAUGCUUGCAGGUAUCCUCUCAAAAUCAAUCUGAGAUAAUCUUAAUUGUGUUAGCGACACCAAAGAGCCUAAUCUCUCUGGAGUUUUUAACACACGAGAAUUUCCCAAAUUUAAAAAUUCAUGGCAACCCAAUUUAUAGGUGGAUGAUGCAAUUUCUUCUAUAUUCUAGAAUCCACUCAGCAUAUAACAAUGCUGUUUGUCAAGUCCUUUAAAUUCAAGAUCAAUGAUGUUGUUUGGAAGACUUGCUAGUUUUAACCAACCACUGAGAUCGAGCGUAGUAAGACGUUUCAACUCUCCAAUGCUUUCCGGUAGACUUUUUAGUCCUGAGCAACCAAUAAGGUGAAGCGUACAAAGCAAUUUCAAUGCGCCAAUGCUAUCAGGUAGACUUGCUAGUUUGAAGCAACCACUAAGAUUAAGCAUAGUAAGACAUCUCAAUCCACCAAUGUUGUCGGGUAAACUUUCUAGUCCUGAGCAACCAUUAAGAUUAAGGGAUUUAAGAGAUUUCAACUUGACAAUUCUGUCUGGUAGACUUGCUAGUCUUGAGCAACCAUAAAGAUUAAGCCAUUCAAGAGAUUUCAACUCGCCAAUUCUGUCUGGUAGACUUGCUAGUCCUGAGCAACCAUUAAGAUUAAGCGAUUUAAGAGAUAUUAACUCGUCAAUUCUAUCUGGUAGACUUGCUAGUCCUGAGCAACCACUAAGAUGAAGCAAUUUAAGAGAUUUCAACGCGCCAAUGUUGUUUGGUAGACUUGCUAGUCUUGAAAAACCACGAAGAUUAAGCACAACAAGAUAUUUCAACCUGUCAAUGCUGUAUGGUAGACUUUUUAGUCCUAAGCAACCACUGAGAUGAAGUGUAUCAAGACAUUUCAACCUGUCAAUGCUGUCUGGUAGACUUGCUAGUCUUGAGCAACUAGUAAGGUGAAGCUUAGCAAGACAUUUCAACUCUCCAAUGCUAUCGGGUAGACCUGCUAGACUUGAGCAACCACUAAGAUUAAGCUGGUAAAGAGAUUUCAAUGCGCCAAUGUUGUCGGGUAGACUUGCUAGACUUGAGCAACUACUAAGAUGAAGCGUAUCAAGACAUUUCAACCUGUCAAUGUUGUCUGGUACACUUGCUAGUCCUGAGCAACCAGUAAGGUGAAGCUUAGCAAGACAUUUCAACCCCCCAAUACUCUCAAGUAGACUUUCUAGUUUUAAGCAACCACUAAGAUCAAGUUGGUAAAGAGAUUUCAACAUACCAAUACUAUUUGGUAGACUUUCUAGUCCUGAGCAACCACUAAGAUUAAGUGAUGUAAGAGAUUUCAACUCGCCAAUGUUGUCCAGUAAACUUGCUAGUCCUGAGCAACCAUGAAGUUUAAGUAAUUUCAUAGAUUUAAACUCGCCAAUUUUGUCUAGUAGACUUGCUAGUCCUGAACAACCACUAAGAUUAAGCUAUUUAAGAGAUUUCAACGCGCCAAUACUGUCUGGUAAACUUGCUAGUCUUGAGCAAUCACUAAGAUCAAGCUGGUCAAGAGAUUUCAACACACCAAUGCUAUUUGGUAAACUUACUAGUCCUGAGCAACCACUAAGAUGAAGCGAUUUUAGAGAUUUUAACGCGUCAAUGUUGUUCGGUAGACUUGCUAAUCUUGAGCAACCAUUAAGAUCAAACUGGUCAAGAGAUUUCAACAUGCCAAUACUAUGUGUUAGACUUGCUAGUCCUGAGCAACCAUGAAGAUUAAGUGAUUUGAGAGAUUUCAACAUGCCUUCAUUCCGAAGUUGUUCAAGCUGGCUACAAGGCAUUUCAAGUUGAACAAGUUUCUCAGGGAAAAAAAUUGAUGGAAAGGAUUUCAAAGCGUAAUUAUACCAGUAGAGAAACCUUAGCUCACUUGAAAGAAAGUGAAGCCCUCGUGGAAGGUGGAUUCCGACCCUCUUUCCAUUCAUAAUUUUCUCCUUUGAGGGAUCCUUUAAGAAAGGUGGGUAGUAGAUUUUGAGCAAUCUUAAAUUAUACAUCCCUUCAAAUGCUGUAGGACUUAAUGUCAAUUCUUUAGUUGCAUCGAAGAUGAGGGAUAUGCUUUCCACUUUUGAUCAGUAUGUCCCCUAUUUAACAAAUUAAAGCAAACUGUAAAUCACUAUAUAUAUAUAUAACAAAUAAACAAGAGAAGAAGAAGCUGGGCUUGAUAUUUAUUCUUGUCCAAGGCUACAUCUCUUAGCUAUAAACAAGGAAGUCAAGCAACAGUCAAUUAAAUCACUUGGAAACGUUACCUGAGUUGUUCAUACACGAUUGAUAUCAUCAGCCUCCCACAACCUGCUACGUUCUCUAGGGUCAACGUUUUCUUGGAGGACAAUUUUUUUCCCUAGUUUUAGGAGCACAUCAUGCAUCUUGAUCUUGUCUUGAACAAUUUUUAUGAGACACAUAUCAGCGAGACGAUCUAUCCCACUUCUUUCUUCAAGAUCUAGUGUUUGUUGGAGAAAAUCCUUCUUGCACCGUCCAAAGAAACAUGCUAUAUCAAGAAAUAUUUUCUUUUCUGUCUGAUUUAAUUCAUGAUAGCACAUUUCCAAAUGUUUCUUAAUGGCCUCGCCACCAUUUGUUCUGAGCUGUGCCACCUUUUUUUUUUUUUUUUUGAUCAAAUGUAAGAAUAUUAUAGAUCAAAAAGGCGCUGGAGUCCAGCAAUACAAGGAAAAAGGAACAAAGUCCUUUGACCAAAUCAAAAGCAAGGCAAGCUUGCUGAACAUAAAAUAAAGGGAACAGACUCCCUUGUACAAAUAUAAGAACAAACUCCCUGGAUGAACCUAAAAUCAAAGGAACAAGCUCCCUUGAACAAGCAUAAAAGCCGCAAAGCAAACUAGCAUACAAAGAACGGCUAGGAGACCCAAAAACCAACAGCAGCACUACUUGCAACCCAGCAGUCGACAUGCUUUCCAACAGCAGAAGCUGACAAGCCAAGCAGACCCACCUGCCGACAGCUCCCCAAUUUCAAAGCAGCAUCAGCCAGCUAAAGAAGCCAAGAGCAAAAGUCAUGGUGGGACCACACAGCAGGAAAGCAUUGCCUGCCCAGCCAAGAGACAAGUGACCGACUCUUCAAGCCAAGCAGGACAAACAAGCCAAGGGACAACAAAAGCAGCCAUGCUGACGCAGCUCAGCCAUGCAUAAAGAAAGCCAGCCAUGCAUGCAAUGAACAGCGGCGCUCCCUUACAGGACCAUGCACGAUCACCACAUAGCACAAAACCUUGCAGAACCAAGGAACCAAAGCUCCUUCCAACCCUCCCAGUCAAAGUGCCAGCCAGCUUCACACAGCAAAGCAUCCAACCCAGCAGAUGGGCAACAAGCCAAUUUGAUCCGUUUCAACAAGAAACAAAUUAACCAGCAACACAACACACAGGCACCCACAAACUGCAAGCCAAGGCAGCAAACAAAGCAAGCCAACUAGCAGGCCACAUCAAACAAAACAGCAAGCAAAAUAGCCGGCAGAAAGAACAGCAAUCCAGCAAGGAAAGAAAGCAGGAGAACAGCUAGGGAAACCCCAACAGUAGAUCCAAAGGCCAUCAGACCAACAACUGGAAGAAUAAUAGCUACAGGCAGAAAAACUGCAACACACAAGAGCCAAGCUAACAAAAUUAGCAACAGAAAGACAAAGCCAUCAAAAUUAAAGCAAGCAGAGACCCAAACAGGCACAAGGAACAGAGUCCUUGGUCAAAACCAGGGAGACAUCAUGUAGAGGAUGAGGAAGCAGAGGCUAUGUUGCCCAGAGACACAGCCGAAGAGGAAUUGUUGGAAGAACGAUUCUUCCAUAAGGCCUUCCCUGAUCGGCCAGAAGUGGCAGCAGCUUUACUCCUUGUCAAAUAUUGCCUCCUGGGCGGUAGUUCAGCAGUGGUCUCGUCUUCCACAGUCACAACCAGAGGAGAGCCAGGAGGAUGAUCACCUAGAGGACCAGAAGGUGUAGCCAAUUUGGCACGCUUGCGAUCAGAGAUAUCUGUUCGUUCCUCCCCAGCCACAGCAAACAUGGGAUCACACUCCGGCUCACCUUGAGGUUCCUCCCGAAGAGGUUGUUUCUCAACAGCUUCAGUCUCUGCUGAAGGAUUAGAGCAUCCAGAAGGAGUAGGAGUUGGCUGACCCCGCUUUCUGCGCUUGUGGCUGGAAUUGGUGGCACAAGAAGAGGUGCUGUGCCCCAAAGACCUGCACUGUUUGCAGAAUCGUGGUAACGAUUCAUAUAACACAUUCUGGGUCAUGGUUACACCAUUGGGCAAGGAAAUGUUGAUCGUUGCAGGCAAAUCAGCUAACAAAUCAGUCUCAACUAGUACUCUGGCAUAUGAUAACCGAGACAUAGAGGAUGUUGGGGUGUCCAAGUGAAGCGGUUUCCCUAUCACACUUGCAAGUUUAGAGAGGCAAAUCGGGGACCAGCACUGAAGAGGGAGAUUAGGAAAUCUAAUCCAUACUGGCAUCCGAAGCAUUUCAGAGGUAUCAAAGUCAAAAAACUCUGGCAUAAUUUUCAAAAUCAAAAGCCGGCCAUGUACAGAGUAAGGCCCUCCAUUAAGCACUUCUAACAUGUCCAUUUCAGAAUCAAAAUUGAAAAUUAACCAACCAGAAUCAUGCAUGGAGAAAUGAACAUUGCGUUUCCAGGAAGAAUUGAUAAAAGAAGAGAGUGAAGUGUAACCUGGAAACUUGCCAGCAAUGAACCCAAUAAGGCUGAACCUCCACCGGUCUUUGUACAAACCCAUAUCCGUGUCCAGAAGAGUGCAAGAUGAUGUAGUCGUGUAACUAGAGAAAUGGACAAGAGGAGGGGACUGAGGAACAGUGGGUGUACCUGUGGGGCAGACCGGGGAGGAAGACCGAUGGCUGACUGUUGGAGCUUUACCAAGCCUAGUAGAAGGAGGUGAAGCAGCGGCACCAGUCAUUGCCUCAGAGUUGGGGUUGCCAACACCAGGCCGUGGGUAAGGAGACCCAGGCUCACCAAGGGGAUCACGACGGGUUUGGGAUGAGUUAGGGGAAGAAGCAUGGGGCCUACAGCGGCGAGGAGAAGACAAUGGAGAAGCAGCAGAGGGUGUGUGGCUUAUUCCCCUAAUUCGAUUUUUUGUUCGAACCCUAGAAAGGCGUUGGGAAAUAACAACAUCAGCAAGCGCUACUGUAGCUCGUGGAGGAUUAGAGGGUGAAGGCGAGGUACGAGAGGGGUUGGAGGGGCGCUGGAUAGCAGGAGAAACACUCCGGCUCAAAGCCCAUGGAGCAGUCGACGACGAGGGUCGCGAUGAACAGUAGUCAUAGUCUUGCUGGGCAGAACGCAGCACUGAUGACUUUUUCUUAGAUUUUGCCAUGAGGAAACGACACAAAGGGACCAGAAGAAGAGCCAAAAAGAGUGCAGAAAGCAAGAGAUGAAAACGGUGCCCGAGAAAAUGGAGGAACCUGAACAGAAUCAAAUUUCCACUUCCUGCAACCGAGAGAGCUUCUCUCUCUUACUUCUCACUACGCUCUUUCUUUCCCAGUAUUCAACACUCCUUUUAUUGUAUAGAUUGCCACCUAGAACCUCGAGAACUAAUGGAAUGCCCUUAACACAGCUUACCACAGUUUUCGAUAGCCCACUAUAUCCUUCUAUGGGACGAUCUUGUUUAAAAGCAUGUAAGCUGAAGAGUCGAAGUGCAUCGUCUUCAUCUAAAAUUUUAACCUCGUAAAUUUUGUCUUCAUCACAUGCAUUUUCAAGAACUCGCCUAUCUCUACUUGUCACAAUGAUUCUACUUCCUUGGCCAAACAAACCAUCCUCUCCUAGUAAAUAUUUUAAAUCUUUUGGAUCAGUGACAUCAUCAAGAACUAUGAGGACUUUUUUUCUUUGAAGCAUUCGCUUAAUGGCCGGGGGUAACACUUUUGUGCGUAUAGUCAUAUCUUUCUUCUCUAAUACUUCACCAAGAAUUUCCUGUCUUACAUGAUCUAUUCCAUGCUUCUGUGAUUCUUCCCUAACAUUUUGGAAAAAGCAUUGGCCUUCAAAUUUACUACAGUUUUGAUGAUACACAGCUUCAGCCGUUGUUGACUUACCUAUACCACCCAUCCCCCAGAUUCCCACAAUGAGCACACCAGUUGAUCCAAAGGAUAGUAAUGAUUCGAUGUCUUCAACGCGUGAUUUCAUUCCAACAAGGCCUUCUGCAUCGAGUGAGAGUGACAGCUCAUGGCUCAAUUCCUUUUGAAUGUCGGAAACGAUUUCCUGAAUUAGCUUGGUCUCAUCCCUGCAGUGCAUAAUAAAUAAAGAACAAAGACAUUCAUGCUGUAAUAACCUAAAUUUUUUUAUCAUAACAUCUAACACAACAUUGAUUCUCGAACAAAUUUUUUUAAAUAAGUUGGGGUUGAAUAUGCUGUAACUAAAUUAAUAACUUACUUAAUGAUGUUUGAAUCCCAGCCCUUGAGAUUGGCUAUUUCUUUCAAAGCAUGUCUCCAACUCUCUACUUCUUCAGAACUGCAAUCUCUUUCAUGCUUGCAAAGUGCAUCUCCGUAGCUCCCAGUCAGAUUUUGAACAUGGCUUGGAUCAAGUUGUUGGACUAUUGCCAAUUAUGUAGCUGCCAUUGUCAAAGAAGAUGGCUGUCAUGUGAGAGUCAAAGAGGGUUGCUGGUGCAGCAUUUGCAGCCCCUUAACAUUGUCAAAGAAGGAGGCUACAAUGGUGGGUUGUUGGUGGCAGCUAACAACCAUUGUCAAAUGUCAAAGUUUGGUAAGUUUGGUAAGUUUGGCAGCCACCAUUGUUGACAAAGGAGCAAGAGGAGCUGUCAUUGAAGCCUAUAAAUAGACACCAAAAGUGCAGCACAAAGAGAGAGUCCAGUAGUAGAGCUACAAAAGAGAGAAGAAGAGAGAAAGAAAGAAGGGCUGCAACCAGCAGCCCUGCUGCUGUAUGCAGCUGCUGCCCUAUGUAGCAAUGAGAGAUGGGAGUUGAGUGGAUGUGAUCCUCCUCCGUGUGUUGUAUUCUUUCUCUAUCUCUAAUAAUAUCGAUCUCUCCCGUGGAUGUAGGCGAUUUGCCGAACCACGUUAAAUAUUGUGUCAGUGUGCUUAGCCUCCUUUGAGCAAUGAUCAUGAACACCACCGUUCCGCAAGGGGAGCAGAAAUCCCCAACAAUUGGUAUCAGAGCCACAACUAGUGGUUUCUCCCACCAACAAAUUGGUAUCAGAGCCACCAUUAGUGGUUUCUCCCACCAACAAAUUGGUAUCAGAGCUUAUGGUUUAAAGUGAUGUUUGAUUUUUUGCUCAAAAAUGAAAGUUGUCAAAAUUAUGUUUUGACCAUACCACUGUGUAUAGGAGGAAGAGACGAAGCCACUGGUGAAAAUGGCAUCGAAAUCGGACGUCAGGCUGCCCACGCGCACCAACGCGCCACACACAAGCCACGCGUCUUCUUCGCCCGAAUGGCAGACCUGACCCGAAUACCAGAUGACCCGACCCACAAGCUGACCCGGAUAAGGAUGACGUCAUCAUGAUGUAAUCAUGAUGUCAUCAUGCAUAGUCAACAUGUCAUGUCAGCGACCAGUCAGCUGACACAUCAGCAUAGUGGGACCCACCAGCCACGAGCUAAGUUGAGCCGAGCCGAGUGGAGCCGAGCUGCGAGCCGGAGGAUAGGAUCCAGUGUAGUUGAUCCUACGUGCAACCGGAUUUGAGAUUGAAUUUGAGCCGCUCAUCAGGCCAGAAUUGUUUUGAUCAAAUCUUAGCUGUCUGAAAUGCGAUUUGGACGAUUGCAGCCUUGUUUCCAGCUAAUUUGAUCGUUCUGGAUCCAAUGGUAUGGUCUGAUCGUUGAGAUUGUGACUGAAAAUGGUGGUGGUGAAUUAACAAAAGGAGAUUGCCCGAUCAGGAGGCAUCUAAAGGUCAUCAUGGUGGUCGAUGGUGAUGAUGAAGAAGAAGGUGCACAUGUUUACCCAAUUACAUGUGUUGAACUGCUAAAUGAGGAGAUUUUUAUUUGCCGAAUGAAGGCAAAAUUGGGACACUCUGGACACCCGAUCAUGUGGAUGAUUUGAGGUGGAGAGCGGAAAUUGAUGAAGACCAAUCUUGACGAAUCUAAGCACUGGUAGUCUCGCCAGAUGUUGAGAAAUCAGGUAUAAAACCAGGAUAUUCCAGAUCGCUUGUAAACAAAAGCUGCAACAAAGCUAGCAAAUGGUUGUAUAUACGGAAAGACAGUACGAUGGAUAAAUAUGGCGUAAGAAGUUCUGUCUAGGAGAUUGGGUUUUAAGCGGGACCAGUGUGACCCCUCCAAUCUUUCCUAGGAACUUGCUUAGUUGAAGGAUUAUCCAUACGGUACUAUUUUCGUAUAUAUAGCAAUUUGAAAUGAAACGGUUGAAGACUAGCAAGACGACGGCACAAGAGAACAGUUGAGUUCCGUAUGUUUAAAGAUCUAAUGGAGUGGUGAUUUCUCCAAAGAAGUUAGAUUCGGUGACUAUGAUUUCUCGAAGGGAUAAUUGAUGAAGACCCUGAUAAUGGAAGAGAAAUAUAGCAGGGGGAUAUAGGUUGGCACCCUAUUUUGACUUGGAUAGGUGUUGUGACAAGAUGAGCUGCUGUCAAACAUAAGCAAGGAAUAGGGAGAAAUCUGGAGAACAGAAAUUGCAUGAGGGCACAUGGAGAUUGUGCAGGAGUACCCGUGAUCUAACGAGGUACUGUAAUGAGAUAACAGGUGCAAGGAGAAGAAGUUUUCCCAGAUGAAGCUCAGAGCAGAGACUGCGUGAAAAGGAUGUACCACAGGAAGUCUCUUGUGCUCUUGAUGAAGACAACAGGAGAAGACCUUUCCAAUGCAUGCAAGGAUGGAAAAAUGAGCUGCUGUAGAAGCACCUAAUUGAGGGGGUGCAAACGCCUGUGUUAAAAGGCGAUCGCCUAUGAUGAAAGGCGAAGACAUCGAAGAGAGUUGGUGUAGGUGGAGCUGUCAAGAAGAAAGGCACAGAAGCUCCAAACAUAGAAAUCGAGGUGGAGGAUUGUGAGGAGUAUACCGCAACUUUAUCUUUCUAUGUAAUCAGUGGCAGUGAUCUCUCCCAUAGUCCACAUGGUGGUAGAGGCUUUUGGAGCCACUUUGAAGCAUCUCAGAUGAAGGAGGAUGCGACUGCCUAUGAAAGGCGAAGACACCUUAGAGAAAAGGUGUGCGGGCCACGAUAGGAGCCCCAGUUCAGACCGCCGUAUGACGACGAGCGGAAACACCUCAGACAGAAGGUGUGUAGGCCACAAUAUGAGCCCAAGUUCAGACCGCCCUAUGACAACGGGCGAAGACACCUUAGAGAAGGUGUGAGGGCCAUGAAAGGAGCCCAGUUCAGAACGCCCUAAAGCCAAUGUGAUGGCUAGAUAUGAGUGGACAGGUGUAUAACUAAUGAAGUGGUUAUGAUGAGUAUGGAGACAAAUGUCGGAUUAACUUUCAUUGCCCCUAGGCUAAAGAUCAAUGAGCUAGAUAACAUUUGCCUUGGACAAUAAGUGGAUGACUUGUGGAGCAUUAAGACGCGAUUGCUAGGAAUGAGCAGAAGACACGCGCAGGUUUCAGGAACAAGUUGACUCUUGUCAAGGUAGUGAGCUCGGUAAUGGCAUUGUAAUACUCAGAGUAUGAAGAUAGAUAUGGAUCAACCUUUAAUGGGCUGCCCCCAUGGUUAAAGGUGGAGAGCUACCUGGACUCUUAGAACUAAGAGCGAGAGACUCACGGAGAAGUAAGGCGUGGUUCCUAGAGUGGAACAGAGGGCAGACGCAACUCCGGGAUGAGUAGACUCUUGGAAGAGUGGUAAGCUUAUGAUUACAUUGAAAUACUCAGAUAAUGAUUGUCGCACUCGGAAAUAGAUAUUUCCAUUUGAGGGGGUGUUGUAAGCCUUGAUGUGAGGCUUGAUAAAUCAUUCCGGAUUAAGCAUGGUUGAUACGCUCGAAGGGAAAUGUUGUCCCAGAGACAAGCGUUAUCACUCUUCAGAUGUGAUGUGACAAACCAUCUGAUUGUAGUGAUCCUUUUGUGUGAGAAAAGGUGUGCUUUGGUGACUCUGGUGAUUGAAAGGUUUGGCAAGUACCUGUAAACUUGCCCAAAGAUGUUCUCAGAAUGGUAAGCUUGGAAGAGCUGCAGGAAAGCGUGUGCUGAAGAAGCAAAAGGACAAAUUGCCCACAUAAAUGGCAAAAGGGGUGAUUGUUGGAAUAUUGCCAAUUAUGUAGCUGUCAUUGUCAAAGAAGAUGGCUGUCAUGUGAGAGUCAAAGAGGGUUGCUGGUGCAGCAUUUGCAGCCCCUUAACAUUGUCAAAGAAGGAGGCUACAAUGGUGGGUUGUUGGUGGCAGCCAACAACCAUUGUCAAAUGUCAAAGUUUGGUAAGUUUGGCAGCCACCAUUGUUGACAAAGGAGCAAGAGGAGCUGUCAUUGAAGCCUAUAAAUAGACACCAAGAGUGCAGCACAAAGAGAGAGUCUAGUAGUAGAGCUACAAAAGAGAGAAGAAGAGAGAAAGAAAGAAGGGCUGCAACCAGCAGCCCUGCUGCUGUAUACAGCUGCUGCCCUAUGUAGCAAUGAGAGAUAGGAGUUGAGUGGAUGUGAUCCUCCUCCGUGUGUUGUAUUCUUUCUCUAUCUCUAAUAAUAUCGAUCUCUCCCGUGGAUGUAGGCGAUUUGCCGAACCACGUUAAAUAUUGUGUCAGUGUGCUUAGCCUCCUUUGAGCAAUGAUCAUGAACACCACCGUUCCGCAAGGGGAGCAGAAAUCCCCAACAAUUGGUAUCAGAGCCACAACUAGUGGUUUCUCCCACCAACAAAUUGGUAUCAGAGCCACCAUUAGUGGUUUCUCCCACCAACACAAGUCGGUAAAAUACUGGUAAGACCAUCUGUUGUUUGGUCUCCAUGCACUCAAGAAUCUUGGAGAGUUCCCUCAAACAGAAAGUAGAAUCUGCAUAAUUUUCAGAGAAAAUGACUAGCGAAAUAAACGACUCUUCAAUCCUUUCCAAGAGGGCAGGCUCGAUCUUUUCUCCUCCAUCAAGUUUGUUAUCGAUGUAAGCAUCAAUUUGGUUUCGCUGCAAAGCAUCAUGAAGAUGACUGGUGAAACUAUUGCGGGUGUCUGUGCCUCUAAAACUGAGGAACACAUCGAGCUUCAAAUAUGGAGUAGUGGGAGAAGAAGAGGAAGCCAUAUUUGUAUAUGCUUGAUAUGUGUAGAAGUAAGCUCUACUUGUGACAAUUAUUCCCUGUAACAAACGAUAAAUAAUUAGUCAAAGACUAGCUAGUUGAGAUCUUAAUUACACCUGAUCAUAAAUAAAGAGAGAAGCUAGCGGAUGGAGGACAGUUGGGAGAUUAUUUUAUAUCUCAUAAAUAAGAGAAGAUCAAAAUUUACAUACAUAAACAACUUAAAGGAUACUAUAGCAAAGAACAAACAGAGAGAUUUCAUUGACAUUUUUAUAGAAAAAUUAAUGGACGUCCAGGAAGAAAGUCUACCAGUUAUUUAAGGGCUAGCCAACUCACAAUUAAGGGGGCCGGGGAGUUCACCACAUUGAUCCUCUCAUCAUCUUUAUUUCAAGCACAGUAUUGGGGGGGAGUUCACCACAUUGAUCCUCUCAAAAUCAGUUUUUGUUUCUUUUCCUUCACCUUUUCUGUUUUUCCUAAGCAGCAAGAAAGAGACCAAAUCCUAGUUAAUGCUGCCACCUAACUGUUUAGAGAGAGAGAGAGAGAGAAGAACACAUUAUAAAAACAAAACCAUCAAACAUUUUUUAGGAAAACUUGCAAUAACUACUAAAAGUUUUGAUCAUACUCACGUUAUGGCAAAUUUUGGAUUUUAGUCACACUAUUGCUAGAUCACAUUCCAUAGAGGACGGCAGGAUUACAGUUUGCAUGCAACUAUCUGUGUCUUCACCCAAUUCUGAAUUAAAAAAAAAAUAACAAUAAUAAAAAAAUAAAGCAUUGAAUCAUGAUUGGACAAAUAUUUAAUUUAUAGUAGAUAGGUGGAAAGAUAAUUUGAGGUCUUGUUGAAGAAAUUUAGCAAGCAUAUUCUUGAAAAUGUGAUCAAGGCUGAACAAAUUAAAGAUUUGAGGACCAACAUGGACAAGGUUGCAAAGUUUAGCUGUCUAAGUUUGAUAGAUGAAGGCUUCACUAAGAAGAAAGCUGAAGAUGGGGGCAAAAUGGCAAAAAUCAAAGAAGCCAAGGACCUAAUUGUACUUUGGAUGGGCUUAAUCAGGUGCUAAAAAGAAAGAGUAAUUAGGUUGGAAGUUAAUUUGGCUAGAAGAGGAAGAAUUAAUAAGUCUUAGGGACUUGUUUGAACUUUUGAUUAGUUUAAUUAAUGCAAUGAGGGACUUAACUAGAGUAAAAUAAAAGUUUGAGAGUCAAUUCGGUUAAUUGUGUUAAUCAAUUUACUUCUCAACUCGCCUUGUGCUGAUUAUAGAGAAAUAUCAAUGUUUCCAGGUGGAGCUCUAAAUUCCUCAACUUCAGUUUCUAGACGAUGAACCGCAAAAGCAUAACAUAAAUAUUAUUUUUGUUAAAGCAAGCAAGGAAGAGAAAUAAACGAUCGAUGUAAACCUUGAUAACUAUGCCUCGAACAUCUUAUAUGUGCAAGUGCAGGCUGAUUAUCUGAUAACAUCUCACCAAACUCAUUCAACAUCUUAUUUUUCACUGACAUAAUCAUCACCGUUCUUUAUUUAGCUUAACCAUGCUUCAUUUCCCAAAUUCCAUCCGUUUCCAAAGGUUUUGGAGCCCUCGGGAGAUCAAAGAUAUGGAAGGACGGCUUUGUGGAUUCUCUUCUGUGCACAUCAUUCCUGCAUCGACCACAUGAACACAGCAUUGCUUUAGCUUCUCUAUAGCACCACUUGAAUGUGCCUCUCGCUUCAAUGACAUGUCUACCACAUCCAAAAUAUGAUGAGGGGUUGCAGCACCCACCCACUUCCUUAGAUCAAGCCCGUCUGUGAACAUUUCUCCUGUUGGUCUUUGCCUUGUUAUCCAUUCCAGCAGCAUGAUACCGAAGCUGUAUACGUCUCCUCUAACUGAUACUUCAUUAGUCUGUCCAUAUUCUGUUUACAAGCAACAAAGCACUGUUAGCAAAAUGAAAAAAGAAAAUAAUCAUUUUGGUCAAAUGAUCUUAAUGCACUGCAAGGUGAAUGAAACAUACGAUCUUUCAUGCCGAAGAAUUUAGAGGAGGGCAACGAAACACGAACACAAACCAACCAGAUGCAUACCUGGAGGAAUAUAGCCAACAGAUCCUCGCAGGCCACUUGCUGUAGAAGAAUAUUCAGUUGGUUUAUCAGCAAAAAAGACCUUUCCAAUUCCAAAGUCCGCAACACGGGCCACCAUAUCAUCAUCAAGAAGAACAUUUUGUGGUUUCAGAUCACAGUGCACAACUUGAGUUGAGCAAUCCAAUUGAAGAUACUCCAAGGCAUUUGCAAUAUCUAUUGCUAUUCCUAAUCUUUCACUCAACGUCAAUCGACAGUUUCCUCCCUCGGACUCAGGAUAAAGAUGCUGUUCGAAGUUUCCAUUACCUACAAACUCAAGGAUGAGAGCCUUGAACUGUGAAUUCCAGAUUGAUCCCAUCAUUUGGAUGAGAGCCUUGAACUGUGAAUUCCAGAUUGAUCCCAUCAUUUGAACCAGAUUCCAGGAUAACACCGCCUGCUGUCUUCAUUUAGAACCUUAACCGCGACAAAAGAUAUUCUAUCAUCAAUCCAAGCUUUAUAAACAGAUCCAAAGCUUCCUCUCCCCAAGAGAUUGGCAUCACUGAACCCGUCGGUUGCAAUUUCGAGCUCUCUUUGAGUGAAAUUUCGUCCUCUGAAAGCCAUCAGAAUUGCUUCUUCAGAUGUUGCAUCAGUUUUCUUUUUAAAGAAUUGUCUAACACGGACCCCGACAUAUACCAAGAGCAGUAAAAAGCAGCUAGCAGUAAUUGCCAACAAGUAAUAGGUCCAUUUCCAUAACUUCCUCCUUUUCUUUUGAACUGCACAUGGCUGGAGUCUCAUUAGCGCAGAACCACCACACAGGCCUGCAUUUCCUAUCAAUGUGCUUCCACUAAGAUUUUUAAACCUUCCCAUACUUGAAAAUUCUCCAGUUAAUCUAUUAUACGACAGGUUGAAAUUUUUCAUCACUGAGUCAUUGGCAAGCCAGAUUGGAACGCUGCCUGUUAAUUGAUUAAAAGCCAGAUCCAGUGCUUUUAAAUAUGCAAUUUGUUUCAAUGACUCUGGAAUUGUACCUUGAAUCAUGUUCUUGGAUAGGUUCAAGUACUCCAAAGCUGUACAACUUCCAACUGAACUUGGUAUAAUGCCAGAAAAUCUGUUCACCGAUAAGUCAAUAGCUUGUACAGAUACCAGAUUUCCAAUAGUUGCAGGUAUUUCCCCGUCUAGAUUGUUAUUUGAAAGGUUGACGGAGAGCCCCAAGUUAGAAAAAACUCCAAUUUCUGGUGGAAGAGGCCCCUGCAAGUUGUUAAAAGAUAAAUCCAGCUGCAUCAUGAGAGAGCACUGGCUGAGUUUGAUGGGAAUAUUUCCUGAUAAGCUGUUCCGAGAUAGGUAAAGGUAUCUCAACUGUGAGAGGUUACCAAGUGAACAAGGGAUUGAACCGGUUAAGGAAUUAUUGCCAAGAUCAAGUAAGCCAAGGUUUUCCUUCUGCCCCAUUUCAUCUGGAAUGGAACCUUGGAGCUUGUUUCUCCCCAAAUAUAGUCUUUGCAACAGCUUCAGCUUUCCAAAAGUUGCUGGAAUUGUCCCGUCCAGGUGAUUGUACCACAGUUGUAGGUUCACGAGGCCACUCAAGUUUCCAAUACUAUCUGGAAUCUCUCCUCUUAUACGGUUAUUCAAAAGAUUGGAAUAGUAGAGGUCUUUGGAAAGAUUUCCAAUGGAAGCAGGUAAACUCCCAGAAAAUAAACAGGAGCCCAAGUGCAGUUUCUUCAGAAAUGAACAGUUUGUGAGAGCAGUAAGAAAACUAAGAGAAGAAUUGCUAACCAGGUUGUUGCUAUGGAGGUAAAGGAUCUCAAGGUUCUUCAACUUCCCCAGUUCCUCGGGAACUUCACCCUCCAAGUAAUUGACACUCAAAUCAAGCAGAGUUAUUUGUGAAAGAUUUGAGAAUGUCACUGGAAUCCUACCAGAAAUGUUGUUGUUUAAAAAAUACAACUUCUGCAAGUUUUGGAGCUUGUUCCCCAUUUCUGAAGGGAUUUCCCCGGAUAAAAGAUUCUCAAUCAAUGAAAUUUCUCGCAAUGCAGUGCAAUUACUUAGUGAUGCAGGUAUUGUUCCCUCAAGAAAGUUUAGGUGCAAAAACAAAGUCUCAAGCCUGCUCAAAACUCCAAGCUCCACUGGGAUUUGCCCAGUAAAGUAGUUCACAGCCCGUUCUAGCUGUGUCAAUUCUGUCAGGUUUGACAAGAAGGCCGGAAUGACCCCAGUGAGGUUGUUUACAGAGAGAGCUAAAAAACUCAGCUUCUUCAUCCAUCCUAGUUCUUCAGGAAUGACCCCAGAUAGGUUGUUCACAGACAAGUCUAGAAAUUUCAAGCUUUGACAGCCAUGUAGUGAAGCUGGAAAGGCACCAGAGAGCUUAUUUUCCUUCAUAUUCAGAUAUUCCAACUGUGAGAGAGCCCCCAAGGUAGUUGGGAUUUCUCCACGGAAAUUAUUACCCUGCAAGGAAAGCUUGGUGAGAAGAGAAAGAUUGGAUAGAAAUGGCGACAUACUUCCUUCUAAGCGCAUUUCUAUGAUCUCAAGAUCUAUAACCCGGUUUUGGAGAUAUUGGUGGCAUGUAAUUCCGGUCCAGUUGCAGAAAGGAUUGGCUUCAUUCCAAUCCUGGACGUAUCCUUUCGGAUCACUUGUUAUGCCUCCCUUGAAUUUGAGAAGAGCUUCACAAUCAGUAAAAUUGCAAACAAAUGCCGAUGCUCCUGGCAUGAGAAAAAAGAUGAGACAGAACACUGGCACAGCCAUGUUGCAGUUUUGAUUGUGUGCCAUCCUCUCUAUUGUUCUUUCUUAGCAGAGAUUCUGGAACAAAACGUUUCUUGAUGUGAAGACAAAAAAGUGAUUCUGUUUGCACUUUUGCUGCAUUUUUUCCAAGACUUGUAAGGUAAUCUUAACUUGAUAUGUAAAUGAUGGCAAGAAGAAUUAGUCAAACCACCUACCCCAUGGAUGGUGGGUGGUGGAUGCAUUUUUUCCACAUUAAAUUCCUGCAAGUGGAUGCAUUUUUUCCUACCUUCUUGGCGAUGAUAAUUAGGUGAAGCUAUCAUACUUUGUCCAUUGUCAUUGACAACCACAUCAUUUUUCUUCCACAAUAAUCUAGAUAAGUAUUAUAUGGUCUUCACUCUAUGAACUAUAUAUGUCAGAAACCUGUGCCGAGGACAAUGUGUAGUAAUAAAUUAUCUAAAUACACUACUCCUCAAUCCUCUUUUCCCACCUGUUUAAUAUUGGUCUAUACCAGUGGUCAACAAUUUAUUAUUUCCAUUUCACAUUAGACUUUUGAUCUUAAGAGUAAAUAAUUUCCAGUGUAGAAAUGCAGAUGCACAAGAUACAUGACAGCCUUCUUCUGACAGAAGUUUCUCACCAUAGAUUUUGACAUAUUCAACUGCAAAGAUAGCAUAAAAAUCCUUCAUGUCACUCAAGGAAGUAGGGGACACAUCAUUCAGAGAACUUAAAGGAUACACUACUCCUCAAUCCUCUUUUCCCACCUGUUUGAUAUAGGUCUACAUCAGUGGAAAUUAGACUUUAGAACUUAGAGUGAUAAUUUCCAGUGUAGAAAUGCAGAUGCAUAAGAUUUUAACUGUCUGAACCUCGACAGGUAAUUUGAAAUAUACAUGACAUGACACCUUCCUUUGGACAGAAGAUUCUUACCAUAGUCAUGAAAAUAGAGUUUUUAUACUGUACUUUGGUUUCAUUCACAAUGAACAUAAAGUUAAUACGAGGAGUACAAACCAUACAUCCCCAAAAGAACAAAAACAUGGAACUUUGACAUGCCUGAACUGCAAAUAUACCAUACAAAUCCUUCAUAUUUAGUGUUGAGUUUUGAGUCCUGAGCAGAACACAAAAUCUGAAAGUGAAAAUGUCAAUACGAAUGUACUGGGUGUUUCAAUAUCAAAACCAAUCAACAUGUUUGCUUGAAAUCUUUGGUUGCUUCUUUGGCUUCUGGAAUCGAUUGUUCUAGAACCUAGCUUUAACGAUAAGGGAAUACAGCAAGUCUGCCUCAGCUGCACAAUCGUAAGGCACCUCCAAGACACUGCAGAAUCAAUGCAAGAACAAGUUAACGAUAAGACAAAAGAAGUAAACCACAACCGUGUACCAAAACCGUGUAGAAAGGAAAUCAAAGUAAAUUAUAAAGUUUAACUCCUUAAUAUUCACUCAAUAUUAAAUGAUGAAAUUGAAAACAAAAAUCAAUUAAAAAGAAACCUAAAAACAAUAUCCAAUUAACCUGUCAAACUCGCAACCCGAGUUAUAAGACCGAGAUAAUGCAACGGAAAAUAAAUCUAAACAAAUUAGAUUUCAAUCACCAAUCAACAUAAUGUUGAAGGAUGAAAUUAAAAAAACAAGAUAAAAAACGACCCGAGACAAUCAACAAAACCCAUGAUCUUUGAAAAUAUUACUAAUAAACUUGAAGGUGAAGGUCGAUAAAUAUUCCUUUUUCAAUGCGAGUUUGUAUAAAAAUAUUAAUUGAAUGAUUUUCAUUGACCUUUGAAACCAUUUUAAUAAACUUGAAGUCCAGGUUCGUUCUUCUUCCAGAUUCAUGAUAUGCUGGAGAAUGAGGAGAAGAAUGAAAAUGCUGCCUUUGUUUCUUUUUGUGGGGAUAUUGAUUUAACAGCCUUCAGUGAGAAUCCAAACAUGGGCUCGUCAGGUUCGUGACAUGCUGGAGAAUGAGGAGAAGAAUGAAAAUGCUGAAUUUCGAGUGAAGGAGGUUGAGUACAUUCAAACAGAGGUAGGUCCCUUUUAAUUUUUUUAAGUUCUUAUUUUUGUACAUUCUGUUUAUUCAUCUUUUGUUGUCUCUGUUUCUUCAAUUUAUUUUAAGCUUGCUUAUAUUCAGCUGAGAGUGUGUUUAUUUGUGUUUAGCUUGAAUAUAUCUAGUUAGUGAUGUUGAUUUCAAAAUUGUUGAAGCAGUGUUAGUCCAUCUACAACUUUACUUCCACCACAGAGGACCUGUAAUCUUUGUGGAAUAUUUCAAGGUUAUGUGGUUUGUUUGACAAGUGGGUUGUUUGCUAGGCAUAUGUAUUCUGUCAUACCUUUAAUUCUGAGGCAAUGGUGGACACUGGAGCAAGCUUUUCAAUACAUUUUUAAAUUUUGUUGAGUGUGGAUUUAUUUAUUUUCAUUUGCAAUUUCUAUAUAUUUCUUUUAUUAUUUUUUUUAUUUGUUUUUUAAAGAAGGUUUUCCUGAUGGAAUAUUUGUCUAAUAGGUGUACCAUAAAAAUCUCAAUAAAAGAUUCCUUAAUAAGUGAUUCUUGACGAUAGAUUUAACUUUCUUUUUUUGUUUGAAUACAUAUAUAUAUAUAUAUAUAUAUAUAUAUAUAGGUGAAGAUAAUAAAGUGUCUAGUGGAAAACAUUGUGGUAGAUAUUUCAUUUAACCAACCUGGUGGACUGUUCACCAUUUGUUUCCUUGAAAAGGUUAGUGCUUUAUCCUAUAAAUUGUCUACUCCUUUUGUCCAAAUAUUAUGAUCCUUUUUCCGGACACUUCUACUUUCCCAAAUUAUUAAUCUGUUAUUAGAAAAUCACUAAUCCUGCCAUGCCCUAUUCAUUAAGCAACCUAAAUCAAAACCAUCUUCUGGACUUAGCAAAUUAUUUCUUGAGGCUUGUAGUGUAAUAUAUGUUGUUUUACCUGCUGGACAAGAUAAUCAAGGGCAACUCUUUUUGUCCAAACACUUCAAUGUUAUUGAUCCUUUGCGUAUAAACAACAACCUGGGACACAGUGUCAGUAAAUGUAUACAAAUAGAACUUUGCUAUGCUGUUUGCCAUCAAGUUAAAUGUCAUUUGAAUACCUCUGCUUUUUUACGUUCCAAAUUUUAUCAAGCAAGGAAUACAAGCUGGCAACUAUUAUAUUCCUGUUUCUCCUAGAAUUAACUGGUGGUUGUUUCCAGUAGAGUAUUGGAGGUUCUUUUUACAUUCCAGCAAGAGUCCCAUUCCAGGUAGAAAGACAUGAUUACUUCAUGCUAUUUUUAUUUUUAUGCUUAGCUUCUAUCCAUGUCUGCUUCUUCCAUGAUAUAUAUGUACAUGUGUCGCACGUGAGCGACGUCGCGGCGAUCGUCCACCCACAAAAAAUGUAAUAUGGGGGAUAUAUAUCUGGUCAAUGUAGGGAGACAAGGAAUUCGUUGUCUCUUAGCAGUGAAAAAUGGUGUGGGAGUCGCCACCUAGUAUUUUGGUCACUAGGAACCCUAACUGGUCUCAGAGAUCGGGUACGGGGACUGGUUGCGUAAAGGGAAGGUAUUAGCACCCCAAAUACGCCCUACCUAAGGUAAGCUGCAUCGUUUAAUUGUCUGAUAAAAUUUAAGGUGUUUUCGUUGUGUUUCCUAGUUGUUGGUCCGUCUAUGGUUCAAGAAAAGUCCUCCUCAAUAAGGAGGUCCUUAUCUUAUCGGGUAAAACCUAACCGUUCUAGCGUCUAUGUAAAAAAAACAUAUUUUUAAUUUCAGGAAUACGUUUUACGUAUAAAUUCGUAAUCCCAUAUACUAACAGAGGACAAAAAGAUUUUUUAGAAUUUUUGGAAUAUUGGCCUAGUUCUCAUGGCUUGAAUAAACUGGUUAUUAAAGCCAAAAUGCAUGCUAAUACAUAUAUUGUUUUGAAAUUUCUUUUGUUGUGUGAAAAUAUGAUGUUAUAAUAUUUAUAUAUAUAUAUUGGAGAGACUAGGCCGUAUUUUAAAACAAAACAUUUUUUAAAUAUGUAUUUUGUACGUUUUGACGCAAAUCGGGUAUUUUAAUACUGGGUUUGUAUUCUUGCGGUAUAAAAAUACAACCAAAUAUUAAUCUACUUUGAUAAAGCAAAUGCAGAAAAAUCAACAAUAUUUUCAAAGAUAUUUUAGAAAAUUUUUGAAAGCAAAAGACAUUUUUUAUUUUGAAAAUCUUUGAUGUUUUGAUGAAAACCGGGUAUGUUAAUACCGGAUUUGUAUCUUUACAGUAUAAAAUACCAACCAAUAUUAAUCAAAAUACAGUAAUAAAAUUACAGAAAAUCACAUAUUUUUGAAAUAAUUUUUGAAGAAUUUUUGUAAUUUUUUCAUAUAUAUAUAUAUAUCUAUAUAAAUAAUACAAAAUAUAAUAUAUAUAAUAUAAUAUAUAAUAUUAAAUGGGCUGGGCUGGUCCGGCCCAACCGACUGGGCCGGACUCAGCCCAAAAUUGUUGGGCCGAUCUCGGCCCAAAACAAAAAACACAUUAUCUUCUGGGCCAGACCCGGCCCAGAAGACAGGGCUGGGCCAGGAUCCGCCUGGCCCAAGCCAAAACGGGGCGGGGGGGGAAUUAUUUUCCCCCCACCCCUGCAUGCAGAACGCUACUCGUUCUGCAUGCAGGGAACUAAACGAGAAAAUAAACGCGAGGGAGAAGGGGAAGAAAAGUUACCUGGCGCGGAGGCGGAAGCGGUGGCUGGCUGCGUUUCUGGCGGUUCUGUGGUGGAGGCUGGUAGCGGUGUCGCUGCUCCCUGGCGGCGACACCAAGCAGCGGCGCUGCUGUCUCAAGCGGCGGAAAGAGGGAUUCUUCCUCUUUCCUUCUCCUCUGUUUCCUUCCCUUUUCUUCUCCUUCUUUGGUUUUCUUUCCCCCUGUUUUCCCUUCUUUCGGUUCUCUUCUCCCUCUCCCCUUUCUCUCUCUUUCGGUUUUUUCCGUUCCUCUCUCUCUCCUCUGUUUUUCGUUUUCUCCUUCUUCCCCCGUCCGUUCUCCUCUCCCCCUUUCUGUUGUCGUGUUGGUUGUUAUUUAUAGAGCCAAGUGAGUGGCUUUUCGCUGUGGAGCAUGGGGAGCAGCCGGCCGGUCGUCCGUCCUCCUCUGUUUUUCGUUUUCCCUUCUUCCCCGCUGCAUGUUCGGGGGGGAAGAAGAAAGAUGAACAGUGAGUGGCUUUUCGCUGUGGAGCAUGGGGAGCAGCCGGCCGGUCGUCCGUCCUCCUCUGUUUUUCGUUUUCCCUUCUUCCCCGCUGCAUGUUCGGGGGGGAAGAAGAAAGAUGAACAGUGUCGUUCAAAACGACACCGUUCUGCCCUUUUCCCUUUUUUUUUUUUUUUUUGAAUGGAUGAAACGGCGUCGUUUUGGAUAAAACGCGCCGUUUCAUUUAAAUCCUACAAGACGCCAAAACGCGUCAAUUUGCAAAGCAGCCCUCAAUUAUCUUUUGUCCCUUCAAUUGCAUCCCUGCCGAAUUCGAACCCCGUCCCUAUAUUUGGCCGCGUUUUUCACUUUGGUCCUUGGCCUUUGAAUUAUGCAAUUGAGCCCUUAAUUGAUCAAUAAACUUCCAAUUUCUUCAAUUAGGCCCCUGAAUCAAUUAAUUCCAGCCCCUAUACUUACGCGCCUUCUUCAAUUUGGUCCUUGGUUUCGAAUUCCUUCAAUUAAGUCCCCAAUUGGCCCUUAAACUUCAAUAUUUAUGCAAUUAAGCCCCUGAUUUGACCUAAUAAAUUCCUAAAAAAUAUAUUUUGGCCCCAGAACUUAAAUUUCUUCUAAUUAAAGCCCAAAUUGACUUAAAAAUCAAUUUUUCUUGCAAUCAAAUCCCCUAUAAAUUCAUUUAAAAAUCAAAUUAAGUCCAUAAACAUCUAAAUUUGGGUUUUUCUCCUCAAAUUUCAAAUUUUCCUUGUCAACAGGGCUCUCCUCCUUCAAGAAUAUAUUAUCAAAAAUUCCAUCUUUGUAUUUUUAACCUUAUUGACCAAUUUUCCAACCAUUUUCUGAGCGCUUCUGCCUCCUGUUAUUUUUCUAACCUCCUUUGGCUAUAUAUUUUUAUAUAUAUUUUGUGGGGACCCAAAAAUGGGUUACAACAGAUGCCCCCUCUUUAUAAUGCUUACGGAGCAGAGGUUUUGCGCAGUAAGUUUUAUAAAGAUAAACCAAAACUGAGCUCCCGAAACUGAUCUAGUCGGAGCUCGAUUGCUCUGAAACUUUGUCCUUACAGCAAUCCUCCUUAACCCAAAAACUAUGAUCAAAAUUUAGUCAUCUCGAGAUCCCUUCUGGUGAUCUCCUUUAACCUUAAAAACUUGGAAUCUCAUCUGGCGAUUCCUUUACCCAUACCCAAAUACAAAAACACGUGUGUGGUCUCAUUAUGACGGGUGACCUGCCCGAAUGGGAAAAGGAAAGAGUGGUCUCAUUAUUAUGGGUGACCUACCCAGGAAAAAUAAUGGUCUCAUUGUAUGGGUGACUAACCCAGGAAAAAUAAUGGUCUCAUUGUAUGGGUGACUAACCCAGGAAAAAUGAUGGUCUCAUUGUAUGGGUGACGAACCCAAGAAAAAUGAUGGUCUCAUUGUAUGGGUGACGAACCCAAGAAAAGUGAUGGUCUCAUUGUAUGGGUGACUAACCCAGGAAAAAUGAUGGUCUCAUUGUAUGGGUGACGAACCCAAGAAAAAUGAUGGUCUCAUUGUAUGGGUGACUAACCCAGGAAAAAUGAUGGUCUCAUUGUAUGGGUGACGAACCCAAGAAAAGUGAUGGUCUCAUUGUAUGGGUGACUAACCCAGGAAAAAUGAUGAAUUCUUAGUAAACUCCAUGCUUUUCUAAGAAAUAGUUUCAAUACGAGGUCCCUUCUAGCGACCUUCCUUGAUGAAUGCCGAAGUACGAGAUCCUUUCUGGCGAUCUCAAAUAACUUGGAAUCCCAUCGGGCAAUUCCUUUUACUAAAGCUAAAACAUGAAGUUCCUUCUGGCGACCUUCAUUGAAAUACAAGAUCCCUUCUGGCGAUCUCCUUUAUCCAAACAACUUGGAACCCCAUCUGGCGAUUCCUUUUAACCAACAUGUAAUACGAGGUCCCAUCUAGCGACCUCCAAAUAGCGAAACACGAGAUCCCUUCUGGCGAUCUCCUUUAAUCAACUUGGAAUCCCAAUCUGGCGAUUCCUUUUAACCAACAUGAAAUAUGAGGUCCCAUCUGGCGACCUUCAUCAACUUGGAAUCCCAUCUGGCGAUUCCUUUUAUUCAAAGCUGAAAUACGAGGUCCCUUCUGGCGACCUCCUUUGACCAAUAUUGAAAUACGAGAUCCCUUCUGGCGAUCUCAAACUUGGAAUCCCAUCUGGCGAUUCCUUUUAUUCAAUAUGAAAUAUGAGGUCCCUUCUGGCGACCUCCUUUAACCAAUAUCGAAAUACGAGAUCCCUUCUGGCGAUCUCAAACAACUUGGAAUCCCAUCUAGCGAUUCCUUUUUCCGAAGCUGAAAUAAUGAGAUCCCUUCUGGCGAUCUUCUUUAAUCAAAAACCAAAAAAUCUAUUUUGUAAAUCGGUCAACCUGGAAUCCCAUCUGGCGAUUCCCUUUAACCGAUUGCUCGAUGUCGUUCCUCCUGAUGGCAGGGUUUGAAAAUUAUUAUCUUCUCUUCUCGUUGUUCUAGAAUCAACUCAAUGAUUCUUUCUUCAUCUCCAAUUUUGUUGGAAUGCAUUAAGGUCUCCUCCUGUAAUGAUCCAAAAAACAUAUAUGCAAUGAUUUAUGAUUAGAUGCCAUGCAUGCAUUUGUACCUGGUUUUGAAACAUAGGCCCCAUCAUCUUCUUCUAUUUCAUGAAACUCUCUCUUGAUAUGAGCUUGCUUUUGAAGUCGUAUGCUGGAUUCAUUUCUCGUGUUGCCUCUCAUAUCUUUGAGAAGAAGUCUUCGACUUUCUCCAAGUAGUCCUUUUCUCAAAAUGUAUGACUUGUAUUUGCCUCUUUGUCAUGCUUUUGUCAAAUGCUUUAGCUUGGUUUUCAAAUCUAUAGGCUUCCAACCAAUUUUAAACACGUAAAACUUUUCAAAAAACAACUCAUUUUGCCCCCAGUGUAGGGGUGUGAUCCUAGUCUGGGCUUUUAUAGAGAAGAAAUUCAUUAAGCCAAUGAUAAACUUUUUUAGUGCGUGAAGGGAUAAUGAUGAUUUUUUUUUUUUAAAAUGCACAUUGUGAUGGUUGAUAAAGACAAUUACAGAUGAUUAUAAAGUGACCACUUAAUCAUUCAUUACGCUAUCAGAGGUAGGGAUGUACUUUAGGGUUAGCUUUUCUUAAAUUUCAUAUUAAAACAUUUUAUGAUAUAACCACUCAAACUUGUUCAAAAAGUGCAUAAUCUCAUCAUUUAUUAAAAAAAGGUAGGCUCAAACAUAAAAUGGCUGAAAACAUGAGCCCUGACUGCCCAAUAAAAGUAAUGACAAAAGCAAAUGACAAAAACAUGCUAAGGCAAAUAAAGUUGUUUUACAUUUUGAAAACUACGAGAAGUUCUUGGGUCAACCCGUUCUGGAAAGUCAACCGAGGCAAUGCUUCAUCUUCCUUCCCCAUUUGCGUUUCCUUGUCUUCUCUUUCGAUCUCGCCUUCUUCAUUAUUGACGAUUCUUGACCAAGGUUUUCCAACCCUUUAUCCCCUAUUACUUUUGUCAUGACUAGGCAAUAGAUUUGAAUUGAUAUUGGGUGUGUCUUCAAACGACACCCAUCCUAUCUUGAUGAGCUUCAACAAUAUGUUCUUGAAAGCGUAGCACGUUUCAAGACAAUGUCCGGGAAUACCAGCAUGGUACUCGCAAGUCAACUCGGGCUUAUACCAGAUGGGGAAUGGUGGUUGUAGUGGUAAUGUAGGGAUAGGAGCUAUUUGUCCAAUGCUCAGUAGUUUGGCAUACAUUUCCUUCAAAGGCAUGGGUAAUGGCGGUAGUUGUUCUGCAAUGUAUCUUGUGUUUGGUCUUUGAUCGUUGUUUUGGAUGUUUGACUGGUUAUUUGCUUGAUUAGAGGAAAAAGGUUUGUUAAAGUUUAUGUGGGCAACAUGAGAGGUAGGUAUUUGUGGGUUAAGUGAAUCCAUUAUCUUGCCCUUGGACCCAACUUCAAAGUCGUAAAUGUAACCUUCCAUUUUUCUUCCAAUAAAACCCUUUGUCUCCAAUGGCUCAGCUAUACGUCCAGCUUUAAUCCCUUGCUCUAUUCUUUCAGCUAUGCGUACCGCCUCGUAGAAAUGUUGAGAUGAGCUACCCAUUAGGUGCUCAUAAUAUGGUGCUUUGAAGGUAUUGGCAAACAAGGUCACCAUCUCCGUUUCUAUCAAAGGGGGUUGGACAUGCAUUGCCUCAUCCCUCCACCUUUGCGCAUAGGCUCUUACCGACUCUUGGCUCCUUUUCUCCAUUGACAUUAGACUUGUUCGAUCAGGAGCGAUUUCCAUGUUAAACUUGUACUGUUUAAGGAAAGCCUCCACCAAGUCUCUCCAGCUCCUGAUCCUGACACUGUCUAACCUAAUGUACCAGCUCAAAGCGGAUCCUGCUAGGCUAUCUUGAAAGAAAUAGAUUAGCAAUUUAUCAUCAUGGAUUACUUCUGCCAUUUUGUUACAGUAGGAUCGAAGGUGAGUGUUUGAGCAUUCCAAACCAGUAUACUUAAUGAACUCUGGUAUCCUAAAAUCUUUUGGCACCACGAUGUUUGGUACUAAACAUACUUCGGCUGCUCGCAUAGGGUCAAACCAAUCAUUACCCUUAAUUGCCCGUAAUCUUUCUUCCAAAGCAAACAACUUGUCUUGGUCCAUCAAACCGGGAGACCUAUUAUCCGGGAUUCCCUCCGUUGUUAAGUCCACAGUGACUGGAGCAUGAGUUGGCUGGAUAGGGGCGACAAGCACAAAAUGUUGUUCAUUGGCCGAGUUUGCCCCCUGGUUUUGAGAUGCUUGAGGGAUGUGAGCUGCUGGCGCUCCUUUAGGUUGUUGGGCUGAUGUUCCCUCCCCAUUCUUAGCUCUUAAAAGCUGCUUGAGUAAGUCGGUUAGUCGAGAAACUUCAUUUUUUACGGACUCCAACUCGGUCUGAUAAUGUGACUCUAAGUGAGCUCUUUCUUCGUUCUCCAUUCUCGAUCUAGACCGGGUGUUGUGGACUUUAGAUGUGGGACCUAUGUUUCACGAUCUGUCGUGCAUAUGAUGAAUUAAAAACAAAUGCAUGAUGAAAAUAUGAUGCUCGUGCGAAUGUAUAUCUUAAAGUCGAUUCAUGACUUUCGUAAUCCUUUAGGCAAGAUUUCGGCUUAAAAACCUGGAUUGAUGAAUUAUUAAUCAUGAUGCAAAUGAACGUAAGAUAGAUAUCCUAAGGACAAGUUCUAUUUAUUAGGUGAGAAUGGGUAGGUUUUCUAUCUGGUCUUUAAAAGGGUCUCAUAUCUGCCCAGUGACGUUCUUCGUAAAGACAGUAUGGGGGCGUUGCAAGGAACGGUUAAAGUACGUAUACCCACCAUUACCAAGCAGGCACUCAGAUAUGAGUUGGGUGUUUCACGCAUCUGAACCCUGACCAAUAGUCAUAGGGCAGAUCGCUAAUCCCCCUCCUAGCUUAAAGCUUGUGUGUGCUUCUCAAAAUCAAAGUAUGUGAUGCAUGUGACAUUUAUAUAAGAUGCAUGAGACAGUUCUAUACAAAUGCAUGAACAAUAUGUGUAAAGAAUUAAAGCGUAUAUGCAGACGAAAAAAAAAAAGGAAAGGCAUAUUAACAAUAAACACACGAAAACACCAAUAGAUCAGACAAAAACAAAGCUAAGUCCACAAGGUCCCUAGUGGAGUCGUCAUUCUAUCGCACGUGAGCGACGUCGCGGCGAUCGUCCACCCACAAAAAAUGUAAUAUGGGGGAUAUAUAUCUGGUCAAUGUAGGGAGACAAGGAAUUCGUUGUCUCUUAGCAGUGAAAAAUGGUGUGGGAGUCGCCACCUAGUAUUUUGGUCACUAGGAACCCUAACUGGUCUCAGAGAUCGGGUACGGGGACUGGUUGCGUAAAGGGAAGGUAUUAGCACCCCAAAUACGCCCUACCUAAGGUAAGCUGCAUCGUUUAAUUGUCUGAUAAAAUUUAAGGUGUUUUCGUUGUGUUUCCUAGUUGUUGGUCCGUCUAUGGUUCAAGAAAAGUCCUCCUCAAUAAGGAGGUCCUUAUCUUAUCGGGUAAAACCUAACCGUUCUAGCGUCUAUGUAAAAAAAACAUAUUUUUAAUUUCAGGAAUACGUUUUACGUAUAAAUUCGUAAUCCCAUAUACUAACAGAGGACAAAAAGAUUUUUUAGAAUUUUUGGAAUAUUGGCCUAGUUCUCAUGGCUUGAAUAAACUGGUUAUUAAAGCCAAAAUGCAUGCUAAUACAUAUAUUGUUUUGAAAUUUCUUUUGUUGUGUGAAAAUAUGAUGUUAUAAUAUUUAUAUAUAUAUAUUGGAGAGACUAGGCCGUAUUUUAAAACAAAACAUUUUUUAAAUAUGUAUUUUGUACGUUUUGACGCAAAUCGGGUAUUUUAAUACUGGGUUUGUAUUCUUGCGGUAUAAAAAUACAACCAAAUAUUAAUCUACUUUGAUAAAGCAAAUGCAGAAAAAUCAACAAUAUUUUCAAAGAUAUUUUAGAAAAUUUUUGAAAGCAAAAGACAUUUUUUAUUUUGAAAAUCUUUGAUGUUUUGAUGAAAACCGGGUAUGUUAAUACCGGAUUUGUAUCUUUACAGUAUAAAAUACCAACCAAUAUUAAUCAAAAUACAGUAAUAAAAUUACAGAAAAUCACAUAUUUUUGAAAUAAUUUUUGAAGAAUUUUUGUAAUUUUUUCAUAUAUAUAUAUAUAUCUAUAUAAAUAAUACAAAAUAUAAUAUAUAUAAUAUAAUAUAUAAUAUUAAAUGGGCUGGGCUGGUCCGGCCCAACUGACUGGGCCGGACUCAGCCCAAAAUUGUUGGGCCGAUCUCGGCCCAAAACAAAAAACACAUUAUCUUCUGGGCCAGACCCGGCCCAGAAGACAGGGCUGGGCCAGGAUCCGCCUGGCCCAAGCCAAAACGGGGCGGGGGGGGAAUUAUUUUCCCCCCACCCCUGCAUGCAGAACGCUACUCGUUCUGCAUGCAGGGAACGAAACGAGAAAAUAAACGCGAGGGAGAAGGGGAAGAAAAGUUACCUGGCGCGGAGGCGGAAGCGGUGGUUGGCUGCGUUUCUGGCGGUUCUGUGGUGGAGGCUGGUAGCGGUGUCGCUGCUCCCUGGCGGUGACUCCAAGCAGCGGCGCUGCUGUCUCAAGCGGCGGAAAGAGGGAUUCUUCCUCUUUCCUUCUCCUCUGUUUCCUUCCCUUUUCUUCUCCUUCUUUGGUUUUCUUUCCCCCUGUUUUCCCUUCUUUCGGUUCUCUUCUCCCUCUCCCCUUUCUCUCUCUUUCGGUUUUUUCCGUUCCUCUCUCUCUCCUCUGUUUUUCGUUUUCUCCUUCUUCCCCCGUCCGUUCUCCUCUCCCCCUUUCUGCUGUCGUGUUGGUUGUUAUUUAUAGAGCCAAGUGAGUGGCUUUUCGCUGUGGAGCAUGGGGAGCAGCCGGCCGGUCGGCCAUUGGGCGCGACUGCCAACGCUCGGCCCCCCUCCCCGGCUUUCUGGCAGGUGCGCGGUGGGUGGUCGGCCAUUGUGUUCGGUCGGUGGGCUCCAGGCGAGAGAGAGGGGCCGGCAAAAAUUUCAAAAAAAAGCACCAUUUUUCCCUUCUUCCCCGCUGCAUGUUCGGGGGGGAAGAAGAAAGAUGAACAGUGUCGUUCAAAACGACACCGUUCUGCCCUUUUCCCUUUUUUUUUUUUUUUUUUUGAAUGGAUGAAACGGCGUCGUUUUGGAUAAAACGCGCCGUUUCAUUUAAAUCCUACAAGACGCCAAAACGCGUCAAUUUGCAAAGCAGCCCUCAAUUAUCUUUUGUCCCUUCAAUUGCAUCCCUGCCGAAUUCGAACCCCGUCCCUAUAUUUGGCCGCGUUUUUCACUUUGGUCCUUGGCCUUGGAAUUAUGCAAUUGAGCCCUUAAUUGAUCAAUAAACUUCCAAUUUCUUCAAUUAGGCCCCUGAAUCAAUUAAUUCCAGCCCCUAUACUUACGCGCCUUCUUCAAUUUGGUCCUUGGUUUCGGAUUCCUUCAAUUAAGUCCCCAAUUGGCCCUUAAACUUCAAUAUUUAUGCAAUUAAGCCCCUGAUUUGACCUAAUAAAUUCCUAAAAAAUUUAUUUUGGCCCCAGAACUUAAAUUUCUUCUAAUUAAAGCCCAAAUUGACUUAAAAAUCAAUUUUUCUUGCAAUCAAAUCCCCUAUAAAUUCAUUUAAAAAUCAAAUUAAGUCCAUAAACAUCUAAAUUUGGGCUUUUCUCCUCAAAUUUCAAAUUUUCCUUGUCAACAGGGCUCUCCUCCUUCAAGAAUAUAUUAUCAAAAAUUCCAUCUUUGUAUUUUUAACCUUAUUGACCAAUUUUCCAACCAUUUUCUGAGCGCUUCUGCCUCCUGUUAUUUUUCUAACCUCCUUUGGCUAUAUAUUUUUAUAUAUAUUUUGUGGGGACCCAAAAAUGGGUUACAACAACAUGUAUCAAGAACAAAGUAAACAAUUUUGCAUUCCUUCUUUGAUAUAAUUGAGUUUGGUUGAUUUUAUGUUUUCUCAACUCAAUAAUUAUUGAUGAUAAUGCAUAUAUUUUUUCUGGUUUUUAGCAUGCCUUGACGAGGAUCCAUAUUAGAUUCUAGGAGUGACAGGUCCACUUCAUCCAAAUCAUUUCAAAAGGAGUUAAAAAAAAAGAGGAGAUAAAGAAAAAAGAUGAUUUUAUUUUUGAAAUAAAACGGCAGAUGGAUUCCAUGAAAGAAUAUCUUAUGAACAAUCUUGGAUAUCAUGGUGGGAAAUCAAAUAUUGAUCAAGGUAUGCCAGCACCAAUGGCCCCAUCAAUGCCGCUGCCUAUGGCUCCCCAGAUAAUGACACUUAUGGGUCCCACAUCUCCACCAACUUAUCGACCUUCACCUCAACCACUAUAUCCUCAUUCAUUUUACAUCGAUCCACAAUAUCAUGGUUCGUCUCCACAACAAGCACCAUGAUUGUAUCUUUUGAUUGUAUCUUUUUAUUGUAUUUCGACUUAUUUGCAUUAAUGCAAGUUUAACUAAAUUUUUAUACUAUGAAUUUUAUUUUUAUUCCAUUUAUUAUUGGUGAUAAAGUCAUUUUCAAUAUUGAUUUAUGUUGUUUAUAAAUAUUGUACAACUUUUAAAAUAUCCAUAAAUAAUUAAUUAAAAAAAUUAAAAGUCAUUUGGAUAAAAAUAAAUAAAUAAAUUUAAUAAAAAUAAUAUAGUCAGCAACGGAUUUUCCAUUGCAAAUUGUAAAUAAUUCAUCAAUCAGCAACGGAAAAUCCAUUGUUGAUAUAUUAGCAACGAAAAAUUCGUUGCUCAUAUGCAACGGAUUAUCCGUUGUUGAUUUUUCAGCAACAAAAAUUUCGUUGCUGAAAAAUCAGCAACGACAGAUCUGCAUUCGAUAUUUUCCGUUGCUGAUUCCGAUGCUAAAUUUUUUUAGCAACAAAUUUUAGUUUUAUUUGCAAUGGAUUAGUUAGUUGCUAAUUACUAUAUUUUUUAGUAGUGUGACUCGAAGUAUCAGAUCGAUAUAACAUAAUAGAAAGAACAUAAAAAAUAACUUGAUUUAAUCUGGAUUAACCUGCCAAAUCCAUGAUUUUAAUCAUAAGACUUAGAUAACCUCAUAAAAAGCAAAUCAAAACAAAUUAUGAAACUCAAUUAUCAAUCACUCCUAUCGGACUCAAUGUUGAACGAUGAAGUUUGUAAAAAAUUUUAAUUAAAAAAUGACAUAAAAAAUAAGCCAAGUCAACUUGGGUUAACUUGUUAAACAUUAUUCCUGGAUCAUGAGAUUGAGAUAGCCUGACAAACAAACUAAGUCAAUUGGGUUAACUUGCCAAACCAACAACUCAAGUCAUGAGACGAGGACAAACCAAUAAAAAGCAAAUUCAAUAUUGAAGGAUCCGUGACCCGAACCAUGAGACCAAGAUAACCUUCUAGAAAGAAAAUAAAACUGACUUGAUUUCACCAGUGUUAACAAUUAAAAAUUAACAAAAAACAAUUAACAAAAAACCUGAAAAAACAACUCGUGACUCGAGUCAUGAGGUUAGGAUAUCUUUAUAGAAAACAAACUGAAAUGAACGAUGAAGCCUAAUUCCCAAUUAACCCAAUAUUAAUGGAUGAAAUUGGAAAACAAAUGCAUUUAAAAAGAACAUAAAAAAUCUUGAGGCAACCGAGCUAAUCAUCGACUCGGGUCAUAAGACCAUGGUAACCCUAUAGAAAAAAAUUACAAAGUAUAAUUUUCAAUCAACCUAAUGUUGAAGGAUUCAAUUGAAAAAAAAUCAAUAAAAAAAUAUCCUAAGUCAACCUGGGUUAACUUGCCAAACUCGGAUUAUGAGACCGGGAUAAAUCUAUAGAAAAAAAUAAAAUAAAAAUAUGAAGUCAAAUUCUCAAUCAACCCAAUGUUGAAGGAGAAAAAUGAAAAAAAAAAUCAAUUAAUAAAGAACCCAAAAAACUUGAGCCAACGAGUUUGUUAACCUGCAAAACUUGUGACUUGGAUCUUGAGACCACGAUAACCCCAUAGAAAACAAAUAAAAAAAUAUCAAGCCAAAUUCUCAAUCAAUAAAAUUGAGAAAAAAAAUCUAUUAAAAAAGAAUAAAAAACUGCUGGUUAGAGAUCAAAAUUAGAAAACUCAAUUCCCAAUCAACUCAAUGUUUAAAAAUAAAAUUGCAAAAAAAAAUAAUUAACAAAAAAUAUGGAAAAACCACUCGAGUCAACCUGAGUUAACAAACCAAACCUGUGACUCGAGUAAUGAGAUCGGGAUAUCUUUAUAGAAAAUAAACUAAAAUGAAUUAUGAAGUUUAAUUUUUAAUUAAUCCAAUAUUAAUAGAUGAAAAUGAAAAAAAAAGCAUUUAAAAAGAAAAAAUAACUCACUAUAUACAUCCAUACAUAGCCGAUAAUGUUCAAAAGUCACAAUUUCUAGUGGAUCAUGAAAAAGUGUUUGAUAUAAGAGAUAGUAGUAAUUAAUGAUGGAAAAGAACCCAUUUCUCAAGACAUGUGAGAAGCACAAUACAAAAAAGGACAAUUUCUUCUGUAGGGAAUAUUGCCCAGGAGAAGAAGAAACUGAAAUUUCCAGCUCAUCUAGUUUAUUUACAAAAAUACCAUUAAUAAGUUUAUAUGCUGCUGACAUUCUUGUACAAUUUUUCUGAACUUCAUAUAAAAUUUGAACAUAUAAUAAAAUAAUAUGGUAAAACAUUUCUCUUAAAAUUUUAUCUUGAUCUAAUAAUCAGAUUGAAAGUUAUGCUCAAUAGAGUAAAACUAAUUUAUAAGUGAUUUUACAUUAGAAUUCAAGUUUUUCUUGUGUUAUCCUUGCAUAUUCUACUAAAUUUUUAGAAUUAUUUUUUUAUUUCAAAAUAUAUUUACUUUAUUUUUUUAUUAUUUAGUUCAUUUAAAGACCUAUUAUUGUUUCAUAUUAGCAUUAUUGAUUUUUAAUAGAAGUUUACAUCAACACUGUUUUCUUUUUUUUUUCUUAUGAAUUGAUCACAUAUUUUAAAUUAUUUUAAAUUUUUAUUUACUUUUUAUUUUUUUUUCAAAUUUUCCUCAUAAUUUAUCAUUUUUAAAUUAAAAACUACAUUAUUUACGACUGAUUAGGCACGUCAAGGAGGAUGGCCAUCUGGUUGGUAGGUCAAACUCGUGGGUAGCUACCUCUCAAAAAGUAUAUCGCGAGCUUGAAAAUGAGAUUUAAUUGUACGAGUCCUUUAAUAACAUUGACACUCUUUAAUCUCGUUACUAAUUAACAUGUCCUUUUACGAUUGAGUCUUAAAUCAUAUAAGAUGUUGCACCUCAUUAAUAUCCAGAGGAGAAAUGUUAAAAUCCAUGUAAGAAAAAUGGGAAGAGGGGAAUCAAGAAAAAAAAAGUAUACUCCUACUAUGUAUCAUGACAAUGAAGACUAAGUUUUAUUGCACCUCAUUAGUUGAUGAUGAUCGAUAGGGCAACAAAGAUGGUCUCCUGUUUUGAAAGCUCCUUAACUUUAACGGGCUCCACACCAGAGAUUUUCGUUGCAGUGCAACAACUGUUGGGUGCUUUGGCUUCCAAGAAACUGCUUGUGCUGGAGGACUCCCCGUGAAUUUACUACUGGUUCUCAUAACAGUAGGUGUGGUCUCCGAUGCAGUCCUGAACUCUGGCAAUGGAGAGAACAGCUUUGAAUUCCUUGGCUUUCUUGGGUCCCUGACAAAUGACUGCCUGCCAACUACAUUCCCAUUUUUAUAUCGCGAGGUUUGAAGUGGUGUAGUCAUGUUUGAGGUUGGCUCUGAACGAUAGGUAGCAAUGGAUACCCGUCUCUUAGGCUGAAAAACCUGUGCUGACAUUGGAGGAGGUCUGACUGCAACAGACAUACGUCUGGGUUUCAUAAGGCUUUUUGUAUUUGUUCCUGCAGCUGUGGUUCUUGGAUUUUUUUCUUUGUCAUGCAUUGAAGAUGAAGCAGAACCGGUUUUCUGUUUUUGUAGAGGAGAUGGUGGAGGCAUGAAAUUGGUGAUUUUUCGCAACGGCAUCCUUAACUUUGAAGGACACAGAGGUGGCUUCUUAUCUACUUUUCUCUUCUCUACUACUUGUUUCGUAGACUGAGAAGCAGCAGCUGCAAAAGCUCGUGUUUCCUGCUUUAGUCUGGUUUUUCUUUCCUCCC